rnacentral:lncRNA from 1 species
UUGCCAAAGGUGUUAGGGUCAUCAAGGCUGAAGCCAGAGGUCAGGAGAGCAGUCUCGAAGAGAAGGAGAACAAGGUCCUUCACAGAUUUAUCAUUCUUGUCUGCAUCGGCUCUCUUUCUCAGCUCUUCCAUGAUGGGGUUAUCCGGGUUGAUCUCCAUCGUCUUCUUGCUUGACAUGUAACCAGCCAUGCUGUUAUCCCUCAAAGCCUGGGCCUUCAUGAUUCUCUCCAUGUUUGCAGUCCACCCAUACUCGCCAGUCACUAAACAACAAGGUGAGUCAACCACACGAUCAGAAACCACAACCUUUUCAACCUUGUCACCCAGCACAUCCUUGAUGACCUUGCAAAGACCCUCAAACUUUUCCUUCAAAGCUUCCUUCUUUUUCUUCUCAUCCUCACUCUCAUCAAGUUUAAGACCUUCCUUGGUAGCUGACACAAGCUUUUUGCCCUCAAAUUCCUUGAGCUGUCCAACAGCAUACUCAUCAAUAGCAUCAACCAUGUAAAGGACCUCAUAACCCUUCUUCUUCAGCUUCUCAAGGAAGGGAGAGUUCUCAACAGCCUUUUUACUCUCACCAGUGAUGUAGUAGAUAUCAUUCUGACCCUCCUUCAUUCUGGUCACAUAGUCCUUCAAGCUGGUCAUCUCAUCACCACUCUUGGUGGAGUGGUAGCGGAGCAAUUCGGCAAUUUUAGUCCUGUUCUGAGAGUCCUCAUGGAUACCAAGCUUGAGGUUCUUUGAGAAUGCCUCAUAAAACUUGUUGUAAUCUUCCUUGUUCUCUGCUAUUUCAAAGAAGAGCUCAAUGCACUUCUUUACCAAGUUCUUGCGGAUAACCUUCAAGAUCUUGUUUUGCUGCAACAUUUCUCUUGAGAUGUUCAAAGGAAGGUCCUCUGAGUCGACAAUACCCUUAACAAAGCUGAGGAAUUCAGGAAUCAACUCCUCGCAGUUGUCCAUGAUAAAGACACGUCUCACAUAGAGCUUAAUGUUGUUGGGCUUCUUCCUUGUGUCAAAGAGAUCAAAAGGAGCCCUCUUGGGGACAAAGAGGACAGCCUUGAACUCAAGUUGCCCCUCAACUGAGAAGUGCUUGACGGCCAAAUGCUCUUCCCAGUCAUUUGUAAGGCUCUUGUAGAAAGCAGCAUAUUCCUCCUUGGUAAUCUCCUCAGGCUUCCUCAUCCAGAUGGGCUUCUGUUUGUUCACCAAAGACCACUCGUGCGACACCUCCUUAAUCUUCUUCUUUUUCUUUUCUUCCUUCUCUUUCUCCUCAUCAACAUCCUCAACUUUCCCUUCUUCGUCCUUCUUAUCCUCCUCAUCUUCAUCAUCAGAAAUCUCCUUCUCAGUGGUCUUCUCAAUCCAAAGUGAAAUUGGAUAGCUAAUAAAUUCAGAAUGCUUCUUAAUCAAAUCCUUCAAACGUCGCUCCUCAAGGUACUCAAGUUGAUCCUCUUUCAAAAACAGAGUAAUCUUAGUACCCCUACCAAUGUUCUCUCCGGAUGUAUCCCUGGUGACAGUGAAUGAACCACCAGCUUGGGACUCCCACACAUAUUGUUCAUCAUCAUUAUGCUUUGUGGUUACAAUUACCUUCUCAGCAACCAAGUAUGCUGAGUAGAAACCAACACCAAAUUGACCAAUCAUACUAACGUCAGCACCAGCAGCCAGUGCUUCCAUAAACUCCUUAGUACCAGAUCUUGCGAUUGUACCAAGAUUGUUGACCAAAUCUAAACAACAGAAAUAUAUCACAUUAAAAUAUGUUCAAAAUUGAAACUCCAGAACUGAUUACACAACAAUUAAGUAAAAAUAAUAAAGUACUUACCAGCUUUGGUCAUACCAAUACCACUAUCAAUGAUUGAUAGAGUGUUAUUGGUCUUGUCUGGAACAAUAUGAAUGAAGAGCUCAGGCUGUGCAUCAAGCUUGCUCUUGUCUGUCAAGCUCUCGAACCUGAUCUUAUCCAAAGCCUACAGGUAAAAGAUUUAACAUCAUAUACCAAUUACAAACCACACCAAAAGAGCAUUUCAGUUAUGUUACACGCAUUGGAUUCACGAGAUCUUUCUUACUUACUCUUUUACAUUCAAAAAAACCAAAAAAAUGUACUAACCACAAACGGCUUCAAUUAAAUUCCAAUAAGCAUAAAUUAACGGCCAACUAAAAAUACAAAAGCUAAACCCUAAACCCUAUAAAUCUGUCACUAACAAAGCAUUAUGCAAAUCAAAACAAACAACCACUGAACAGAAAAUUACGCAUUAAACAUCAUAAUAACAUAUAUCCAAAGCCAAAAUAAACUCCAAAAUUUCUAUCAUGAAACAAACAAACAAAAAGAAAUCCAUCAACAUCGAAUAAGGUAAGAUCAGAUCCAUACAAUCACGUAUAAAAAAAUAAAAAACUAUUAUUAAAAUAGAACUUACAUCAGAGGCGUUACUGAUAAGCUCACGAAGAAAGAUCUCCUUGUUGCUGUAGAAAGUGUUGAUAAUCAAACUAAGAAGCUGAUUGAUCUCAGCUUGAAAAGCAAACGUCUCAGUAUCCGCCAUUGAUGAUAAACCUCUAACCUCCCAAUCCAAAACACACUAAAAAAUACCGUAAAAUGAGAGAGUUUUCAAAUUUCGAAUAGAGAGAAAGAGGAGAAAAUAUCAGAGUGAGGCAGUUCUGCGAUGCAAGGCUUAAGGAUACCUUAUAUAGGGGAACUUCAUUAGGGUUUCUAGAUCCUUCUAUUGACGUACUUUUUAAAAAAAAAUUAUUUUUGGGUUUACCUAUAUAAUAGUGAAUUGGGAAUGCGGGAGCCACUCAUUUAUAUGCUUAAUACUUUUCUUCGCCAAUUAGACUUUGCUUUCUUUUUUUUCUUUUUUCUUUUUUCUUUUUCUUUUUCUUUUUCUUUUUUUGACUUUUUUGUUAUAUUUAUUAUAAAUAUAUAAAAUAGAAGGAAAAAAUGUUCGCUUAAAAUUAAAUUAAAUGUUAAAAAAAUUAUAUUUAAUUACAAAAAUAGAAAAUUAAAAAAAAACAAUUUAUGAAUCAAGAUGAGAUGAUGGUUUUUUUUUCAAAUACAUUUUUGCGAAAAAUAAAUAAAAAUUACUAAUGGCGGAAAAUGCUUUUGGUUAAAAUCGUUUUUUAUAAAACGUGUAUGAUAAGUAACGUUUUAGCUUCCACGUUGGAUGAAGCUUCUUAUGAGAACUUUGAAAAUGACUUUAAAAUUUAUAGAAUUUAUUAAAAUUAGUGGGGAUGCGAUUUGGGUCCGUUGGAUCGGGUUUGGGUUCGGUUCGGGUCAAGUCAGGUCGAGUUAGGUAUUAACAUAAUUUUAGGUUCUAUCUAAAAAAUUGACUUAAAAUUUUAUUUAUGUCCCGAUCCGGAUAAAAAUGUUAAAAUUCGAGCCGGACUCGAUUCGCCCGUAUUGAAAACAAAUUUAAAUUUUUUUAAUAUUUAUGCUUAAAUAACACUAAGAUAUGUGCAAGUUAGUAAGGAAAUAUCUUUAAAAUAAUAGCAAAAUUAACAAUAAAAUAACAACAAAAUAGUAACAAUAUAAUAACGAAAUGACAGCAAAACAGUGAAAAAAGCAACACAAAAACAAUGGAAAAUGCAGCAGGUUUGUUUCUUUCUUUACAAAUUGGGAUCGGACCAAGCUGAGCAUGGGCCAAAAAUAGCUUACCCAAGACUCGACCCUUUUAGAAAAUGGGUUUCAUUUUUUUUGCCAAAGCUUAUUUUUUGAGCCUAUAUUUUCGUCUAAACUCUCCCACUUUUUGGGCUGGUCUUCGGGCCCAGUAGAGUGACCUGGCCCAUGUAAUACCCCGAAAAAUUUUACAGUAAAAUAUUAUCUGUGAUAUAGUAAAAUAAGGAAAUAAAGUGACAAAAAGAGAAAUUUUGAGUUAUGUCAAUACUGGGAAGUAUAUUAUGAUAUAUUAAUUCAAGAAAAUAUUAAAUUGUAAAAGUGAGAAAAUUUUUGUUGCACAAGAGUAAAUACUCAAAAUUUAAGGGGUUAAAGUGUAAAUAUGAAAAAUUUGAAGGAUCAAUAGUGUAAAUAUUUUAAGGGUGGAAUGAUCUAGAAACUAAGGAAAAUGGAUGGAUUAGGGCCAAAUUGAAUAGGUGAAGAACUAUGAGGGACUAAAUCACAAUUUUACCAAAUUAAAUGAUGACUCAAGGAUGGAAUUUUAAAAGAUAAAUAAUGUAAUAACCCGAAUUUUGCGGUUAUCAGAAAAGUGUAUUUUCGAGUCUCCGUUACUGAAAAACGGAUCCGUAAAUAUUUAUCAAAAAUAUUUAAAAAGUUAAUUAAGUGGUUAAUUAGAGUUUAAUUAAUUUAAUUUAGCUUAAUUAAGGAUAAUUGGGUAAAACGAUUAAAUUGAAUAAAGUGUGAAAGUUUAAUUAUAGAUUAAAAGAAAAUAAAAAAGGACCAAAAUGGCAAUUAUGCCAUUUAGUAUAAGUGAUGCGGCAUAAAAAGUAAAAAUCCAAAAUUUUUACUUAGAUUUUAAUUAUAAAAUAUGUAUUUAUUAGUAAUAAAUGAUAUUAAAUUAAUUUAUUAUAAUUAUAUUAUAAGAUAUUUAUAUGAUAAAUAAAUUAGUAUAAAGACAAAUGUAUAGUAAAUAAAAUAUACAAGUGUAUGGAUAAAAAUACAUAUAUUUGUAAUGUAAGUAUUUAAUUAUUAAUGGAUAUUUAUUAAUUAUAAAAGAUAUUUAUUAAUUAAAUAAUUAUAUUAUAAGAUUUUAUAUGAUAAAUACAUUAAAUAAUGACAAAUGUAUGGUUAUAAAUGGAUAUAAAUGUACUAAUAAUAUACACAUGAAUAAAUAAAUAAUAUUUAUUAUUUAAAUAUAAAUAUAUGUGUGUAUAUAUAUAUAAAAGGAAAUAAAGAAAGAAAAAAGAAUAGAAAUGAAGAAAAAGCAAACUAAACAGAGAGAAGGGGAAGGAAAGAAAGAAAAAGAGAAAAGAAAGAAGAAAAGGGAAAAUUGAAGGUGUGAAGCUUGGAAGUUUAAUAGGUAAGUCAAUUAAGUCCUUUUCUUUUAAUUUUGAUGUUUUAGAAGUUUUGGAAUAAGGUUUUGAUGAAGUUAAGUUGAUAUUUUGAAAGUUAUUAGAUUUCUAAAUAUUGUUCAUGUUGAAUGAAAUGAUUGAAUUUUGGGAUUAAAUUGAUAGAAUUUUCAAGUUAGAAGUGAAAUAAGGACUGAAUUGUAUGAACUGUGAAAUUUGGGGCAAAAUGAAAAUUAACAUUUUACACUAAAACAGUUUUGGACAGCAGCAGUAGUCUAACUUUGAAAAUUCACCAAAAAUAUGUAGAAAUCGAAUUAUAGGAUGAAUAAAAUAUGAAAUUUAUUGAGUCUAGUUUCUUAUAGAAGAAACGGUGUAAACAAUGAAAUAUAUAAGACCAUGGUUGAAAGAUACCAUAACAACGUGACAUGAAAUGAAUAAGACCAUGGUUGAAAGAUACCAUGGCAACAUGACAUGAAAUGAAUAAGACCAUGGUUGAAAGAUAUCAUGGCAACAUGAUAUAAAAUGUGUAAGACUAUGGUUGAAAGAUACCAUGGCAACAUGAUGGGAAAUGAAUAAGACCACGGUUGAAAGAUACCAUGGCAACAUGACAUGAAAUGAAUAAAACCAUGGUUGAAAGAUACCAUGGCAACAUGACAGAAAAUGAGUAAGACCAUAGUUGAAAGACACUAUGGCAUCAUGUCAAAGAUAAAUAAGACCGUAGAUGGGAGACGCUAUGACAUCUAUUGAACAAUUGAUAUUCAGGUAAUAUGUAUCAGAUGACGAAUGGUUAUAUGAAAUGGUUGUGUGAAAUGUUUACAAGAGCUGGUCAUAUGGAAAUAUAUGUACAAAAUAGUUGUAUGAAAUAAUUAUGAAGAUAGAUAAACGAAAUAAGUAUAAGUACAUGGAAUAUAAUUUAUGUUAAGUUUGAUAUAAACUAUUACCGGAAUAAAUAUACAUAAAAUAUAUGGAAAUGAUGGAGCAUGAAAUAUUGAUAUAAUGAAAUAAAUGAUAUAUACUUAUGAAGAAACGGUAAGAGAAUGAUAUGUUUCAUGACAUGUACAUAUAUGAUUAUCUUUGAUAUGUUGAUACAAGGAAAUUAUGUAAGUAAAGACAAUUAUUAAACUCAAGUGUGACAUGUCGAGAAAAUAAGUAUAUCAAUGUUGAAUUUAUAUGAAAUAUGUACUAGUGUACUAACAAUGUUGUUGCUUGAUGCCUAUACAAAUGCCAAGCUAUUGAUUGAAUGGUAAUAUAUUUAUUUAUAUGAUUCAUUGAAUCGAUAAAUAUUUAAUUGAAAUUUUUUUUGUGAUCUGCAAAUUUUAGUAAUGCUCUGAAACCCUGUUUUGACGACGGAUACGGGUUAGGGGUGUUACAGCUCAUGAUCAAGUCUAAUUAGAAUAGUCCUUACACUUUAAAUACUAGGUUUUUAUUCAUCAUUUGGCUUUUGAAGUAUAUUCAUCUUUUUAUAUUGGUACCUAAAUUUUUUUGUACCAUUUUAGUACUUGAAUUAUAAUUCUGUUACACUUUUUUGGCCCUUGCCGUUAAUGGGGUUUAAAAAACAACAAUCGAUUAGAACAUACUAUGUGUUCCUGUCGACCACUGAUGUGGAUGUUGACCAAGUUUUAUUCGAAUAAAAUUUUUUAAAAAUUAUAAAAAUUGUAAAAUAUAUAUAUUAAAAAAUUUGAAAAUUAUUUAAAAUUAUAAAUAUUUUGAAAUAUUUUUUUAUUCCAUAUAAUGCCUUUAUUUGAUGAUGUUGGUAAGGAAGUCAUUCAUCUUUCUUGGGUAAUUUGAUAAACAAUCGCCAUGGAUUUUGAUUCAAAGAUCUUGUAAAUAUGCAACAAAAGAUUGUUUCAAGAACAAGGAGAGAAAAUAAAUAAGUAAUCAACAAUCCUUCCAAUGCCAAAGAAGCACUAAUCUUUUCAAAAACUUGUAAAUCGUCAUCACCUGGAAUUUAAAUAGUGCUUCAAUGACCCAAAUUUGUGGGGGAGAAACAACAAGAAAGAAAAUUGUUUUUACCAUUUUUAAGCAAAAUACAAUCUUUGUAGGUUGCUAAUGUUCCUUUACAAGUUUACAUGUGUAACACCCUUUAUUCGAUUAAGCUCGGGCAAUGAACGUUACAUUUAACACUAAACAUUUACUUACGAAUUCAAAUAGUUUUAAAUUGGAAUCUUACAAAUGGUACCAGGUCCUUAUUAUGUUUUUAGGAACAUAAUUUAUCUAAUAAUAAAGAUUAAUUGCAUGUAAAUAUUGUUUUAAAUCUCAUAUCACCUAAUUAAAAUUUUUAGUCUGUAUGUCUCGAGACCAUGGCCUUCAUGUCUCAAGACAUUGCCAUGGCAUUGUAGAAAUUUGGCUUUGAAAUUGCCUUGUCUAGGGACAAUGGGGCUUUUUUCUCAAGAUAAAGUCCAAUAUGUCUCGAGAUAUGGCAAUGUUAUUGUAGAUUUUUAGGUUCACAGUUUUGAUGUCUCGAAACACAUUUCGAGUAAUACUUAUCGCCUGACCUGAUCGUCGAGUCCGAGCUACCGGAUGCUACAGUCGUUGCCGAAGCAAUUACAGUUAACUUACAAGAAAAUAAUCAUAAUCACAUGUAAUUCAACGUCAAACACAUUCAUUUAUAGUUAUACAAUCAAAACCAAGUCUUAUUUGAACUUACAAAAGCUCUUUUGUCAACCUGAGCUCGAAAUAGGACCAAAUUGCAAAUUUUUAAAAUUUCAAGGUUGACAUCGUGACAUCGCCAAAUAGUUUGUCACGUUGUGACCUCAGGCCACUCGACGUCACAACGUGAGUCACGUCGAUCGACAUCGUGACAAGAUAAAUUGCUCAUCGAGAUGUGAACUCUGUUUUUGAUAAAAAUUGACCAUUAGGUACCUAUUUCAAAUAUUCCCAAACAUACCUAUCAAUUUAUGCACCAAAGCUAACUUCAAUUGAACAAAAACAUACCUAAAGCAUACCAAAAACACAUUACAUUUCAUACCAAAACAAGUCAUCAACUACUUCCAUUCAACCAUUUCAACAUAGGUUCAACUAUUAUCAAUUAUUCAUUUUCAUACAUUCCGUCAAAUACAAUUCCAUAUAAAUCAACCAAACCAUUCAAUUAUCCAUCCUUACCUAAGCCAAGUCAUAUAGAAUCAUGUCUGUCGAAACCAUUUUUAUUUUAAAAAACGAAGGUCGACUUUAAAACGAAAAUGGAGUCGCCACAAAUCCUUUUUGUUUAGGUGUGAUCGGGUCACCUUGUGAUCGAUCAUUUUAAUAAAGCAUUUUGGUUUAUUAAAACAACAUUUUUGGUCUACGAAAAACUAAAAAGCAUAUUCAGGAGUUAGUUACGCGCGAGGAAGGAUUAGCACCCUCGCAACGCCCAAAAUUAGUACCGUAUUGAUCAAUUAACGUCCUAAUGUUGAAAAUUUGAAAAAGAUUUUAAAAUACAAUUCCUUUAAAACAUUUGGAUAACUUGAAUUGGAUAUUGAGAUUCUCUCGCUUAAAAGGAAUAAAAUAUUACGUCCAGCACGAUUGGAUACAAUAUUUUGAACCCUCGACACAAGAUCAUCUCAGGAUUUCCAAAACACAUGCACUUAAAACUUUUAAAAAGGAUAUUUGGCUAUUCGGCCCAAACGAUAAAUCGAAACCCAGCACGAUUGGGCACGAUUUAUCGAAUUUCCAAAUAUGAAACAUUGCCUCAUUUUAAUUCAAGAAAACAUGGAUGAAAUGUCAAAAGAAUAUUCCGUAUCUUAGUCGAAUGAAAAAAAACGAAACCCAGCACAAUUGGGCACGAUCUCUCAAACUUCCAAACACGAAAUAUGGCCAUGUUUUAGUUUAAGAAAACGUGGAUGAAAUUUCAAAAAAGGAUAUUCCAUAUUGUAGUCGAAUGAAAAAAAGAAACCCAGCACGAUUGAGCACGAUCUCUCAAAACUCCCCAAAUACGAAAUAUUGCCUCGUUUUAAUUUAAGAAAACGUGGAUGAAAUUUCAAAAAAAAAGAUAUUCCAUAUUUUAGUCGAAGGAAAAAAACGAAACCCAGCGCGAUUGGGCACGAUCUCUCAAACUCCCCAAAUACGAAAUAUUUCCUUAUAUUGAGAGGGUUCUUUUGAAACACGAGUGGUUAUAAAAGUGGUGGAGCCUAUUUAUACGAUUUAUUUGAAAAUAGAAAAAAAUGAAAUAAACAAUUUGAAACAAACAAUAAAUAUCAUAGCUCACCGUUCAUCGACUAUAGUACAAAUGUACAAAUAUAAAAAUUAAAAUGCAUAAAAACAACAAUAGGCAAACAGGUAAUAUAUAAAUAUUAAUGCAUAAAUAUAAAAUUUAAUAUAAAUGAAUUUCAAAAGAAAUAUUAUGAGCUGAAAUUUAACAUAAAUGCUGUACAAAACAAUUUACAACUAAAAUUAGUAAAAAUGUGACAUCAAAAUGUACAUAAAAAUUGCAACAUAUGCUCAGGCCAAAUUUUAAAACAAAUAAUAUACAUACCAGAUAGUAUAAAUGAACUAUUAGUACCAUUAUAAAAAAAAUAUGCUAACGAAUAUAUAUGAAUUACAAUCUAUAUAGUAUAAAAUCAAUAAUCAUAAAAAAUAUUUGUUAACAACUUAUAAUGCACGUAAAGUAGAAACUUAAUGAGUAUAAAAUAUAAAAAUAAUGAAUCAUAGUGUUUUUUUUUAAAUAUAUAUAUGUAGUAAAAUAAGAUUUUUAGAAGAAAUAAAUUGUAUAUAAAAAAAAUUAAAAUAAACAAAUUACAAAAAUAAAACAAUUUUUUAAAAAUGUAAAAUAUUAAAAUAGAUAAAUAAAAAAAAGAGUAAAAGAAUUUUAAAAAAACUAAGAAAGAACUCCAUUGAAACAAAAACAAAAUUCAGAGGAUAGUUUAAAACAAAUCGAAUUAUUAAAACAAAAUCUAGGACUUGAACUAGAUAAGCACUAACAAGCAAGAACUAAAAAUGCAAAUUCCCCAAGUCCCAACACACUGCACCUAAACGCGGACUAAACUGGAAUGACACGCAAAUUCUAGGGAUGAAUUUAAAGAAUCCAAGAAAGCAUAAGCAAGGCCCAAUGGAUCACUAGCACGGAGGGGGGGAUUCCAUGCGCAAAUUUCCCAUUUUGGGUUAAACAUGUGGGCCCAGCACCAAAUGGUGUUGUUUUAAUCGUAUGUAAAAGCUAAAAAAAAAAAGAAACCCCCUAAAACAACAGCCUUGCAGAUUAUUUUCAAGAAAAUUCAAAACCCCUUUUUAGACUCACCCUCUGCUAAGGUUUCGUCUCUGCUUUGAGAUGCCGCGCACGAGGGUCAUCGGCACUUCUGCGCCUCCACCUCUGACGUCGAACCACGGGAUAAGGCCAGGUAAGCUUCUUCUUCCCCGAUUUUGAUGUAAAAACAGUUUGCAAGGAAAAGAAAGCAAGAAAAACAAAAAAAAGAGAAGAAAAGCGAAAUGGAAAAGAAUAAAAAAACAACCUUCUAGGCCUUCAAUCUGAUUUUUUUAUUGAUAUCAAUUACUCUUGUACGUUCUGCUAUUGUGUAUGUCCAAAAAUCGGGAAAAAAAAGAUCCCUUUACACUUGAUCUAAUUUGGUUUUUAUAGCUAAUUUUUCAACCUCUUUUACUUGUUUGCAGGUACGUGCUAGGUGUGGACUCUGACGUGGAGGUAGAGUGGUGCACGAUGCGGAGAGUCGCAUGACCUGCGGUGCUUGGAGACUGCCUCAGUUGCAAAUGAUGGCUCCUAGAGUUUUUUACAAUCUGUUUGUGUUUUGGGCCGUUUGGGCCAUGUUUGUAAAUGGGUACUUAGGUUUAGGUCUGCUCUUGUUGGGUCUUAGUUUCUAGUGGUUUGGGCCGGGUAAAAAUUGAGUCCAACAACUGCCCCUCUUUGCUCAUUGCCGUGUAACGGGGAUGGAGCAAAGACUUCAAAUGGGUCAAUUUUUCCUGGCCUUCGUGAUGCUCCUCUUCUUUAAGUAGUCUUACUGCAUCUUCAAGAAGAUAAUGUUCGUAACUUUAACUUGCCCCACUGUAACUUCAGGGAGAUAAGGUCAAUGGCUAAGAUCCAUUCCAUAGCCAAUAUAUGGAGAUAGGACUCGCCAUUUCUGAUAUGCUCCAUAGCCGAUACAUGGAGAUAAGAUCCGUAAUUUUUAGUCUGUUUCCUGUAACUUCAGGAAGAUAAGACUAGUAUUUUCAACCUGCUCUCUUGCUGCCCCAGAAAGAUAAGGUCGGUGGUUAAAAUCUGCUCCAUAGCUGAUAUAUGGAGAUAAGAUCUGUAAUUUUUAGUCUGCUUCCUGCAACUUCAGGAAGAUAAGACUUCUAUGUUCAACCUGCUCUCUUGCUACCUCAGAGAGAUAAGACUAGUGGUUAAAAUCUGCUCCAUAGCCAAUACAUGAGGAUAAGACUCACCAUUUUUUAUCUACUUCAUAGCCAAUACAUGGAUAUAAGAUCUGUAACUUUUCAGCCUACUUCCUGCAAUUUUAGGAAGAUAAGACUAGUGGCUAAAAUCUGCUCCAUAGCCGUUACAUGGAGAUAAGAUCUGUAACUUUUCAGUCUGCUUCCUACAACUUCAGGAAGACAAGACUAGUAGCUGAGAUCUGCUCCAUAGCUGAUACAUGGAGAUAAAGUCUGUAAUUUUCAGUCUGCUUCCUACAAUUUCAAGAAGAUAAGACUUGCUAUCUUCAGUCUGCUCCACUGCAACUUCAGGGAGAUAAGACUUGUCAUUUUUGAUCUACUCCAUAGCCGAUACAUGGAGAUAAGAUCUGUAAAUUUUCAGUCUGCUUCCUGCUGCUUCUUGCAACUUCAGGAAGAUGAGACUUGUCAUUUUCGAUCUGCUCCAUAGCCGAUAUAUGGAGAUAAGAUCUGUAAAUUUUCAGUCUGCUUCCUGCAACUUUAGGAAGAUAAGACUUGUAAUCUUCGACGAUACACUACACUGUCCUCUGAGGAACAUAUUCUGUAAAAUUGAUUUCAUGUAUGUAUGCUUUUACCGAAUAGUUAGGAUGCUAUGAUCGAAAUGAAUCAAACGCUCCUAACUAGAUGUGAUGCUUAUGUCAAAUAGUUAAGAUGCUAUGAUCAACAUGAAUCACGUGCUCCUAACUAGAUGUACUAUGAAUGACAUUGGUAUGAAUGCUGAAUGUCAUGAGAAAUGUCUUCUUUUUCAUUUUUCUCUUUUUUUUCCUUAUGGUUUAAGCUGUUAUUGCUCGCCGUUUGCUCUUGACGUAUUUCUUCUCGUUUAACUGACACAUAUCUGAAGCAAUAGUCUUCAAUUAAACUUCUUACCUCUCAAGUAACUCUGACCCUUAAGCUUGGUGGGUCUGAAUAAUUGACCUAUUUCGGGUUCUUGCACUACUUAGAAGCUUCUAGAGUAAUAUGCAGAACCCCUUUUGUGAAAAUAUUAUCAGUCUAUUAACCAAUUAUUUCAACAAAAAAUGCUUGAAAAAGACUAUCAGAAUGAAUAAGAUGAAACUUUAUUGAGAGCGAAACCUGAGGUAAAAUAUUAAUCAAGACAACAAAUUUUACAAAGGUACAAAAGAUAUAUGAGAUAGAAAAUUGGUGCCCUAGAUAUCGCAGCGUGAGCUCAUCUAUUCAGACUGUUCGAAAACCCUUGGAGGCCAGAUGUGUGUUUAGAAGGCCCAAGAUAUUUUGUUGAUGCUUCCAAGAUGUAAUGCUCCUCUUUCUUGUUAAUUCUAGUAGAAACAAGGUCGCAACAUGCCCCAUCUCUGAUCACAUUUUGAAUUGCCUUUUUCAGGUUUUCAACUCAAAACCCAUUGGUUUCAAAGCGCUCUUUGCGGGUUUUCACCUUGGCCUCUCCCUUUUUUUUCAGAGCACCCCUUUGCGGGUUUUCACUUUGGCAUCGUCUUUUUCAAGUGAAGUAUUUCUUGACCGAAUCUGAAUUUAUCGGGUUGGAGAAGCUUUUGCCGUCCAUUUUUGCUACUAUCAGUGCCCCUCCAGAAAAAACCUUUUUCACUACAUAAGGUCCUUCCCCAUUUGGCAUCCAUUUCCCCCUGAAAUCCUUUUGCAUAGGGAGAAUCUUUUUCAAUACCAAGUCCCCUUUCUGGAAUACUCUUGGGCAAACUUUCUUGUUGUAAGCUUGCAUCAUUCGCUUCUGGUACAUUUGACCACGACGGAUAACCUUCAGCCUCUUUUCCUCAAUCAAGUUUAGCUGGUCAUACCGAGAUUGAACCCAUUCUGCUUCAUCUAACUUCACUUCAGAUAAAAUCUGGAGAGAAAAAAUCUCGACUUCAAUGGGCAAGGCUGCCUCUAUCCCAUAAACCAACGAGAAAGGUGUUGCCCCAGUAGAAGUUCUGAUCGACGUACGAUAGGCAUAGAGAGCAAAUAGUAGCUCUUUAUGCCAAUCAUUGUAGGUCUCAACCACUUUCCCCACAAUCUUCUUUAUAUUUUUAUUAGCUGCCUCAACUACUCCAUUCAUUUUUAGGCGAUAUGGUGACGAGUUGUGGCGUUUAAUUUUGAAUUGACUGCAGACCUCCACUAUUACGCUGUUAUUUAAAUUUAACGCAUUAUCAGAUAUGAUACUUUCCGGCAUGCCAUAUCGACAUAUGAUUUCCUUCUUUAAGAACUUGCUGACUGCCAACUUCAUGACGUUUGCGUAUGAAGCAGCCUCUACCCACUUGGUGAAAUAAUCAAUGACCACAAAGAUAAAGCGAUGUCUAUUGGAAGCCUUUGGCGAAAUCGGCCCAAUGACAUCCAUGCCCCACAUUGAGAAAGGCCAUGGGGAAGUCAUGACAUGAAGAGGCGAAUGAGGCACAUGGAUCUUAUCACCACAAAUUUGCCACUUAUGGCAUUCUUGGCAUAAUUGAUGCAAUCUCCUUCUAUUGUAGACCAAUAAUACCCGAAUCUCAUGAUUUUCCUGGCCAUUGUGAACCCAUUGGCAUGCGUCCCGUGACACAUUCGUAAACUUCUUCCAGGAUUUUCUUUGCUUCAACAGCGUUAACACAUCUUAGUAGCACUUGGUCUUUCCUUCUUUUAUACAUGAUUUCACCGUCGAAGACAUAGUUAUCAGCCAGCCUCCUUAAUGUUCUUUUAUCAUUUUCGGUUACCUAAUCAGGAUAUACACGAUUCUUCACAUAUCGUAGAAUAUCCUGAUACCAAGGAUGAUCGUCCCUCUUUUCCUCUUCGCUGAUAUUGCAGCAAUGAGCUGGAGCAUUACAAAUACUCAUCUGGAUCGGCUUCAUACCCUCUUGUUUAUUUACUCUAAUCAUGGAAGCUAACGUAACCAAGGCAUCAACCAUCUGAUUUUCGUCACGCGGGAGAUAGUGGAAAGUAAUAUCAUCAAACUCUUUUAUUAAAUCUAGAACCAGCUCUUGGUAAUUAAUCAACUUUAAGUCUCUUGUUUCCCAUUCACCCCUGAGCUGAUAGAUUACUAGUGCAGAAUCCCCAUACACCUCUAACACCUUGAUUUUGCGCUCUACGGCCGCACGGAUGCCCAUAAUACAUGCUUCAUAUUCUGCCAUGUUAUUUGUAUAAUCAAAAUCCAAUUUGCAAGUGAACGAAUAGUGAUCUCUAUUUGGGGUGCCCUAAUUCCAUUGCCAACGGCAUUUGACACUCCGUCAAAAUUAAGUUUCCAAGGACAAUCUUUUGGAGUGUCUUCUUGAGUGGCUGCCACAUACAUUAAAUAUUCAUUGGGAAAAUCAGAGUUCAAGGGCUCGUAAUCUUCUAAAGCUCUACUGGCUAGAAAAUUUGCUAUCGCACUCCCUUUUACGGCCUUUUGGCUCACGUAAAUUAUGUUGAAUUCGAAAAGCAAAAUUUGCCAUCGGGCCAUCCUUCCAUUCAGAGCAGCUGACUCCAUCAUGAACUUAAGAGGAUCUAAUUUUGAGAUUAACCAAAUCGUAUGGUACAACAUGUACUGCCUUAAUCUCCGAGUUGUCCAGACCAAAGCACAACAUAGCUUCUCAAUCGACAGAUAUCUCAUCUCACACUCAGUGAAUUUCUUACAGAGUUAGUAUAUCGCCUUUUCUUUCUUUCCUGUCUCAUCAUGUUGGCCCACACACAUCCCAUUGAGUGGUCAAAUACUGUCAAAUACAAUAUUAAUUGUCUACCCGGGUUGGGUAGUGUCAACACCGGGGGAUUGGACAAAUAUUGUUUAACUCUAUCAAAUGUCUUGUGGCACUCUUUAUCCCACACACCUGGGUUAUGUUUCUUGAGAAGACGAAAUAUGGGGUCGCAUUUCUCAGUUAGUUGCGACAUAAACUGGACGAUGUAAUUUAGUCUUCCCAGAAAACCUCGAACUUCCUUCUGAGUGUAUGACGGAGGCAAUUGCUGUAUAGCCUUGACUUUUUCGGGGUCAACCUCAAUUCCUUUUUCACUGACAACGAAACCGAGCAGCUUUCCUGAUCUAGCUCCAAAAGUACAUUUUGUUGGAUUGAGUUUUAUCUGGAACUUUCUCAGUCUCAAGAACAAUUUCUUCAAAACCUGUAUGUGCUCUUUUUCUGUUCGGGAUUUUGCGAUCAUACCGUCCACGUAAACCUCAAUCUCGUUGUGCAUCAUGUCAUGAAAUAGGGUUACCAUGGCUUUUUAAUAUGUUGCUCCCGUAUUUUUUAACCUGAAUGGCAUCAUCUUAUAGUAAAAUGUUCCCCACAAUGUUAUGAAUGUGGUCUUUUCCAUGUCUGUAGGAUGCAUCUUUAUCUGGUUGUAUCCAGAAAAACCAUCCAUCAAGGAGAAUAAAGAGUAACCUGCCGUGUUAUCCACUAGCGUGUCAAUGUGGGGCAACGGUAAAUUGUCCUUUGGGCUGGCCUUGUUUAGGUCUCUGUAAUCCACACACAUCCCAACUUUUCCAUCCUUCUUAGGGACAAGGACAACAUUGGCAACCCAUUCUGAGUAAUUCACCACUUGCAAAAAAUCAGCGUCGAAUUGCUUCUUGACCUCUUCCUUUAUUUUUACUACAACAUCGGGUCUUAUCCUUCGAAGCUUUUAUUGAACAGGCCUGUACUCCUCUUUUAUGGGGACACGAUGUACCGCAAUGUUGGCGUUUAACCUAGGUAUGUCCUGAUACGACCACGCGAAGACAUCUUUAAACUCUUGUAGCAGUUUAAUGAGGUCUCGUCUUACUUCCUCAGUUAUUCAAGUUCCAGUUUUCACUUAUUUCCCUUCUUCUAAAGUCACAUUCUCGGUCGUCUCUUUAUGGGGUAGAAUUUGCUUCUCUUCCCGUUCUACCAUCUUUAACAAAUCAAGAGAUAACCCACAUUCUUCGUCAUCUUCAAAAUCUUGAGAUCCCUCUAAGCACAUAUCUGGCUCGAAAAGAGAUUUUGAGUCUGUAACAGUGUUGCUCAUAACAUCAAUAUCUGGAGACCUAUUACAACACAAAAAAAUAUCUAGAGAAUGAAUCUAAGGGUGGCUUAUUUGUAUGGCAUGAUUAUGAAUAUGAUGAGAAUAUGAACGAGGAUUUGGGUAAGAUGAGAUAUGAAAAAUGCAUUUCUUAUUAAAAAUAAAAGGUGUUUGAACAAGAGCCUACUUCAUAAAAUAUUCUUAUUGUUUCUAGGCUUAAAACAAUAAGUGUGUUCUGAAUAUUACUCUGUAUUAGCUUUAAAACCUACAGGAAUUUCCUUCACAGUCCAAUUAUUCAGGACACUUCCAAGCUCAUAAGGGCGGAUGCCUGAUAAGUUUCUUUUCAUCGCCCUUUCCUCCGAUAUGGUGUUGAUGCUCAAAUUGCUCAUCGAACCUUCAGUUGUCUUUUCUCCUGUCAUCUCUGAUUUAAUAUGCAUAAUUCCUCCUGUCACGAACGUAUUGGAAUAUGGGGGAAGGUCAUUGAUUCCCACUUGACCUCUACCCCAUUCAAUCAUGCCAUUCGUCUCUCUUAUUUCCUCACUAGCUCUUCCUUAUUCUGUCUGGCGUCUGGCCUAUACCCCAAACCAAAACGAUCCCACUUGCCAACUAAUCUCAGCACUUUGACCCAUCCAUGAAGAUAUUUUCCAAGUCCCCUUCCAGCCAAUGCUCAUUUUCCUAUCGUUGGUCGUAGGCCCAUCGUCGUGGCUCUUGAUAUUUUUGGCAUUGGGACCUUGCCUCCAUCGGUGAUAAAAGUUGCAUUUAUGAACUCUAACGACUGAAAAGAGCACUCUAUUGCUUCAUCAUCAUUCUCGAUGUACGGCGCAUCACUAGUAACAGAUGCGAUAAUGUCUUCCUCUGCAUUUAUAGUUAUCAGUCGACUUUCCGUCACCAGCUUCAGCUUCUGGUGAAAAGAUUAUGGAUCUACUCCCGUUGAGUAAAUCCAAGGCCUCCCCAGUAAACAAUUAUAAGAAGGCCUAAUGUCCAUCACGAGAAAGCCUACCUCAUAUGUGUUGGGUCCAAUCUGAAGGGGAAUCUCAAUCCCACCCAUUACUUUCCUCUCUGUGCCAUCGAAUGCUCUCACUAUGUUCUGGCAUAUCUUCAUGUGAGAGCUAUCUAUGGGUAACUUGUUCAAUGUAGAUAGGGGUAAGACAUUCAGUACCGACCCAUUGUCAAUUAAUGCCCCCGGUAGUGUAUAUCCUUUGCACCAGGUAGUGAUGUGCAAAGCCUUGGUGGACCCCGUACCACCUGGCGGUAUUUCAUCAUCGCUGAAAGAAAUGAAGUUGUCAGGGCUAAUAUUGCUGACGAGACGGUCCAGCUUGUUCACUGAAAUGUUUUCAGCAACAUAAGUUUCAUUCAACACUUUCAUCAAUGCAUUACGGUGUGCCUCCAAAUUUUUUAGCAAUGCUAGUACCGAGGUGCGAGCUGGCUGCUUGUGUAACUGCUCCACAAUACUAUAUUCACUAUGCUUUAAGAACUUCAGAAAUUUUUUAGCUUUAUCCGUUGUUACUGGUUCAUUAACCAGUGGUUUUGUCCUUCCUUCCCCUUGUUCAAACAUCAGAGACUUCUUUUUUACAAGCUUGGCUUUUGUAUUUGGUGUGCUGGCCAACCUUCCAUCUCCUGGCAAUGUCACAUUACAAUUAUAACUCCAAGGCACCAUUUUGUUAUCCUUAUAAGGAAAAGCUACCGGUUUCUGAAUCACCACUUUUGGCGUCGUUCUUGCUUCAACUUUAUUUAUUCCCGGUCGUGAAAUGAUCACCACUGGGUGAUUGACUUCACAGACCUUCUUUAUUAGCCCCUCCUCUGAGACGCACACAUGUUUCUCUUCAGCGAACUCGAAGAACUCCAUCUCCUUGUUGUCCAUUAGACCCUGUACCAGGGCCUUGAAUUCAUUACAUGUUUCUAUCUCAUGGUCCUCAUCUCCGUGGAACUCAAAAUAGUUCCCUACUUCUCGGGACUUACUCCCAAAGUCUUGUAUGACUAGACCUCUUCCUACCAUCUUCUUCAGAACCUCCCUCAUCGAAGUUCUCACCUCCGCUACAUCCAACUUAACUCUCCUUCUCAUAUUCUCGACUACCACGUUUACCCCAUUAAAAAUAUGAUUGGGUAACGGGUUUUUCGCGUUAGGCAUCUCAUCGAACUUGACAACACCCAAGUUGAUGAGCCUUUCGACCACUCUUUUGAAAGAAGUGCAAUUCUCGAUCAAGUGUCCUGCAACGCCCGCAUGAUAUUCACAUUGGGCACUUGUAUCAUACCAUUUGGGGUAUGGAGGCUGCAACGGUUUUAAGUAGAACGGGGAUACAACAUGUGCAUAGUAGUAAACUAGGGCUUCUCCGUAUUCUGCUUUGUAUUGGGUUCAUGUCUUGACGAAGCUUACUGGCCGGUGACUGUCGUUCUUGGUUGAUUAAUUGUGAUUGGUUUUAUAUGACCCAUGCUCACAUUGCCGACCUUAUUUUCUCUUUUUUUUCGGAGCUGACCUCCUGAUGCUCUCCCCAGCCUCUAUUUUUCCACUCCUUAUCGUAUUCUCAAUCAUUUCACUGGACAUCACUUUGUCAGUGAAACUCUUUGUCGUGCCUCCCAACAUAUGAUUGAUAAAAGGCGCUUUCAAGGUGUUGAUGAAAAGCAUAGUCGUCUCUUUUUCCAAGAGCGGUGGUUGAACUUGGGUAGCGACUUCCCUCCACCUCUGAGCAUACUACCUGAAACUCUCGUUUGGCUUUUUCUCAAUGUUCUGUAGCGUGAUCCGAUCGGGCACUAUGUCCGUCACAUGGCCAUACUGCUUCAUGAAGGCCUGUACUUGGUCUCUCCACGAUUUAAUUUGGGUACGACUCAGCUGAUUGUACCAUUUGGCUGCAGCCCCACUCAGACUAUCCUGGAAACAGUGAACGAGCAACUGAUCAUUAUUGACAUGACCAGUCAUCCUCCGACAAAACAUCGUGAUAUGAAGGCAACUGGUUCCGUUGUAUUGUUCAAACUCCGGCAUUUUGAACUUCGGAGGGAGCACUAGGUCUGGAACCAAACUCAACUCUUUAGCAUCCAUACCACAUUGAUAAUCUGCGCUUUCUAGCGCCUUGAAUUUCUCCUCCAGCCAUUUGUAUCGGACAUUCAGUUGCUUUGGGAGUUCUCCUUUUGUCUUCCCUACCUUUGCCAUCUCAUCAAAGUCGAGGACCGAAAGAUUUACCCCGAUCAUCCUCGGGUUUAGAAUAUGAGCCCGUCAAGAAAUUCAUUGGUACCGAAAUACCGGCCUGAUACUGGGGCUUGACAUUGACAGACACCCUUUGAGGUGGUAUUGGGGUAGUCACUGGAGUGAAACCUGGAGGGUAAGUAAGGAUCUCGCUAUCGCCAUCUAGGUUGACUAUAGGGCUCUUCCCUUUACCUGACCCUCUGAGCAACAACUGAGUUAGCUGAUUCAUCAUGUCCUUCUGCGAUUCUUGCAUCCGAUCUUUCAUAUCCUGCUGAAUCUUAGCCAGUUGCUAUUGCAUCUGCGCUUGCAGCCGCUCCUGCAUUUCUCUCUGCAUUUGUUCCAAUUUUUCCAGCCUUUAAUCCAUAGCUUUAGUUUUUUUGCGCGUGUAGUAUUGAUGUUCCAGGGUAACUAUAAUACGAUUACUUUUAAUCAGGGUUCCUUUUGUGAAGUUUAAUACACAUGAUGUAAUGAAAUGCAAAUGCAUGAGAUGUAUGCAAGACUAAAGAGGUGUCGAUUCUGAUUCAAUUUCAAUUAGAAAACUUUAUUAGAAAAUAAAAAACUUUAUAUAAAAUAGAUCACAUAUACGGCUUGGCCUUAAUGCUUAAAGUUUUAAUUCUCUUAAGGAGACUAGCCAGCUCAAGACCCCGGUCUGACACUAACUCAUACUUCACACUUAAUACAUCAGCUUGAACUGCUAAGGUCUGUAAAUGAUAGACCACUUCUCGGAUCUGAGCCAGGGCUUCACCCAUGAUAUAAUCUCUAUCCUUGACUUGGUCUUGCGAUCGACAGAACUGUUCCUUCCACUGUUCAUUAUUUGUCUCAAGGAAUUCAAUUCAAAAUUCACAGUUCUGUAAUGCAAACUCGAGUUAUUCUACCCUUCCUUCUAAAUCCUUAAUCCUACUCAGGCUUGCCCCUAGCUCAAUGUCAAAUUUACGACCACGAUUUUGAUGCAGCGCCCUUUCUAACUCUGCUACCCAAGCCGUUAACAUCUGCUUCUCAUCUUGGCCCUCAGCCAAACUCUUCUUUAAUACGCUUUCACGUGCCCGAGCAUCAUGGAACCUCUUCUCCUAUUUAUCAGCUCUAGCUUUUUCAACUUGAAUUUCUUGCUGCCACUGCUCUGAUGUCUUUCUCAAUCCACCUGUUCUCAUUGACAUAUGCAGCUUUUUGUAGUCAGUCUUCAAACCGUCUAAGUCAUUUUUGGCCUUCCUUUUCCCUUUCUUAACCUAUCGGCCUCGAGUCUCUGAACAUCGACAUCUAACCUCAAAUACAUCUUUUCCUCCUCUAAUUGUUCUAUCUUUUUCCCUAACUCUAAAUUCCUCUUUUUAAAAUCCUGUUUUAUGAUUUCUAACUCAGAGGAGACUACUUGUAGGUAUUCUUGCAUCGGUCGAGUGCUUUCUUGCCCUGGUCUGGGGAUAUUAUCAUUAACUCUUCUACCCCGGCAACUGUCUUAUUCGAAGGUCAUCAUUGGACCUACAACAACUCUUUUCAUUCGACGAGUCUGGCUCCAAGCGCUAAAAAUCUUUUUAAUCUUUUUCUUGCAGUUAACUCCUACAUACGUGAAUUCAAAUUGAACUAGCCCAUGCGUUGCCAGUAUGAACUGUCUCAAUCUGUAUUGCCUCUGUGUGAGUAAGGGAGCAUAUCCAACAGCUCUCCAAAUUCCAGAUAGAGGUACCCAAUCAAAACUCCCACACCAAUAGAAGAUCUCAUCGGGAACCAACCAAUGAGCUCUCCACUCAACAUCCUCCUCUUGGAGAUUUUGGAAGAGUGCUAUCCAAUUCUCCUUUGAUAUGUCAUCUCUCCUAGGCGUAACCGCUAUCUCCCUUAACGGGGAAUAACUUUCAGAGAAAACCCGAAUAGGAAACUUUAUCCACUUUCCAGAAAUUGCUAUAAAACCAAGCUAACAAUAACUGAGCGCACCCUAUAAAUCUGCCUUCUCCAACUCUCCUGCAUGUAUUCAAAGAUCUAAAUGUCUCAGCCAAGAUUGCCGGAACAGGUGUGACUCCUUUGCCUAAUCGGUCAAAAAGACCCGAGACUGCCUCAUCUACAUGCCCUAAUGCCCUCGGGAAAAUCAUUAAACCAUAGAUGCUCAAAGAAAAAACAUCAACUCUCCUCUUUGCAUCAGGAUGCACUAGAAUCAACUCCAUCAAACUCCUCCAUGGGAUGCACUUACAUUCCCCCUUUUUCUUGACCCUUGUUGCAAUCCACUGCUCACUCAUCCCUGUAUCAUUCAUCAAUUUCUUUACAAAAUGUGAGGCAUUAGCAUCCCUGGAAUAAACUCUAUCGACCUGAACCUUCGGACAAUGAAGUAGAGCUGUAUAUUCUUCUACAGUAGGUACCUUAUCUACCCUCCCAAAGGUAAAACAACUGUAGGCAGGAUUCUAAUACUGAACGAGAGCCCAGCAUAAGUGUUCGUCUACCUUGAUGUCAAGUAAGUAGGGUAAAUCCCCAUAACUACCAUAGAAUAACCUCUUGGUUUCUUCAUCCCGCUGGUCUCAUAUCUCCUUUAAUUCCCAGAGAUCAUUUUGCGUCACACUGAUGCGGGUGUAAUCACAUAAUUCUGAUGUAUACCCCUCGGCAAGACUGUCCCCCUUCUUUAAUUAUGUUUUCUUAGACCAUAUACGAACAACCGCAUUAUCUUCUACUUUAUCAAGAAAUUCGUUCUCCAUAACAAGCUCCCUAAAUUAGUAAUCAAACGUGAAUCGACGCCUCUUAUGAAUGAAAUGACAUGCAAUUAUGGCCAAAAUAAAACAUAACAAGUCAGUAUCGUAUACCAAAUAUAAAAGUCAAAGUAAAUGGAAAGAAAUAAUCAAACACUAGUUUGGGUGAUUGCUAAAGUUUGGAAUGACUCUACCUAGGGUGGACUCUUAAGGCUCGUUAUAUGUGGUUUGGUUCUAAAGAAAAGGGUACCUGAACCAGCAGAUUCCUCGGUCCUCACCCAUUAUAGGUUCAUAUGGGCCGAGUUUAGUUCAGGGGAAUACAUUUCCCUAUGGCUGCACGGAGGUAAAAACCUCACGAAGACAUAGGUACAGAUGUAUCCCGAAAGCGAUCCACUAUCCUGCAUGGAGGUGAAAACCUCACGAAGGAAAUAGUUUUUCACUCCCACUUAAAGGGUACGACCACAACAGUCAUGCAAGAUGAUGCAAGGGGAUAUAAAAACUCAAAGUACAAAACAUGAAUAAAAUGGUGAACCAUAAAACCCACGAAAUGCGAUGAAAGAAUCGUAUGUUAAAAACCAAAUUUUUAAAUUUUGAUAAAAGGACAGAAAAAUGAUCAAUUUUACGGCUUGACUCUCUUAUGUCCCCAGCGGAGUCGCCAAGCUGUCGAAACCAUUUUUAUUUUGAAAAACAGAGGUCGACUUUAAAACGAAAAUGGAGUCGCCACCAAUCCUUUUUGUUUAGGUGUGAUCGGGUCACCUUGUGAUCGAUCAUUUUGAUAAAGCAUUUUGGUUUAUUAAAACAACAUUUUUGGUCUACGAAAAACUAGAAAGCGGAUUCAGGAGUCAGUUACGCGUAAGGAAGGAUUAGCACCCUCGCAACGCCCAAAAUUGGUACCGUAUUAAUCAAUUAACAUCCUAAUGUUGAAAAUUUGAAAAAGAUUUUAAAAUACAAUUCCUUUAAAACAUUUGGAUAACUUGAAUUGGAUAUUGAGAUUCUCUCGCUUAGAAGGAAUAAAAUAUUACGUCCAGCACGAUUGGAUACAAUAUUUUGAACCCUCGACACAAGAUCAUCUCAGGAUUUCCAAAACACAUGCACUUAAAACUUUUAAAAAGGAUAUUUGGCUAUUCGGCCCAAACGAUAAAUCGAAACCCAGCACGAUUGAGAACGAUUUAUCGAAUUUCCAAAUACGAAAUAUUGCCUCAUUUUAAUUCAAGAAAACAUGGAUGAAAUGUCAAAAGGAUAUUCCGUAUCUUAGUCAAAUGAAAAAAAACGAAACCCAACACGAUUGGGCACGAUCUCUCGAACUUCCAAACACGAAAUAUUGUCUUGUUUUAGUUUAAGAAAACAUGGAUGAAAUUUCAAAAAAGGAUAUUCCAUAUUGUAGUCGAAUGAAAAAAACGAAACCCAGCACGAUUGAGCACGAUCUCUCAAAACUCCCCAAAUACGAAAUAUUGCCUCGUUUUAGUUUAAGAAAAAGUGGAUGAAAUUUCAAAAAAAAGGAUUUCCAUAUUUUACUCGAAGGAAAAAAAAAGAAACCCAGCACGAUUGAGCACGAUCUCUCAAACUCCCCAAAUACGAAAUAUUUCCUUAUAUUGAGAGGGUUCUCUUGAAACACGAGUGGUUAUAAAAGCGGUGGAGCAUAUUUAUACGAUUUAUUUGAAAAUAGAAAAAAAAUUAAAUAAACAAUUUGAAACAAACAAUAAAUAUCAUAGCUCACCGUUCAUCGACUAUAGUACAAAGGUACAAAUAUAAAAAUUAAAAUGCAUAAAAACAACAAUAAGCAAACAGGUAAUAUAUAAAUAUUAAUGCAUAAAUAUAAAAUUUAAUAUAAAUGAAUUUCAAAAGAAAUAUUAUGAGCUGAAAUUUAACAUAAAUGUUGUACAAAACAAUUUACAACUAAAAUUAGUAAAAAUGUGACAUUAAAAUGUACAUAAAAAUUGCAACGUAUGCUCAGGUCAAAUUUUAAAACAAAUAAUAUACAUACCAGACAGUAUAAAUAAACUAUUAGUACCAGUAUAAAUCUAUAUAGUAUAAAAUCAAUAAUCAUAAAAAAUAUUUGUUAACAACUUAUAAUGCACAUAAAGUAGAAACUUAAUGAGUAUAAAAUAUAAAAAUAAUGAAUCAUAGUGUUUUUUUUAAAUAUAUAUAUAUGUAGUAAAAUAAGAUUUUUAGAAGAAAUAAAUUGUAUAUAAAAAAAUUUAAAAUAAACAAAUUACAAAAUAAAAUAAUUUUUUAAAAAUGUAAAAUAUUAAAAUAGAUAAAUAAAAAAAAGAGUAAAAGAAUUUUAAAAAAACUAAGAAAGAACUCCAUUGAAACAAAAACAAAAUUCAGAGAAUAGUUUAAAACAAAUCGAAUUAUUAAAAUAAAAUCCAGGACUUGAACUAGAUAAGCACUAACAAGCAAGAACUAAAAAUGCAAAUUCCCCAAGUCCCAACACACUGCAUCUAAACGCGGACUAAACUGGAAUGACACGCAAAUUCUAGGGAUGAAUUUAAAGAAUCUAAGAAAGCAUAAGCAAGGCCCAAUUGAUCACUAGCGCGAAGGGGGGAUUCAAUGCGCAAAUUUCCCAUUUUGGGUCAAACAUGUGAGCCCAGCACCAAAUGGUGCUGUUUUAACCGUAUGUAAAAGCUAAAAAAAAGAAACCCCCCUCCAAAACAACAGCCUUGCAGAUUAUUUUCAAGAAAAUUCAAAACCCUUUUUUAGACUCACCCUCUGCUAGGGUUUCGUCUCUGUUUUGAGAUGCCGCUCACGAGGGUCAUCGGUGCUUCUGCGCCUCCACCUCUGACGCCGAACCACGGGGUAAGGCCAGGUAAGCUUUUCUUCCCCGAUUUUGAUGUAAAAACAGUUUGCAAGGAAAAGAAAGCAAGAAAAAUAAAAAAAAAAGGAAGAAAUGCGAAAUGGAAAAGAAUAAAAAAACAACCUUCUAGGCCUUCAAUCUGAUUUUUUUAUUGAUAUCAAUUACUCUUGUACGUUUUGCUAUUGUGUAUGUCCAAAAAUCGGGAAAAAAAAGAUCCCUUUACACUUGAUCCAAUUUGGCUUUUAUAGCCGACUUUUCAACCUCUUUUGCUUGUUUGCAGGUACGUGCUAGGUGUGGACUCUAACGUGGAGGUAGAGUGGUGCACGACGCGGAGAGUCGCAUGACGUGCGGUGCCUGGGGACUGCCUCGGUUGCAAAUGAUGGCUCCUAGAGUUUUUUGCAAUCUGUUUGUGUUUUGGGCCGUUUGGGCCAUGUUUGUAAAUGGGUACUUAGGUUUAGGUCUGCUCUUGUUGGGUCUUAGUUUCUAGUGGUUUGGGCUGGGUAAAAAUUGAGUCCAACAAUGUCAUUUCAUUUUCAUUUCAAACACUUUACCAUAUUGGCACAUCUAUUCAUUCAACUUACCAUUUCUUCCAUGUUUAACUUUUAGCAUAUCAAAUGUCAUGUUCAAGUUUAAAAUCAUCAAUUAAACCACAUUAAGCAUUAGCUAUUUCAUACAUCAUCUAGUACAUACCAAUUUUUCAACAACUCAAUAUUUGCCACAAAUAUCAAACGUACCAAAUGAUCAACAUAGUGACCAUUUACUUAACAUCUAAUCCCUAUAAACAUGUCAUGAUCCCAAAACUCAAAAUGAUCAAAAAGCUAUCAAAUUAAGGAUAGUGUGAGCUUUGAGGCAAUCCGACUUGAUGUUUUCCACAAAGUAUUGAUCUACAAGGGAAAGGAAAAACAACGAGGUAAGCAUAUAAAAUGCCUAGUAAGUUCAUAUGAAAUUUACAUUACUUACCUUAACAAUUCAACAAGCUAGAUUAUUAAACACAUUGGCAUUUAAUUGGCUUUCCUUAACAUACUUUGAUGCAACUAAUACACAUAAACAUAUACAACCAAAUAGGUUAGUUAAUUUACAUACCAAGAUCAUUAAGUAAGUAAUCAUAUACUGCAACUCAAUUUGAAAGCAUAUGCAAUCCAAUCUAUGCUCAAACCAUUUUAAUAUUUCCAUUUCCAUUAGGUUAAAGUUUCAUCUGAAGGAACUAUAGUAAAAUGAACUCAAAUACAUGGGAAUAUUUUGCUCACACAACCUGACAUUUUAUCGAAAAUGCUUACACAAGCUGGCAUCGUAUCGAGGUUACCAGUCCAAGCUAAACAAACGAUACAUAUAACUUGAGAAUCUGUAACAAAUGCUAGAUCUCGUAUCAUCAUGUAAAUCCCUGAUCAAUUACGUGUAUAAUCCUAAUGACAUGUCAUACGUAUCUUAAUCUUUUACUAAGUUCACAAGGGUACUAUUUUCAUCUACAUAUCAUUAACAAAACUUGUACUAGUUUACAUAUUUCAUACAAGUGCUAUAAACAUUCAACAUUCACAUUGAUACUCCGUACCUAUUUGUAAUAACCAAUAUUUUCAUAGUUUUCAAUUCAGUUCAUGUGAACUCAAAUAUGCUAAUUUCACCAAUUUCACUUAAAUAUAAACACGCAAUUGAAACAAUACAAUUCAAAAAAUAAUUUAAUAAUUUUCAUAUGAACUUACCUGGAAAAACAAUAAAUAAACGAGUCUUUGAGGACUAAUCGACAAUUUUUACUUUUCCUCAAUUUCUCUGGUUUGGUUCAAUUUUCGAUCUAUAUAAUUAUUUAAUUCAAUUAAUCAAUAUAAAAUUUUUUAUAUCAUCUCAUAAUAUGUAUGAACUAGUUUAAAUUCUAUCUUUUCGAAUGCCCAUAAAAUUUUAAAUUUUAUUCAAUUUAGUCCCUAAAAUCGAAAUAACAAUAACUUUCAAUUUUGAGCUUUGAUUUUAGAGCUGUUCUCAAUCACAUCCUUCUAGACCGUCUAUUAUCUAUUAGUACAAAAAUUUCAUAUCAAAUAUUCAAUUUAUACAUUUUAGUCAUUUUUGACAAAAUUAACAAUCAAACUUUACAAUCUGGUCUGUUUUACAUAUUUAAGUUUAAAAUUUAUCAAUUUAACAUCAAAUUAUUUAAGAAAUCAUCAAUUGGAACUUUAAAAAACUUCAACAAUUUUACAAAUUGGUACAUGGGCUAGCUAAAUCAAGCUCUCAUGACCACAAAAACAUAAAAAUUACACGAAAAGAACUUAAUUGAGCAUACCUAAUAGUUGCUGAAACUUUGAAGCUUUUGAAACCCUAUUUCUCCUUUUUAGUUUGGUGAAGAAGACGGUGCAGAAAAAAAAAUGAUUUGUUUUUCUUUUAAUUUUUGCUUAUAUACCUUUAAUUAACUUGAUUAAUCAUAAUUAAUUAAUAAAAACUUAAUUAAUUAAACCUUAAGUGUAAUCAACUAAAGUUAGUGGGUUUUAAAUACAUCCACCACUAUUUGAAGUAAUUAAAAUGGUUUAAUUAUCUUUUUGAUCUUUUAGCUAUUUAAAAAUCUAUAGUGAUAAGAUUUUUAUAAUUUAGUCCUUGUACCCUAAUUAACUAUACAUUUCUAUAUUAACAUUGUAAGUAUUAAAUAUUAAUAUUUAUGGACUUAGACUAUGGAAAUGGAGUUGUGAAAUCAUAGUUUCUGGCACUACUAAAAAUUGGGUUGUUACAUAGUUUCUUCCGGCUUCCACGUAGCCUCUUAAGUACUGUGAUGAUGUCAUAAUACUUUCACUAGUGCCACAUGUUUGUUUCUUAAAUAUUUUAUUUCUCGAGCUAGAAUCUUUACCGAUUCUUCACUAAACAUCAAAUCAGGAUAUUUCAUCAGGAGAUAACACAUAGGAUGGAUAGGAUCUAUAUCUUCAUAACAUCGAUACGUGGAAGACGUUAUGAAUCUUGUCUAAUUACAGAGGUAAAACUAGUUGAUAUGCUAUAGGUCCAAUUUUUCCAAGAAUAUUAUGCGACCCAAUAAACCUCGGAUUGACUUUUUCUUUUCUGUCAAAAUGCAAAACUUUCAAAAUACUUUAUCACCAAUCUAAAAUUCAAUGUCUUUUCUUUUCAAGUAAUAUAAAACUUUUUUCUAUCGAAAGCAACUUUCAAACAGUCUCAACUAAUCUAGAUAUUUUCUUUUAUUUCUUAUAUCAAAUCAAUUCCUGUUAACUUUCUUUCACUCAACUCUAACCAGCAUAGAGGAGUUCUGCAUUUAUGACCAUAUAAAACCUCGUAAGAUGUCAUUUUAAUGCUCGAAUGAUAACUAUUGUUGUAAGUAAGCUUAGCUAACGGUAGGAAGCUUUUCCAGCUACCUUCAGAUUUAAUCACACAACAUCGUAACAUAUCUUUGAGUUGAGUCAUUUGUUCUGAUUGUCCGUCAGUCUGAGGAUGAGACGCUAUACUGAAAUUCAGUUUCAUACUAAGGGCUUCAUGUAGCUUACCCCAAAAUCUGGAGGUAAAUCUUGAGUCUCGGUCUGAAAUGAUAGGCAAUGGCACACCGUAUAAUCUGACAAUAUCUGAUAUAUAAAUUUUAGCUAACUUCUCAUAGUAACCAUUACUAUCUUCCUAAAUAAAAAUGUUAAUUACUAACAAAUAGUAAUUAAAUCAUUUGUCAUGGACAAAUGACUCGUGGCAAUGUUACUUUUCAAUUUAUCAUGUAAUGCCGAUGAAAGGAUAUCAUUUACCAUAUUUGGGCUAUGAAUUCCACUAUUGUAAGUGGUGUUAUGUCAUGCAGAAGUUGUAUACUUAACGUACCAACUUUUGGCUCUAUUACCAAUUUGAACUUGGGUUUUUAAUAUCUAUGCAAAGAAGGGUAGAAGGUUUUUGGAAGAACCCUUUAGGAAAACACUAGACAAGAACAUCCCUAGAUUGUCAAGUGUUGAACUUGUUUCCUUAGUUGAAGAAUCUUCACUUGUAGCUACUUCUUCGUUGAAAUAUGUUCCUCUGAACGUUGUUGCCUCCACCCCUUUGAAUAGCCUUUAAGGUACUAGCCUGUAAAUGAGCUUGAAGGUUAUAGAAAUUGCACCUUCCCUCAAGUGGCAAAGACAUAUGUCCCUCUACUCAUAUAUUUUUAGUCUACCUUUUAUUUUCUUACUUGUGUGUUGGUUUUUUUUAUAACGAAUGAGAGAAAAAACUUGGAGCAAAAAAUUUAAUUGUUGGAGGGGGAAUUGGAAGUUUUAAAGAAUAAGUGUUUGAAUGAGGAUAGUCGCCCGAAAAGAGACCAAUUACAUUAUGUGUAACACCCUAAUUUUGGCUCAGAAGUCCAGUUGGAUCCAAAGCCUAAUAGUGGUUGUUAGCACGAACUAGUUCAAUCAAGCAUUCAAUUUAGUCUCGGAAUUAAAAAUUCAAAGAAGUCCAUGAUGCAUAACAAUACUAAAAAUCUAAAUUUUAUCAUUUCAUCUUAAUUUUCUGAAACAAUUCAUUUUAGGCUUAAUUCACAAUUUAGCCCUUGAAGAAUACCUAUUUUUCCAUUUUGAUACCUCAAUUUUUUUGCCCUAAUUUGUUACCAAAGGUAUCAAUUUCCUCUAUUUUUGGUCCAUUUGUAAUAGAAAUUAAAAAAAAAACGGUUAAGCAACUUUGGCCAAUGAAAAAAUGUCACAUGGCAAUUAAUUUUAUUUAAAAUAAAUUAUUAAAUUUAAAUUUAAAAAUAAAAAAUUAUAAUAUGAAAAAAUACUUUUGACUUUGACUAACCAUUGACCAAUAUUGACCAACAUUGACUGGCAACAUAGCUCAUUUAGAACAUGCAAUGUGUCCCCUUUUUUUUAUUUUUUUUUUACUAUUAUAUAUAUUAUAUUAUUAAGAAUGUAAAAAAAAAUCAUAUAUAAUAUAUACUUUUUAAAAACUUAGAAAUAUUUUUUAAAAAAAAAUUAAAAUAUAUAAUUUAAAAUUUUAAAAAGUCAAAAUAAUAUAUAAAAAUUAAAAAAAGGUAUUUAAAUUUUUUUUAGAAUUUUAUAAUUUUAUAAUUAUAUAUUUUAGAAUUUCAUAAAAAAUAAUUUAAUUUUUUUAAAAUUUUUAAAAUAAUUUUUUACAUUUUUUUACACUUUUAGUAGUAAUAUUAUUAAUUUCAACUAAUUUCUUUUCAGUUAUCCUAUUUUUUAUCAAUUUUAUUUUAUAAAAAAUUAUAAUUUAUAUGUCUCUUUUCUCUUUUUUUUUUAUUUUUUUAUAAUUUUAAUAUAUUUAAUUUCAUUUUUUAUAUUUUUAAUGUGUAUAUGCAUUUAGUAAAAGAAAAUAUUUAUUUUUACAUAAAAAUGUACAUGGCGCUUUUGUGAUUAGUUAUAAGAAUUUUUUUAAUCAUUUAUCAGGAAAUGAACUAAAAAAUAUAAGGGAGACAUAUACAAAAUUGGGGAUUUGAGUGUAUUUUAGAUAUCAAAUUAGAAAAAAAAUUAGGUACCAAAAUAAAAAAAAUGAGAAUACUUUAUAAGUGAAAUCGUGAAUUAAACCUUUAUUUUACUAAUAUUAUAUGAAUAGUUUGAAAAUUUUUCACUAAACUUAUCUCAUAUCAACAUGAAUUCAAUACUAAAAUUUUUAGGGUGUUGCAUUAUGUUAUUAAGAGCAAGGAUAAAGACACUGACAAAUCUAGAGGGGGCUGGCAUAGGCCCGACUCUCCUUAAAAUAUAAAAUUAUUAUUUAAGUCUUUAAAUUUUUUAAAAUUUUAAAUUAAUAAAGGUAAAAUUAUAUUUUAACUCCAUAAAAUUAUAAAAUUUAAUUUAAUUUUUUAAAAAUUAUAAAGAUAAUAGAUUAUAAAAAAUUAAAAUUUCAUACUGCUUUCUAGCUUCGUCCUUGGACAAAGAGUUGGCACUGUUGGAGAGAGAGACAAAGCAUUGUCUGAGGAGCUGAAGAGGGUAAUGAAGGAGCUACCUGUUGAGACAGCAGAGAAUGAAGAUCUACUCAAGCAGAUAAUCAACACCAGACAAUGCCACCGCGAAUGGACGCUUCUGGAAAUGCAGCUAAAGUAUGGGCCAUUAGAUUUCCUCAUGAGUUGUUGCAUUCCGUGUUAGAACCCUUCUUAAAAAGAGUGAAGCUUCGUGCUACUGUUGCUGCUCCACUUGAGAAUAAUGAGAGACUACGAAGGAAGCUACUCUAGAUGCUACCCUAGGCUUUGAAUAGAAUGUUAUAAUUAGUCAAGCGACUACUUCUGUUGUCGAGGAUGACUGAACUUUUAUAUUGUUUUUAUGAACCAUUGGAUUUGUUUUUUUGUGUUUGUUGUUUAUGAUCUAGGUUCAAAGUUGUUUGGAUCAGUGGCGAUCAGGCUAGGUUGCUUAGCAGAAGAAUCCAUGAAGGAUUCCCAGAAACGACAUCAAUUCUUGACAUCGUUUUUGUGAUAUUGGUCAAGGUAGGUUGAAGGUGCGCUAUUGGUGAUCUGUAACACAAAAUCAAAGGGUGCAAGAGUCAAGCACCCUCUGCUUAAGACAACAAAGUAUAACGGAAGAAGGAUCAAAGGAUGCAGGGUUUAAGGAAGAGAUUGUUUUGCGUACCUGAUCAACAUGGUGAAAGUGCAUAUUUAUAGGCUUUGUGCCUAGAGCUGCUCGGGUUGGUACCUCGAUUUCAGUUGGUUGUGCUUGGGCAUUUUUUUCGCAUAUUCAAGGUCAUUAGCUUCCUACCUUAUUUCGUUUUAACUCUUCACGGUCCUUGAUUGUGAAAGCUUUUGAGCUUUGCACAAGAAGGUCCCUUAUGAAGCAUUUCAAACCUGUUCCUAUUAUAUUAUGAGCUUAAAACCUUUUUAUGCGUUUUUGGUGAUUGAUUAGCCUACUCAUUGAUUAAACCAUUUUACUUGUCUGGGCUUGAGCCUGUGUUUAUUGUCUUUAGGUCUAGUACAUUGAAUUUUGUGUAUUAAAACUGUUAUUUUGGAUUUAUCCAAAAUCAAAAUGGUAUUGGAUUUAGAUGUGUUGAAUGAGUUGUGAUAAGGCUAUUCAAACCGAAAAAGGAAGAUUAACACAAUUGUGAGUCGGCGUGGCUAUGCGUGUCGACGGUGCUUACAUUGCAUGCUUGAUUAAUUUCCUCGGCACCUACGGCUCAUUGUCGACGGUAUUUCCUACUUGGUGAUUCGCAGAAGUUCCUGCAGCCGUGACCUCCAUUAUUCACAUUUUUGUUUGUGGAAAUCAACAGAAAAUACACCUACUGCUGCUGCUGCAUACAAUACUGGAUAUCUGAACAAGGCUUUGCACCAUUCAAUAUUAAAAAAAGAAAAAAAAGGAAGCGUUCAUCACAGUAUACCAUCAGAUCAUGUGGAAGUUAAUUUCCAACUUACACAUUUUUAAUUCAAGUAAAGACCUGAUGAAGCAAUGUCUAAAAACCAUUUAAAGAAAACAAAUGGCAACAGCAACCAUUCUAAGCAAGCACCAAAGAUAAGGCACCGAUAAAAAAUGUAUAAAUAUACCAGAAACAGAACAGCAAUUAUCAUUAAGAACUUUCUCCAUAAUCACUAACAAAACCUCCCAAAAAGGCACCAAACAAAAUAUUAAACCUAAGGAUACCUUCAAUAAUAAUUAAAAAAAACUAGUAAAAAGUUCCAAUAAGAAGAGUGGUGCUUAGUCAACUUCUUCCAUCUUGCUGCCUUCGGCAUCAGCAUCCUCCAAUAGGGGCAUAUCAGCAUCAGCUUCAGCUUCACCUGCAUCCUCGUCAAUGCUCAAGCCGAGUUUCAGCAUCCUGUGGAUUCUAUUGCCAAAGGUGUUAGGGUCAUCAAGGCUGAAGCCAGAGGUGAGGAGAGCAGUCUCGAAGAGAAGGAGAACAAGGUCCUUCACAGAUUUGUCAUUCUUGUCUGCAUCGGCUCUCUUUCUCAGCUCUUCCAUGAUGGGGUUCUCCGGGUUGAUCUCCAUCGUCUUCUUGCUUGACAUGUAACCAGCCAUGCUGUUAUCCCUCAAAGCCUGGGCCUUCAUGAUUCUCUCCAUGUUUGCAGUCCAACCAUACUCGCCAGUCACUAAACAACAAGGUGAGUCAACCACACGAUCAGAAACCACAACCUUUUCAACCUUGUCACCCAGCACAUCCUUGAUGACCUUGCAAAGACCCUCAAACUUUUCCUUCAAAGCUUCCUGCUUCUUCUUCUCAUCCUCACUCUCAUCAAUUUUAAGACCUUCCUUGGUAGCUGACACAAGCUUUUUGCCCUCAAAUUCCUUGAGCUGUCCCACAGCAUACUCAUCAAUAGCAUCAACCAUGUAAAGGACCUCAUAACCCUUCUUCUUCAGCUUCUCAAGGAAGGGAGAGUUCUCAACGGCCUUUUUACUCUCCCCAGUGAUGUAGUAGAUAUCAUUCUGACCCUCCUUCAUUCUGGUCACAUAGUCCUUCAAGCUGGUCAUCUCAUCACCACUCUUGGUGGAGUGGUAGCGGAGCAAUUCGGCAAUUUUAGUCCUGUUCUGAGAAUCCUCAUGGAUACCAAGCUUGAGGUUCUUCGAGAAUGCCUCAUAAAACUUGUUGUAAUCUUCCUUGUUCUCUGCUAUUUCAGAGAAGAGCUCAAUGCACUUCUUUACCAAGUUCUUGCGGAUAACCUUCAAGAUCUUGUUUUGCUGCAACAUUUCUCUUGAGAUGUUCAAAGGAAGGUCCUCUGAGUCGACAAUACCCUUAACAAAGCUGAGGAAUUCAGGAAUCAACUCCUCACAGUUGUCCAUGAUAAAGACACGUCUCACAUAGAGCUUAAUAUUGUUGGGCUUCUUCCUUGUGUCAAAGAGAUCAAAAGGAGCCCUCUUGGGGACAAAGAGGACAGCCUUGAACUCAAGUUGCCCCUCAACUGAGAAGUGCUUGACAGCCAAAUGCUCUUCCCAGUCAUUUGUAAGGCUCUUGUAGAAAGCAGCAUAUUCCUCUUUGGUAAUCUCCUCAGGCUUCCUCAUCCAGAUGGGCUUCUGUUUGUUCACCAAAGACCACUCAUGCGACACCUCCUUAAUCUUCUUCUUUUUCUUUUCUUCCUUCUCUUUCUCCUCAUCAACAUCCUCAACUUUCCCUUCUUCGUCCUUCUUAUCCUCCUCAUCUUCAUCAUCAGAAAUCUCCUUCUCAGUGGUCUUCUCAAUCCAAAGGGAAAUCGGGUAGCUAAUAAAUUCAGAAUGCUUCUUAAUCAAAUCCUUCAAACGUCGCUCCUCAAGGUACUCAAGCUGAUCCUCUUUCAAAAACAGAGUUAUCUUUGUACCCCUACCAAGGUUCUCCCCGGAAGUAUCCCUGGUAACAGUGAAUGAACCACCAGCUUGGGACUCCCACACAUAUUGUUCAUCAUCAUUAUGCUUUGUGGUUACAAUAACCUUCUCAGCAACCAAGUAUGCUGAGUAGAAACCAACACCAAAUUGACCAAUCAUACUAACGUCAGCACCAGCAGCCAGUGCUUCCAUAAACUCCUUAGUACCAGAUCUUGCGAUUGUACCAAGAUUAUUCACCAAAUCUAAACAACAAAAAUAUAUAAAUGCAUUAGAUUCCCAUUUUACAUGAAACUCCACAACUAAAUGCACAAUAGUUGAUACUCCAAUACACAAGAACACACUUACCAGCCUUAGUCAUGCCAACACCACUGUCAAUGAUGGACAGUGUGUUGUUAGUCUUGUCUGGAAUAAUGUGGAUGAAGAGCUCAGGUUGAGCAUCGAGCUUGCUCUUGUCUGUUAAGCUCUCAAAUCUGAUCUUAUCCAAAGCCUACAGCGAACAAGUAUAAGAUUAUAAGAACUACUAGCAUUAUUUUAUGCACAUUAGAUUUACGAGAUCAUUUUUAUUCACUAAUCAUCCAUACCAAUAAAGAGCACAAAUUCAAACCAACUUUUAAGUCUAAAAAAUCAGUCAUUUGAACAACAAAUGAACAUAGCGUAUCAUGUAUUGACUAAACAAGCUACCAGGAACAGGUUUAACAUUAUUUUAAUUACUAAUCAUACCUAAAGGCCCCUUAAUUUGCAGUAUGUUAAACAAAAUUAGAUUCACGAGAUCAUCUUCACUCACUUUUUUACAACUCACAAACACCAAUAAAGAGCACAAUUUGAAACUAACAACAUGAAGCUUUUAUAAAAGAUUAGAAAAUUUUCACUCUCGACUAACUUUUAUGCAUACAAAAUCACUCACUUUUAUCCGUAAUGAUAAAAAUACAUCAAAUGUCAAAUCUAAAUUUUUUUUACUGAGUAAUAAAAGCCAUAUGCAAAUCAAAUUGAAUAACCAAUGAACAGAUAUCCAGUAUUAAACGUCAGAAUAACCCUAAACAAAACCUAUAGCUUCCAUCAUGAAGAAUAAACAAACAAAAAAAUCCAUCAUCAUCAAAUCACGAAAUAUCAGAUUCAUUUAAAAAAGCAUUCAAAAGGAAAUUAAAAACAAAAACAAAAACUCAAUAUUUCUCAGUUUUUAAAAACGGAAAAUACCAUAAAAAGGAAACUUACAUCGGAUGCGUUGCUGAUGAGCUCACGAAGAAAGAUCUCUUUGUUGCUGUAGAAAGUGUUGAUGAUCAAGCUAAGAAGCUGAUUGAUCUCAGCUUGGAAAGCAAAUGUCUCUGUAUCCGCCAUUAAUGAAUAACCUCUAAACUCCCGAUCUAAAAUACGCUUAGCAAAAUGAGAAUCUCGAAAGCUUUCGAGGUUAGAAUUUGAAGAGAGAAGAAAAAGAUCAAAGUGAGGCACUGCUCUGAGCUUGCACUUAAAGAGAGUUAAUAUAUGAAACUUAAUUAGGGUUUCUAGAUCCUUCCAUUGCCGCUCUUCUUUAUAUUAAAAAUAUAUUUAUUAGAAAAAUAUCAAUAAUUGAAGCUGAAAAAUAAAUACUAUCAACCAACCAACCCGAGAACCAACCCGAGAUAUAUAUAUAUUUGGAGGUAGAAAAUUAAAUUAUAAUUUUUUUAUAGUAAAAAUAUAACUUAUUAUUUUAGUAGUUUAUAUUUUUAUAAUUUUUAAAUAAUUAAAUUAAUUUUCAUAUUUUUAGUGGCUUAAAGAAUAAUUUUAUUUUUAUUGAUUUAGAAUUUAAAAAAUUUUAAAGACGUUAGAUAAAAGAAUUUUUAUUUUAAGGGAGGUUGGGCCCUACUAUUAGAGAGUAUUUUUUUAAUAAUUUUAUUAUAGACUAUUUUUUUAACAAUUUUAUUAUAGGUUUAGUCAUAUUUGUUUUUUUUGUGCCACAAUACGUAGAAUUACAUAUAAUUUCUUCCCAACUUAUAAAUGAGAAGAUAAUGAGUUUCAGCACUGUCGAAUCCAUAUCUUCCUACAUUAGCAACAAUACCCAUACAAAUCGAAACAAGAUUCAAUCGGCUACUAUUAGAUAGGAAUUGAUAUGAUGAAAAAUACAUGUAAAAAAAUAUGAAAUAAUUUUUUUCAAUUAAAAUAUUAUUAAUAAAGAUUUAAUUCGAAAUUUUAUUACUAAUAAAGUUUAUGAUAAUAUAUUAAAUACAUGAAUAUUAUUGGUAUUUAAUAAAGGUAAAUUUGGGAAUUAUCACUACAUUCUCAAAAAAUAAAUAGUGAAUCAAUCGUGAUAAUACAACUUUUCAAAUAUUUUAAUUCAUACUUUCUAAUGUCUACCAAACGUUGCAAAAAAAAUCUUGUUGAAAUUAUAACAUUAAAAAGUACCAAGCGCUACCUUAAUGAAUCACAUUAAGUCAUUGCAGGCUCGGCCCUAAAGGUUGUUUGAUAGUGCAGCCGUCUAAGGCCAAAGACUAAAAAGGGUCCAAAAAAAUAUUCUUUUAGCUUUUAAUAUGAAAAAUAAUUCAAACUAAAAUAAAUUAAUUAAGUGACUAGUACUUUCAUUUUUUUUACCAUAAAUACUUCAUCUCUUAGGGUCUCAACAAAUUUUCAGUUUUUAUUAUAUUACAUUUUGUAAUUUUUCCUAAAGUGAACUCAAUUUAUUGCUUUGUCUAGGGCCCAAAAUGUCAAGAACGGGUCUAAAUCACUGUAUCAUUAAAUAAAACACCAUUUGAAAACUUGUAAAUAAAAACUGUUGAGUUUACUUCAAUGUGAUUAAAAUUAAUUAAACUUAUGGUUUUUUCAUUUCUUACAUAAAAAAAAUAAAAAAAAACUUCUUUAAAAUCCUAAGAAAAACUUGUAAAGCUAUUAUUUUCUUAUCUACUUCCUAUUUCUCUAUAAUAAAAUUAUAAUUUUUUUUAGGAUUUUAAAGAAGAUUUCUUUUCUUGUAGGAGAUGAGAGGGUUUUUUACUAAAAUAGGACAAUAAAAUAAAAUAAUACUAAAAUAAUACAAAGCAAAAAUUAUGUACCAAAAUGGUACGUUUGGGUGGUGCCGCCUAUGACAGAAGCGUGAUCACCCAUGUCAAAUCAAAAUUCUAUUUAAAAUUUUAAAAACAAAAAAAAAACAAAAAGCUAAAAAAAAAAACAAAAGUUGGCAGAUCGAGGGGGUGCCAGAGGCGGCACCGGUUAUGCCUUUGGCAGAGGCGGCACCUUGAUGGGACGGCUCAUGCAGCAACUCAUUUGUUGUUUUGUGUUAGGGACCAUUAUAAGAUCCCCAUGUUUCAGCAGCAGAAGCAAGAAGCAGAAAGGAGAAGAAGAAGAAUGAGAAAGAAAAAAAAAAAGAGAAGAGAAGAAGAAGGUCCCCAACUCAAAAAAAACAAACGAGGUGCCGCCUCUGCCAGAGGCACAACCGGUGCCGCCUUUGGCACCCCGUCGAUCUAUCAGCUUUUGAUUUUUUUUUGUCACUUUUUUUUUAGCUUUUUGUUUUUUUUUUAAUUUUUAUACAAAUUUUUUUAUUUGACAUGAGUGGUCACGCCUCUCCCAUAGGCGGCACCACCCCAAAUAUACCAUUUUAGUACUUAAUUUUUGCUUUGUAUUAUUUUGAUAUUUUUUAUUUUUUGUCCUAUUUUAGUAAAAAACCCGAGAUGAGAACAUAAUAAAAUUAAUCAAUUUUAAUUAUAUUCAAAUAAACUUAAUAGUAUUCAUUAAUAAAUUUUCAUUUUUUUACCUUUUUACUUAUUAAUGAAAUAGUUUGACGUGAUACAAUGAUGAUGUAUGAGAUUUAUAUAAUAUGUACAAAAUUAAAUAAAAUUUAAUUUAAAUUAUAAAUAAAAAAAAAUUUAAAUAGGUAAAUACAUUGAAUUAAAAAUAUUGAACUCUAAAUAUUUUUUUAAAAUUUUGAUUUUUAAUUGUUUAAAUUUAAACACUUUAAUCAUAUAAAAUUAAAUAAAAGAUGAAAAUAUCAUUACAUCAUAAUUAAAAAUAAUUUAUGUUAUUUUGUUAAGAAAAUAAUAAAUAAAUUUUUAUAUUGUUUUUUAAGUAAAUUACCUAUAUAACCUUUUUAAUAUAUCAUGUUUAUUUUUAAAAAUUAAUUAUUUGAUAAAUUCUCAAUCGAGUUGGUGUUCAAUUAACCUAUUAUAUUAAACUCAAUAAAAAAUUUUAAAUAAUAACUAGAUUAUGAUACACCUCGUUAUUUGCGUGAAAAUGUUUUUAUAACAAAUUUAUAAAAAUAAAUGAGGUAAAAACUAAGUACAACUUUAGCUAAUAUGAUAAAGUUGAAGAUGUGGAAAUCAUAAUAUUUUGGGUUUAAAUCUCAUCAUAUACAUAUAUAUGUAUGUAUUUUUUUAGAUUUUAUAUAAAAAUAUAAAAAAACAAAAGUAUCUUCAAAAUAUAUUUUUUAAAUAUAUCUUCAAAGUAUUUUUUGUUGAUUUGUAAAAACAAAGAGGUUUUUUUUUUAUAAUUUCACAAAUGAAUUGAAACUCAGUUAAUAAGUGGCAUUAACUCGAUAAAUUGAUAAAUAAUGGUAUAGAGAUGGACAUAUAUGUAUAAAAAAAUAGUAAUUGUCGAUAAAGUAAUCAAAAUGUAAACGAUUUUUAAUGUUUUUAAAAUAAUAAUUGAUAAAUUAUUAAAAAUUGCAAAUAAUUUUCUAAUUGAAUUUAUUAAAAUUUAUUAGCACGAUGCAUACAAGUUCCAAUUCAUAUAAAACAUCAUAUCCUUAUACAUGUAUAAACAAAAGCUUUUGUUAUAAAAAAUACGAUUUAACUACUAACUAGAGGCAUUUAAUUAUUAGUUCUGCUGAAUCACUUUAUACACAUAAACAUAUUUGCGACAUUUAUACCCACCGACAAUUUAACAUAUAAUAAUCAUUGAAAGCUUGAGAAAUGAACUUACAAACAUUAGCAAUAAUUGUCCUAGUUGCAUAAUUUAAUUAUUAAAUAAGUAAUCACGAAAACGACAGGUUGCACAUUCAUAACUCAAAUGUGACAUCUUGUAGAUGCAUCUAUCAAAAUCAUAUCAAAACAUCCACUUGUUGGAUAAGCGGGUUCAUAGUUCUUUAAAAAAUGGUACAAAUUCAAUUUUAACUUUUGUUAGUGAUGUUUUUAAUAACUCGUAUUCUUUGAGAACAAGCAACAAUUAAAAAUAUUUAAAAUUAAGUAUAUUCAGGUUCUUUAAUAAAUUUCUAUGUAAAUUUUUAUGUUGCCGUAUCAUUAUUGAUUGAGAUGAUAUAAUCAAUCAUGCUAAUUAAUUAGUAUAUUUGGACUCGUAAAUUUGCAAUUUAUUAUGCACGUGAUUCAAUAAUACUAAAGUAAACUUUCAGUUUACAAUUGGACGUGAUUUAACCAUACAAACAAAUAUACUAAUAUUGUAUUGAAGAAAACACCAAGUUAAUAAGUGGUGCGAGAUUAAAAUAUAAAAUCAUAGCCUAAAACCACAUGGAUUUUCGAUUAAAAAACAAUAAUGAAAGCAAUUAGUGGUGCGAGAUUUAAUCUUUUUGCAGGCAGUGAUUUUUUUUAUUACAUAUUAUGAAAUAAAUAAUAAAAAGAGUAAAAUAACAAGAAAAAUAAGAGAGCGAAAGAGAACGUAUUUAUUCAAAAUCAAAAUCCGUUGGAAAGAUAAUCAUAAUAAUAUCACUUAAUCUAAACGGUGAGAUAUAAAGUUAUGACAAUAUAAACGGUGAUAUAUCAAAUUAUGUAGAAAGUUAAAGUAUAAAGAUUAAAUAUCAAAUUAAAGACUUGAAAUUGCAAUUUAAACAUUUUUAUAUAUUCUAAAAAAGUAGAGGGAUUAGGUUUGAAAUUUAUCCUUUAUGUUAAUAAUAUAAUAAAAAUAAAAGCCUUGGACGCUUCUCCAUAAGUCAAUCGUAACUCAAGCUACAAAAUUUCGAUUCACUUGAAUUCAAAAUUCGUUGGAAAGCUAAUAUUGUUUGAAUCAAUUUCAAGGACGAAAUUGGAAAGUUCCCUAAAUCAUUGUAGAUUGUUUCAAAGAUUUGAUUUGGAGAUACACAAAUUAUGAAAUUAUACUAAUUAAUUUUAAAACCAAUUAGGAAACUAUAAUCUUUAAAUAAAAUCAAUUCCCCUAAAAUAUUGGCUUCCAAAAUGGAAGAAUUUCCAUUUCCCACCCUUCAUCAAUGGGUGAAAUCAAGCAAAUUAUUUCCAAAAAAAAAAAAAAAAACCAUGCACACAAAGAGCAUUUAGCACCACAUCACAAGCAACACACACAUAUAUAUAUAAACAAACCAAAACAUAUAAUAUCGAAGACCAAAGCAAUGAUGCAUACAAUUCUUUCUUCAUUGCUUUUAUCAUUCGUUGUUUUCUCUUUGUCGCAGUCUCCUACUUUUGCUAUAAAAAAGGUGGGAAAAAUCUUCAUCUCUUUUAAUAUCCCAAUGCAAAUUCUUGGUUUAUUUUUAAAUUUGUAUAAAUUCUUUUUUUUUAAAUUUAUUUUUGUUGUUGUUCUUGUUGCAGUCUUAUAUAGUGUACUUAGGAGGACAUACUCACGGUCUAAAUCCGACAACUGCCGAUCUAGAGUACGCCACGAAUUCUCACUAUGAAUUGUUGGCUUCAUCUGUAGGAAGGUAUAGUUAAAAACAAUCUGUAAAUUUUAAUUUAAUGUAUUUUUGUAAUUCAAUUUCAAUAUAGUUCUUGUUUUGCUGUACUGAAUUAGCUAGAGAGAAAAUAUUUUACUCGUACACUCGAAACAUCAAUGGCUUUGCUGCUAUCUUGGACGACAAGGAAGCUGCAGAUAUUGCAAGUAAUAUAUAUAUAUAUAUAUAUAUAUAUAUAUGCAUAUGUAUUUGUGUAUGCAUACAUCAUUGAACUCUGCCUAUGUUUUUUCUGAUGCAUGUAUGUAUGUUUGGUCUAUGAUUAAAAACAGAACAUCCUAAUGUCGUGUCGGUUUUCUUGAACAAAGGACGAAAAUUGCAUACAACACAUUCAUGGGAUUUUCUCAGAUUAGAGAGGGAUGGUUUGGUCCCUGUUGAUUCACUUUGGAACAGAUCGAAUUUUGGUGCCGAUGUAAUUAUUGGAAACCUUGAUACAGGCAUGUUAUAUAUUUGGUUUUGCUGGCAUGUUUUUUUGAUAUGUUUUUUUUGUUGUAAUGUAAUGGUUUUUUUUGGUGAAGGUGUUUGGCCGGAAUCGAAGAGUUUUAGUGAUGAAGGGUAUGGACCCAUCCCAUCAAGGUGGCGAGGAUCGUGUUCCCGUGAUGUUGGUGGAGUUGUUUGCAAUAGGAAGUUGAUUGGAGCGAAGUUCUUCAACAAAGGUUAUUUGGCUUUCAUUGGUGUUGCACUCAAUAACACGUUCAAGACUGUACGAGACCACGAGGGACACGGUUCACACACCCUCUCAACAGCCGGUGGCAACUUUGUUCCCGGAGCUAGUAUAUUUGGUCACGCUAAUGGAACUGCGAAAGGAGGAUCCCCUAGAGCACGUGUUGCAGCUUACAAAGUAUGCUGGCCACCUCUCGUAGGUGGCAAUGAGUGUUUUGAUGCAGACAUCAUCGCUGCUUUUGAUGCUGCAAUAAGUGAUGGUGUUGACGUGCUUUCUGUGUCGUUGGGUGGUAAUCCAUCUGAAUUUUUUGAAGAUGGGAUCUCGAUUGGAGCUUUUCAUGCCGUUAAGAAAGACAUUUCUGUUGUUUCAUCAGCUGGAAAUUCCGGACCAGAUCCAGGAACUGUAUCAAAUGUGUCACCGUGGAUGUUCACUGUUGGUGCUAGCACACUCGAUAGGGAGUUCGUAAGUUAUGUCCAACUAGGCAACAACAAGCAACUCAAGGGAGCAAGUUUGUCUUCCGUAGCAAUGUCAUCCCGGACUUUCUAUCCGUUGAUCAGUGGUGACAAGGCCAAAGCAGCCGAUGCAUUAGCAGAAGACGCGUACGAGUCACUCUCCAUUUGAUUUUCAUAAUCCUACAUCAUUAAAAUAUAAAUGAGUUGCAUUGGUUCACUUGGACAUGUGUGUCUUUUGCAGCAUCCUAUGUCAGCCCGAAACAAUUGAUCCCAAAAAAGCUAAAGGGAAAAUUUUAGUAUGUGUUCGAGGAAUCAGCGGGAGAACAGGCAAGGGAAAACAAGCUCUUCUUGCAGGUGCAGUCGGGAUGAUACUUGUAAACGACAGGAAAAGCGGAAAUGAAGUCAUAGCAGACCCUCACUUGCUCCCUGCCACACACAUAAAUUUCACUGACGGUAAUACUUUGUUUGCAUAUAUCAACUCUACCAGGAACCCCACAGCAUAUAUUACUCCUGUGGAGACAAAAUUUGGUUUAAAGCCUGCGCCGGUUAUGGCUGCUUUCUCUUCUAGGGGACCUAGUUUAAUCGAGCCAUCGAUCCUCAAGGUAAGUUUUCAAUGGCUGAAUCAUUGACCCUUCAGAUUAGUAUAUAAUGUUUCUAAUUUGUUCGAAUAUCUGUCUCAGCCUGAUAUAACUGCACCAGGAGUGAGUGUCCUUGCUGCUUUCACUGAAUUCGUUGGUCCGACUGAAGAUGAAUCCGAUAAUCGUUAUGAUGCCGUUCUGUUUACAAUCCGGAACUUCAAUGUCAUGUCCUCAUGUUUCCGGUAUUGUUGGUCUCCUCAAGAGCCUACAUCCUGAUUGGAGUCCAGCAGCUAUAAGAUCCGCAAUCAUGACCACUGGUAUAUACAUAUAAACUCUUUUAAAAAUCUUCUUCCAAACUGAUUUGUCGUCCUAACUUGUUUUUCUCCAAUACCAUUUCGCAGCAAGAAUAAGAGAUGACACUGGGAAUCCAAUGCUAGAUUCGAGCAACAAGAGAGCAACCCCAUUUGCUUACGGCUCAGGACAUGUUAGACCGAACCGUGCAAUGGAUCCCGGUCUUGUUUACGACCUAACAGUUAACGAUUACUUGAACUUCUUGUGUGCCCGUGGCUACAACCAAAACCUUUUAAGUCUAUUUUCGGUCAAGCCGUAUGCAUGUCCGAAGUCAUAUGGUGUAAUGGACUUAAACUAUCCUUCCAUUUCGGUUUCUCAACUCAAUGGCUCAAUGACGGUUAGCAGGACAGUUAAGAACGUUGGUUCAGCAAGGUCAACAUAUAAAGCACGUGUUAGAUCGCCAGCUGGAGUUACUGUUUCGGUUAAACCAUCGACAUUAAAGUUCGAGAAGAUCGGUGAAGUGAAGAAAUUUGAAGUAAAAUUCGUGUUGAAUAAGAGCAACGCAAAAUCUGAGGAUUAUGUUUUCGGGGAGUUGCUUUGGUCUGAUGGUAGUCACUAUGUGAGGAGUCCUAUAGUGGUGAAGCAUAAGUAAAGUUUUUUUCUGUUUAUUUUUAGGGUUGGAGGAUGAAAUUGAACAUUUUUAUUAUUGGCAUUCCAUUCUUUGGAAAAUAAAUUAAAAUAUGUACUCUAGAUGAAAAUUCAAUGCUUUUAAGGAAGUUAAUAUAUUAAAAAAUCCUAAACCUGAUACACUUUAUUCAGAUAAGUCCUUAAAUAGCAGAAAAUUUAUUCAGAUAUAUCAAACUUCUUUUAAUAUAUUGGCAGAAAAAUAAAUUAAGAUCUUCCUCGUAAAAUAACUUUAAGAAUUUUUUUUUGCUUUUUACUCUUUUUAUUUAAUAUUUUAAAUUUUUAUACUUUGUGAUGACAAUAGGGAUUAGUGUGACAAAUUUUUGCCAGCCUCGAUUCCAACUCAAUACUCUACCACCAUUCCCUGAUCUUAAGCUUAAAAAAAUUGUAAUCUACCCCAAACUCGAACCUGAAAAUUAAUUGUAUAUCUGACCCUGAUUUAAUUUGAGUUCAAAAUUUUUUAUUUGAAAUUGUGAUUAAUUACAUUAAAAAAUAUAAAAAAACUAUGCUUGGGAUGAUUAAGUAAAAAAAUUUACAUCAUAGAAAAAAUAAGAAACAAAAUAAGAGGGGACUUCGAAAAAUAAAUUAAAUUGAGAGGGUGAAAGAAACUAGUGUGAAAUGAAAGUAAAUACGGUAAAAUGAUAUUGACAGCUAUGAAGUUUAAGAAAUUUUUAACUUAAUUAAUAUGAAAAAAAAUAUAAGACUAAUUUCGUAAAUAUUUUGAGACGUCCCGAUUUGAUCUAACCAUUCUUUAAAACUAACUCGACCUAGAAUUCAUUUUCAAAAAAAUACCUUGACCCUAUAAGUCGGAUUCACUCGAAACAUGUCAAUUUCAAAAAAUUUUGCCAUCCUUAACUUUAGUAUGCUUAAAUGAUUGAAAAAAAAAUCUAUAUUAAUUCAGAAAACAUUACAAUAAUUUUUUCAACUUCUACACAUUUAAUUCUGGUCACAUAAAUAAAUUUAUUAUUUUAAAAAUAUUGCAUAAUUUAAUUUAACGGAACUUUGUAAUAAAAUUAUGGACUUUAUUAAAUCAUAGAUAAAUUAAAUUUUAGAGAAUAUAAAAAAUAAAGGGUAAAUUGUAUUAGUAAUCACUCAAUUUUAGUAAAUUUUUUUUUGGUCACCCAUCUAUUAGUAAAUUUGUUUUGGUCAUCCAAUUAUUAAAAGUUAUAAAAUGAUCACUUUGUUAUUCUAUUUUAUCUUUUUCGGUCACCCAACUAUCUUAGAUUCUUAGGUAUAGUCAUUUUUAUAUUAGUCCAAUGACCAAAAAAAAUAAAAUUGAAUAGUUAGGGCGAUCAUUUUAUAAUUUUUUAUAGUUGAGUGAUCAAAAAGAAAAUUUACUAAUAGUUGAGUGACUGUUUUGUAAUUUUUCAUUGUUAGGUGGCAAAAAAAAAUACUGUGUAGUUUACCCAAAAAUAAAAAGUAAUUUUCAAAUGCAUAAACUUUGGACAAAAUUAAACCUUUUAAAAUUUUUUUCCCAUGAACCUAGUUGCCAUUAAAACAGAAUAAAAGGAGACAAACCCAGAUCCAAAAUCUUGAAACUAGAGAUCUGGUGUCUUUAAUUGUAUUUGACUCAUGGUUUAUAUACCCAAAACAGAAAGAAAAAUUGAAUUUGGUCUAUUUUAAAUUAAAGCCUCGUUAAUCCAUCAAUCAAAUCAAUUUAGCCUCUCUAAAUUUUCUCUAUUUGCCCCAAAAGGCCCAAUUCCUCCUUCUUCCCCAUCUCUUCACUUUCCAAUUUUCCAAGUCACCCAUCAUUCGGAAAAAAAAAAAAACAAGAAUUUCAGAUUCAGAGCGCACUUCGCCUCUUCUUCUACUGUUAUUGUUCUCUCAAAAUUCUUGGGUUUUUUUUUCAACUCAGAUCCUUCAUUUCUGGCCAAGGAAACAGAUACCCAAGCUUCUUGAUUGUGUAAAAAAGAUCGUUGUAACCAAAUAGAUCGGUUUGUGUUUGUGAAAUGGCUUCAACGGGGAAUCCAAAUCAAACCAUCCCAUUUGAUGUGCAAAAGUUCUUCAAACCCACAGUUUCUAACCCAUCAAAUUCCAACUUUCAACAACAAAAUCUAUCUUCUUCGCCAUAUCCUACACCUUCUCCUUACCCUUCACCUUCUCCACCUUUCUUUCACCCACAGUAUCACCAAUUCUACAUGCCUCCUUCUUCUCCUACCCAUGCUACUUACCAAGAUUCCAAAUCCCUUUCUUUCCCUUCACCCCCUCUUAGCCCUUACAAUGCUGGCACCCAAAUUCUUGCCCUUAUUAACUCUUCCCCUCAAAACCCUGAUUUCCCACCUCAAAAUCAACCCCCUAAACUGCAGCAACCGCCUCACGCUGAGUUUUUGGGUUCUGGGGGUCCCAAUGUAGGGCCUUCGAGGGUGCCGAGUUGUAAAUUGCCUAAAGGAAGGCGGUUAUCAGGCACUCAGGUGGGUUAUGAUAUUGACACGAGGCUGUCCGGGGAGGUUCAGCCUCAGCUCGAAGUUACUCCCAUAACCAAGUAUGGGUCUGAUCCUCAGCUGGUACUUGGAAGGCAGAUUGCUGUUAAUAAGUCUUACAUUUGUUAUGGGUUGAAAGGAGGCAGUAUUAGGAUUCUUAAUUUAAACACUGCAUUGAGGUCUUUGUUCCGUGGGCACACGCAGGUUUAUCUCUUCUUUAACUUUGUUGAUUGUGCUUUUAGUUGUUGUUAUUGGAUUGAAAUGAAUGUAGUAGUAGACAGUUUAGAGCUUUAUGGUAUUAAAGUGUAUGAAUACAAUCUUGGCAUGUUAAAGUAUGAAAGAAAUGUGCAUUUUAUUUCUGGCAUCCCAAGCUUUGGGUGCGUAAGUUACUGCUUUUGGAUGAUUAUGAUUGUCUAUUGAUCCAAUUGUCAUUUUCAUUUAUCUCAGAGGAUCACAGACAUGGCCUUCUUUGCGGAGGAUGUUCAUCUUUUGGCUAGGUAUUUGUCUUUCUUUAAUUGGUUAUUACACUUCCCUUUUUCCCUUUUUGAUUCUUGGUGAUACACUUUUCUGCAGUGUGAGUCUAGAGGGAAGGAUAUUUGUUUGGAAGGUAUCUGAAGGUCCAGAUGAAGAAGAGAAACCACAGAUUACAGGGAAGAUAGUUAUUGCUGUUCAGAUAUUAGGCGAUGAGGAAUAUGUACAUCCACGUAUUUGUUGGCACCGGCACAAACAAGUAAUGCAACUUCUUUAAUGUUUUAUCCAUAUUAAAAGGGUUAUUACUAUGUUGUUGCCAAUGGUAUUGCAAUCUCAUUUUGCAGGAAGUUUUGGUGGCUGGGAUUGGAAAACACAUUCUGAGAGUUGAUACCAUGAAAGCUGGGAAGAAUGAAGUCUUCUCAACUGAUGCACCUACACCUCUCCAAUGUCCUAUAGACAAGUUGAUUGAUGGGAUUCAGUUGGUUGGUAAACAUGAUGGAGAAGUUACUGAUGUUUCAAUGUGUCAGUGGAUGAUUACCCGUUUAGUGUCUGCUUCUACAGAUGGCACGGUUUGUAUUUUCAUUUGCCAUUUUGUUAUAUUGACUUGCAGAUAUCUAUGUAAUCUCUCUAUGCUCCAUUGUGGUAUAGUCAUGGAACCAAGAUCUUGGUUUCUUGUUGUUUAGUGCUGGAAUUUCAUGUUGACUGCAUGGAUAUAUGCAGUUAUGUCAAGAUUGCUGUACUUACAAGUUUAUGUUAUGCUACAGAUAAAGAUAUGGGAUGACCGCAAGUCAGUGCCACUAACAGUGUUGAGACCACAUGACGGCCAACCUGUUUAUUCAGCUACAUUCUUAACUGCUCCUCACCGACCAGAUCAUAUUAUACUCAUAACAGGGGUAAUGAUUUUCAUGUUCUCUAUGUGUGCAUCAAGCUUCUGCCUUUUUGAUAUUCACUGACUUGCUGAUUUAAAGUUCAUAGUUGUUCAAAUUCUUAUGAUCUAGUUGGUAUGACAUGCAAGUUUGUGCAUUUACCUUUUAGGCUUUGGUCUAUUUUAAAUGGGGGUUUAUUUAUUUAUUUUUAAUUUAAGGACUAUAUUUUUGCUUUACUUUUCCCUAUGAGAAUCUUGUUAUUCCAUUGAAUAUCCAUUUAUCUGAUUCAUCAUAUUUUACACUUUUGACCUUUUUCUUUAGGGGCCCCUAAAUCAAGAAAUCAAAGUUUGGACAUCAGCAAGUGAAGAGGGUUGGCUUCUUCCAAGCAAUACUGAAAAAUGGACUUGCACCCAGACAUUGGAGUUGAAAAGUUCUGCUGAACCUCAAAUGGAAGAAGCAUUCUUCAAUCAAGUUGUUGCAUUAUCACAAGCUGGCCUUUUCUUACUUGCAAAUGCUAAAAGAAAUGCUAUUUACGCUGUACACUUAGAAUAUGGUUCUUGUCCAUCUGCUUCACGCAUGGAUUACAUAGCAGAGUUCACUGUCACUAUGCCCAUAUUAAGUUUUACUGGGACAAGUGAUCCUCCUGAUGAACAUAUUGUUAAAAUAUAUUGUGUACAGACACAGGCUAUACAGCAGUAUGCUUUGGAGUUAUGCCAGUGCAUCCCACCACCACUGGAAAAUAUUGGCUUGGAGAAGUCAGAUUCAAGCGUUUCUCGUGAUGCUAUUAACACCGAAGGCUUUGAUACUUUCAAUCCAUCUGGAACUAGGCCUUCUGACUUACCCCUUUAUACUUCAGUUCCCAAACCAAGUGCACGAGUAAGUAGCUCUGAAAAUUUAACUGCAGCGAGGUAUCCUUCAAGCCCCCAUUCUAUUGAGGCAAAUACUGCACAAGAGCUAAACACUUCGAAUAUUGAUCCCAAGCCUGCUUCUUCUGCUUUGGCAUCAACAGCAAGUGAUGCUGAUAUUGUAUGUGUUGCAUCACCACCAACAGUUCCUCCAAGUCCUAGGUUAUCUAGGAAACCCUCUGGUUUUCAUAACUAUGAGGAUUAUCCAGUUGACAGACAAAUGGACACUGUUCGAUCGAAUUUGUCUGGUAUGCAUUCAUCAGAAGAUGGUUCAAGGAAUGAUGACAAGAAAAUGGUAUCAGAUGACAAAUCUGGUGCAUAUAAUCCGCCUAUCAUUUUCAAGCAUCCAACUCAUCUUGUGACCCCAUCUGAGAUAUUGAUGGCUGCAACAUCUUCUGAAACUACUAAUGUCAAUGAGGGAAAGAGUGAGGGCGAGGUGCACAUUCAGGAUGUGGUUGUCAAUAAUGAUGCACGCAAUGCUGAGUUGGAGGUAAAAGUCGUGGGUGAAGCAAGAUCAUCUCAGAACAAUGAAUUUGGUUCCCAUGGAGACUCCCAAAAUCGAAAUUUGGAAAAUAGAGAGAAAUUCUUUUGCUCCCAGGCUUCAGAUCUUGGUAUUCAGAUGUCAAGGGAGAGCAGUGCGAUAUCCAGGGAUGCUUACGUUGUUGAUGAAUCUCAGCAAGUGGAUGGUGUUGGUGCAUCAGGGUCACAUGUGAAGCCUAAUAUUGCUGAGGAAGAAAUUAAUGAUUCCAGAAAGGAUCUUUCUGGAAAGGGUUUGGAAUCAGCCAUACCUUCUACAUAUCAACAAUCACCAACAUCAGGUGCAAAAUGGAAGAAACAUAAAGGGAAAGGUUCUCAGGCAUCUGCUCACACUUCCCCUUCUUCAAGUGCUUUCAAUUCUGCAGAUUCUACCACUGAACCAGGAGCAAAUUCCAAUCUCCCCUCAGCUGCUGCUGCAUUUCCUCAAAUUGCGGCUAUGCAAGAUAUGCUUAAUCAGGUGAUUGCUAAAGAAAGAAAUAAAAAAAAAUGGUUAUACCUGUAUGCUUCUGUUGUAUGCUUAUUUCUGUUGCGUGUUAAUAGUUAAAUAUGCUAGGAGAGUGUAUAGAUAUAACAAAGCAUUAUCCUUGAGUAUCCUCAAAUAGUCUCUAAAGUUUUCAUUUGUGUUUAUAAUCAUUGAUCAUUUCAUAAUUUUGGAUAAAAAUCAACCCAUGUGCAUUUAUUCAUUUAUUUAAAGGUUCACCUCAAUGACUAUAUGCUUAUCACAUUUUCACCUAUUGUUCCUUUGAUGUAUUUUGCCUAGCAAUAUGUUAGCUUUCUUUUCUAAACAAAUGUGGUUUAAAACUUUUUGCUGCACUGUUAUGGUAUCUUGACUGUGGUUUCAAUCAUUCUUGCAGCUAAUUACUACACAAAAGGAAAUGCAGAAACAAAUGUCAAAUAUUGUCAACCAACCAGUUACAAAAGAAGGAAGAAGACUAGAGGCUGCUCUAGGACGGAGCAUUGAAAAAGCUCUUAAGGCCAAUACUGAUGCUCUAUGGGCUCGUUUUCAGGAAGAAAAUGCAAAAAAUGAGAAGCUGCUUCGAGAACAUACACACCAGAUAACUAACUUGAUCACUAAUUUUAUGAACAAGGAUUUGGCAGUAAUGUUGGACAAAGUAGUCAAGAAGGAAUUAGCCGGAGUUGGACCAGCUGUUAUUCGUACCAUUACUCCAGCAAUAGAGAAAACCGUAACUUCAGUGAUCAAUGAGUCCUUCCAGGUUAGACUUUUAAAAUCUAGUUCUUUUGCUGGAAAGCUUAAUGGAAUCUAAUUGGUCCUUUGUAUGACAGAGAGGGGUUGGAGAUAAAGCAGUGAAUCAACUAGAAAAGUCUGUUAAUUCGAAACUCGAAGCUAUAGUUGCCAGGCAAAUUCAAGCCCAGUUUCAAACUUCUGGCAAGCAAGCACUCCAGGUAUGCACAAGUUCACUGUAUUUGGUAAUAGCUAUAGGCGGAUAUUUUCUUUCUCUUGUUAUGAGAUCAAAUUAGUGUCAUUCGUAUGUUCCAGGCAAUUUCUGGUUAUUAAUUUAUCAUUUCUUUUAGGAGGCUUUGAGGACUAGUGUGGAAGCUCUAGUGGUCCCUGCUUUUGAGAUUUCAUGCAAAGCCCUGUUUGAGCAAGUAGAUUCUGCGUUUCAGAAAGGGAUGGUUGAGCAUACCAAUGCUGCUCAGCAGCAGUUAGAGUCUGCAAGUUCUUCUUUGGCAAUUACUUUAAGGGUAUGUUCUUUCUCACAUUUACUAUUUAAAUGAAGGCUGGUGAUUUGUGUUUUUUUCCAAGAUUUAUAACAUUUGGAGCAUUAGACGGUGAAUGACUUAGUGAGGAACUAAGGAUUAUUGUCUGUGUGUGACGUUUUUCUUUUUGGCCAUUUGAGGUAAUAUGCAUUAAAGCAUGCAAUAUUAUUUGUUGCUACAGAGCUCUUGUUUGAUCGUGUGUGUCUGUUAUUUGACUGCUUUUUGAAAGUACUUUCUAUGUCAUUUCCUCCUUUGAAAUCUCUUUUAAUUGCAGGAUGCCAUAAACUCCGCUUCAUCGAUCGCUAAAGCCUUAAGUGGGGAAUUUGCUGAAGGGCAACGGAAACUUUUAGCAAUUGCAGCUGCUGGAGCUAACUCAAAUGCUGCAACUUCAUUUUCUUCCCAACUUAGCAAUGGACCUUUAGGUGGUCUGCAUGACAAGGUAUGUCUGUUUCGCACAUUUAAUGCCUGCAUUAAACAUGAUUGCCAAAGUCAAAUCUGGCUAUUAAGUAUCACUUCUUUUAUAGUUGUUUCAGUUGGUUCCUACCUAGUUUAAUUUCUCAAAUGAAUUCCUAUCCCUCUCAGGUUGUUAUGCCCAUGGAUCCCACAAAAGAGCUAUCAAAAUUGUUAUCUGAAGGCAAAUACGAAGAAGCGUUCACAAUUGCGCUGCAAAGAAGCGACCUCUCUAUUGUUUCUUGGUUAUGUUCACAGGUAAGCAAAAAUGUCUUGUAUUUUCUAUUUGAAUUCUAGUUAAAACUUGAAGCCUUGGCAUUAGGUAAGAAAUUAUUCUUUUUCCUUUUUCUAGGUUGAUCUACGUACGAUUCUGUCAACUGCCCCUUUUCCUUUGAGCCAAGGAGUGCUGCUCUCCCUCUUACAGCAGUUGGCAUGCGACAUCAACAAGGACACUCCACGAAAACUCACGUGGAUGGUAGACGUGGCCACAGCUAUCAACCCAGGUGACCAAAUGAUUGCGGUGCAUGUGCGACCAAUCUUUCAGGAGGUCUACAAGAGAGUGCAUGAAAUAAGUAGCUCGCCAUUGCUUACAGGUGCAGACCAUGCGAGUAUCCGUGCUCUCAUUUAUGUCAUCAACUAUGUUUUAAUGACUUGUAAAUGAAGAAAACACAUGAGGAUUUUGGGAGUCACAGUUAAGUUUGUACAAGUUUCUGGUUGUUUUCAUGUAAGGACCCUCUCCUCUGCUUUGCGUUGCAUUAUCAGGACAGUUGGGGAGAGGGGGUCCUGAUUUUGUUAUCCAUAGAUAUUUUGAAACUGUACGAAUUAAUGAAGUAUUUCUCAGAAAGAAAGGGAAACAAAACGUUAGCAUUGAUUACAUACAUUACAUGUAAAUACAAGUAUAUACAUAACUAGGCAGUGAAAAAUUCAACCGAGGAGAGGCGAUGCGAUUCAAUCACCAUUGCCUCUGCACACCGUAGCUAGAACAUAUGGAAAAACACCCUCUGGCACGGAAGAUGGUAUCAAAGAAACCAUUGAACUUUUCGGAUAUGGUUGUGUAGAAUAUGCAAUUAGCAGGUUAAUAGUAGGGAAGGACUUGAAAACGCCGAAUAUAUCUUGUUUCAUCUCCGGGAUCAGUCGAAUGAUUAUUGGUAAGUAUUUCUGAAAAAAUGAAGGCUUUAUGUGAAUUCACUCGGAGUCAAAGGGAGAGAAAUUGUAGAGAGCUUGGAAGAGGCUUAGCCAAUUAAUAAAGUGGUAAAGGGAUAGUUUGAGGGAGUGACGCUUAUGCCACAUGUUCUCCUAUGAUUAGUGAGCUUGUUAUUCAAAAGUGUUUUUUAGCUAUGUGAUUUGUCGUGAUGGGAUUGUAGGGUAUGUUAGUAGUACGUGACAGCAAUCAUAUUCAACUAAUUGAGCUUGGUGUGGACUUAGUCUUUUAGGUGGGCGUGAAGGUUGGUGGAGCACUUUGGUAGGUUUUUUUGAGACUUCUUCAACUGGUGGAGGCUUGGGAUAUAUGUAACAAUCUUGCAUAUUCAAGAGAUUUUGACGGCUUUCAUCCACAGUUUCUAAUUGAAGAGAUUUUGACGGAAAUCUAAGAACUAAUGUACCAGUUUUAUCGAUAGUUGAAGCCUUUUUGUGAAGGUUUAAUUUGGCUCCAAGGGGCUUUGUUACGACAUGAUCUCCCUAAUCGGAGGUGUGCAUGCCAGUGAUCUAAUGCUGCUUCUCCUCCGAUCUCCGACAUCGGGUACUCUCUCGAUCUUCUCCGACAGCCAGGGUGACUGCAACCAGGGUUUCUUCUAGGGCUAAUCCUUGGUGCUUUUAGGUCCAUUGUACGUUUUCAUAUUUUUUUUUCUUUUUUUAUGACUUUUUUGGGUCUUUAUGUUGUACCCAGUUUAAAAAAAAAUCCUACUAUUAUUCAUAACACUUUUAAACACUUAAAUUAUAAGAUAAUACUUACUUAAACUCAUUUAAAUUUAUAUCCUCUUUAGCUUAAUUAACUUUUAACAUUACAUGCAUUGCAUGUGAUUAGUUACUUUUUCUAAAUAAUUUUUUAAAAUUAUAAUAAUUAACGUGAAAUAAUAUUUAUUAUUUAAAUUAUUAAAUAUAAUUAAAACAUAUUAUCUUAUCAUUUCAAAUAUUAUAAUAAGAAAUUUUCAAAUUAUAAUUAAAACAUUAUUUAACAUAUUUCAACAAACAACAUUGUUUUAUUUUAAGUAAUUAAUACAAAAUAAUAUUAUUCAAAAUAAUAACUGAUUACAUAAUAAACUCUAAUAUAUUAAUGAUAAUUAAAAUAUUUAGAAUUUUAUUCAAAUAAUAAUUCUAUUGUAAAUUAAUAAAAUUAAUACAAUUCUUUAAAAUAAAAUUAGCACAAUAUUUUAAAAUAAUAAUUAUGAAUUAAAUUAAAAUUAUUUUUAAAUAUAUAAAUAUCACCACCUCUAUUUUAAAAUAUAAAAUUUAUAAUUAUAGAAUUAUAGAGUAAUCGGCUAACACAAUAUUUUAAAAGGGAAAAAAGAAAAAGAAUUGAAAGGAGUUUAAGUAAAAGUCUAAAAAGGCCGCGUGGCAGAGAAUCGUCGCCACCUUUCUCUUUCUCCUUUUGUUUGUAUUACAAUUUUUAUUUUAUUUUAUAAUAAAUUCUACCAAAUCCUAAUUCCAAAGCACCAAUUUCGUCAUUCACCAACAAAUAUAUGUGUGUAUAUAAAUAUAUAUAUUUUUCUUCUUCUACUACUCCACUUAUUCCCAUUUGCCACGCCCAACUCCACAACGCCAAAUUCAAGGUUCCUCUCUUUCUCUUUUUUUUUUUCCCUCUUAGAUUCAUAUUUUUAUCUUUUUUUUUUCAAGAAUUAACUUAUUUUCUUCACUUUUUUAUAUGAGAUUUUCUCGGUUUAUUUUCCCUCUAUUAUGUUGACGUUUCAAUUUACUAGUAUUUUCUUCGGUUUUUUUUCCCAUCAUCGUUUCGUAAUCUGAUUAUGAUGGAUCGGCGUUUAACGUUUUCUCUUUCUCUUUUUUAAUUAUUUUUAAAUAACUAAGCUGUUUAAUCUAAUCUCAUGUUUUUUUUUUCAUCGUUUUUUAAAUGCCUCCACACUAGAUUUUCACUGGCCACCGCUUCAUCAGUAAUUUUAUCCUGAAAAUUUUAGGAUAAGGUUGAAAAUCUCAUAUUAGGUUUUCUGUUGACCGGGUUGACUAUGAAUUAAUUUAAAAAAGGGGUUUUUUUGUUGCUGUGAUUGUUGAUUUAGAUCUUUGAUUAUUUUAAUUCAAUAUUGAUUUUUGCUGCAGUUUACCAACCUUAUUGUUUAUUUGUUCGAGAAUUAGAGAGUUUUUUUGAAUACCCAUGGCUUCGAAGCGGAUUAAUAAGGAGUUGAAAGAUCUGCAGAAGGACCCUCCUGCAUCUUGCAGUGCUGGUUUGUGUUUACUUUUCUAGUCACUCAAUUUGUUGAAUUUAUGUCUUUAUAUGGUAUUCUUUGAUAGUUUACUUGAAGAUCCGCUGAUAAUUUGAUAUAUAUAAUAUAGUUGAUUUAAGGUGUCAGUUUUAAUUUGUUUCCACUAUGAAAGUGUGGAGAUAUUUUUGAUUAAUAUAUCCAAAAACCCUAGCAAUGUCCAGUGGCUGAUAAUUCGAUUAUAUAUAAUAGUUUUGGUUUAAGGUGUCAGUUUUAAUUUGUUUCUGCUUUGAAAGUGGCAACUGGUUAUUGGUUUUAGAUACACAAGAGAUAUUUUGAUUAAUAUAUCCGAAAACCCUAAUAAUGGUCAGUGUUGUAGAAGAGAACACGGUCAGAUUGUACCUUUUCAUGAUAUUUAUUAUUAUUGUUUAAAUAAUGUUUUGCUUGUAUACAGGCCCUGUUGGUGAUGAUAUGUUCCACUGGCAAGCAACAAUUAUGGGCCCAGCAGACAGUCCUUUUGCUGGAGGACUAUUUCUUGUUUCCAUUCACUUCCCCCCAGACUAUCCAUUCAAGCCUCCCAAGGUAAAUUUUUUAAAAAUAGAAGUGCAAAUAUGUUCUAUCAUGUGCAUAUACCUAAGUAUGUAUGUAUGUUUGCGGGUUAUUGGUGUUUGGGAUAAAGCUAGAUACACUGUAAUAAUCACGUUCGGGGAGUUUUAUUAUUUAAAAUAUGCUAAAAAAUGGGCCUUGUAAUGGUGUCCAUGUUUCAACCCUGUUUUGGUUUUUGCGUCUUCAAACACUGGUUCACUGAAGUUUAAAUGAAUGCCUUGAACAUGUAUUAGAAAAACCUCUUUGUUUGUGUUUGUUAUUUUGUUGCUAUGAUUCAAUCUAUGUGCCUUUGAUUUUGUUACUUCAAAAGUGUAGCUUAUUAACUGCUAUAUCUAUAGCUUAUUUUGGUUACUGAAGUUAGCGUAUAUAUGUAUGCAUGUAUAUGUUAUAUACUACAUCGGAAAAACUAGGUGUUUCUUUCGAGUUAUACUUGAGCUGAUUGUCGUCUUUAUGUUAAGGUUUCUUUCCGAACAAAGGUUUUCCAUCCCAACAUCAACAGCAAUGGAAGCAUCUGUCUUGACAUUCUCAAGGAGCAGUGGAGCCCUGCCCUUACCAUAUCCAAGGUAAAUAUACUUAUGCCUCGUUUGGUUAUUUAGUGCCUUAACACAAGGAAAACGCCUCAUAAACUUGGUAUUAGAAGGAUGAGUAAAAACUACGAAGCAUUAAUGUAAUCACUAUCAUGAAAUCCUCAUGAGUCACAAGCAGACAACAGUUAUUACCAUCAAAAUACGAUUCAAACCCGAACAUGGAACAUUAUUAUUAACCAACUCCUAUUUAGAUGUCUUCUGUUAAGGAAUCUUGUUCUUAAUAACAUGCAAAAUGUGUGUUAUGUACCCAUUGCAGGUGCUGCUUUCAAUAUGCUCACUUCUCACAGAUCCAAAUCCUGAUGACCCUCUGGUGCCUGAGAUUGCUCACAUGUAUAAGACUGAUAGAGCCAAAUAUGAGAGCACUGCUCGCUCAUGGACUCAGAAACAUGCAAUGAAUUAAGGGUCGGUCAGGCUUAGGAUGCUAUGUUUGAUACCUUUUACUAAAUAAUAGUAGUAAUAACUUUUGUCGUUUGGAUACUUUGAUAAAGUGGUGGUGUGGUGUAAUAAGCUCUAAAGUCUUUCAGAGGGUAAUUUUUUUCCAAUCAAGGUACUUAAAAUUACUAUUAUAAAUAUAUUCGACAGUUCUUAUAUUUGUGUCAUAUUCGUCUUAUAUUUAUAUAUAAUAAAAAUAAUUACAUAUAUUAUUUAAUUUGUUUUUAAUUAUAUAAUAAAGAAUGAGUUAAGUAUGUGUAAAUAUAAAAACCAAUGCUUAAAAAGUUUCUCAGAAACUAGGAUCAAAUAAGAAAGACAAUGCAUUCUGCUUUUCAAUUGAAAAAUAUCAACUGUAGCCUACAUUGACAGAUGAUGAGAUGAAAUUACAAUGAGUAUAAUUGAGAUCUUGGUAAAUGAGUUUGAUGAGAUGAAAUUACAAUGAGUAUAAUUGAGAUCUUGGUAAAUGAGUUUAAUUAUUUUUGGGGGUUGAACUUAAAAGUAUAAAAAUUGAUGAACUUAAAAUUAAAUGUUCAAUUUAGCUUGAGUUUGAAUCUAAGGACUUGAGCUUGGCUUGAUUGCAGACAUAGGCACUGUUCCCUGGUGUCUAUAUGUCACCAAGAGUCACUACCCGGAGUCACUAACCGGUAGACACGAAACCCCGAGAGAACUUAACUUGGUAAGAUGACUCUUGUUACCCAUCACCACCAUUCUCAUGCCGAACUGAAGGGGGUUCACAAUCUGAUCAUGUACAGAGUAGUUUGUCAUCCAUCCAGCGCCUGAAGUUUUCCAUGCAAAAGCUCUUCCCCGGAAUUGCGACAGUUUCGUUGGCUUACGCGUUCGAAAUCCAAACUUGGCUUGCUUCCGUAAGAGGCUCAAGUCAAAGGUGGAGCUUCAGGGAAUUGCUUCCAUUGUUGCAAAUAGAGGCAAGCACUUUAGAUGGUGAGAGUCACGAGAUAACUGGCAGAAUCAUCUGCUCACUCACAUUGCAAGCAAGCUUGAAAGUAAGUGUGGGCAAGGAAAGAUUUUGUUCAAGGAUACGAGGAUAUACCCUAUUUCCUUCCGAGCUCUUAAAUUGAAGAAGAUACUGGACAUUAGGACAGGUCUUUUUCUAUACAAACCCAUGGCAACAGCAACAAUGUUAAUUAAAGUAAUACGAAACAAUAUCAAUGUGAAUCGAGUCAAACUUUCUUGUGAGAAGAGAGGAGAUACUGGACGUCGAAACUUACUUAUUUUGCAAAUGCUGAUUCUCUCCUAUCAAGAUUACAUUAUCAAUUUGGAACUAGUUGAGCGCUCAGAAAUGGGAAGAAAAUCAAGCUGAAUUUCAACCUCAAUCUCAACAGAAAAAAGUUUCAGAUUUUGCUCAACAAUGUAAGAAAAGCUCAAUCUCAAUCUCAGUAAAUUUCAACCAACCAUGAAUGAAUCCCCGAAGUAAAAAGAAAAUCCGAUUCAAUUCGAUCCAACCAAGAAAGAAAAAGAAAUGGAAGAAUAUGAAGAAAACAACAAUUUUGAUCUCAGUUUAACUGCUGUAGUAAACAGAUUACAAUACCAUGAUGCAAAGCUUGAACACAAAACUUCAAGAAGAAUCAGACAAACUUCAAAUUUCAAAUCAAUGGAAAAAAAAAACAAUGAAAAAUCAAAGCAAACCUCUCUAUUCCGACCCUUUGACCCACAAUUUUGAAUUAAAAAUGAGAAGAAAUUUUAAAUUUCUACAAAUUUGUAGUAGUCGAAGAUGGAGCAGAGCGGACCAAUCCUGUGGACACGGCGUCGUUUUCGUCGAGAAAGAGUCCAUCGGAGUUUCUAAGAAGAGCGUGGACGCCGCAGACGAGGACCCCAAUCCCUAACCCUAAGGACAAAUUUUGAAAUACUCCGCAAAUCCAGACGGCCAGCACAGAAAGGAAAGCUAAAACUAGCAGCACGAAGCGAUCGUUGACACUGUGGCCCCAUACCACGAGUGGAUCCUCCCGAAAAAAGUAGAGGAGAAGCCAAAGAGCGAAAACGGCGGAGCAUAGGAGGAGGGAAAGUGGAGAACCGAUGAGUGAGAAGGCGGAUGUGGCGGCUAUCACGACGGCAUAAUUGGCGCGAAAAUAAUGUAUGUUAGCGGAAGCGUGGGAUAGAAAAGAGUGGGGACGGGAGAAAGAUUGGGAACCGGAGCCCAAUAGCUGGGGCCAGGGGCGGAGGUGCCGGGAGAGGGUGACGGAAAGGUUGUGAAGGGAGCGGGAGAGGACGUCAGAAGCUGAGAUAGGGAUUGUGGUGUACGUGGCGGAUGUUGAUUGGUGGUUCUCCAUCUCGUCGUUAUUUCGAAGUCCAGUUUGUUUUUGUUUGGUUUUUAUUUUUUGACCUCCGACGAGAAGAAAAGAGACGAGAAGAUACGAAAACGAGACGGGACGGGACGAGACGAGACAAAGACAAGACAGCAACCACUAACUUUUGCGUUCAAAAGUCCAAAGCUGAAAAUGUCGGACGGCUUUUGUUUGGUUUUAUCGUAGUUGUAAUGUUCAGUUGGGGAUGACAUGCGAGUUUAUUUUCUAAUCUUAUUUUUUCUUUAUUUUAUUUUAUUUAUUACCAUCUACAGCAGAGCAGUCAAAGUUAACUAAAGCACACCAACAAUGAGCUAUAAAAAAUCAUUUUCGUCAAUUUUAAGCCUCUCAUUUUUUUAAAUAAUUAACGUAAAAAAAUUGUACGAAACAGAGACGUGAUAUCAUUCUAUACACUUUACUAAUUAUUUAAUGCAUUUUCAAUAUCUUUUUUUAUAUCAUUAAUACAUCAUUUUAAUAAUUUUUUUAACCUAAUCUUUAAACUUUAAAUUCUAAACUCCAGACCUCAAAUUUUAAAUCUUAAACUCUAGAUCUUAGACCUUAGACUUUGGACCCUAAACCCAAGAUGAGAUCCAAGAUUUUAGUGUACAAGAUCUAGAGUCUAGGGUUCAUGGUUUAGGCUAAAAAAUUUACCAAAAUGAUGUGUAAUAACAUAGAAAAAGAUGUUGAAAUGACAUUAAAUAAUUAGUAAGUGAUAUAUGGUAAUGUGGCAUCUCUAUUUCAUAUAAUUCUUUCCCAAUUAAUAUUGUUAACUUUAUUGACAUGGCAUACAUGUGGAUCGCCAUGUGGACAUUAGCAAUUAAUUAAUUAUUUAAAAUUUAAAAAUUAUUAAAAGAGUAUAAAAAUUAAUUAAUUGUUAACAUGACAUACACAUGAACUUUCACGUGAAUGUCAUGUCAACAAAGCUAACAGAUUGACUUUUCUAUCCAUUUUUGGGUGAUUUAACAAAUCAUGCAAGUUCAAUGAUUAAAGGACUAAAAAUUAAAUGAAGAAUUAAAAUAAUUUUUUUUAUGAAAUUAGAAGACUAAAUAAAUCAUUAUACUUAAAUUUAAUUGCAUGAAUUUUGAUCUCAUCUCUAAUAUUAUAUAAUACUUUCUUCUUUUUUUUCAUUUAUUUAUUUUUAUAAUUUACUUUUAUCAAUUUUUAUGUAUCUUUUUACGUUUUAAAUUUUUAAAAUGAAAAUUUAUUAUUAUUUUCAUAAUUUCUUGAGAAUGUUUAUAAAGUUUUAAAAUGAUUAUGACUUUUUUAACAAAAAAAUUCUUAAAUUGACAUAUAAAAUAAAAUAAAUUAUGAAAAUGAAAUAUUCGUUAGUUUCCAAGACUGCAAUUUCUAAGUGUUCAAUUAAAGCAAAAGAAAAGAAGAAAAAAUAGGAAAUUAAAUUGACAAAAAUUAUAAAUCCUAUAUAACUAAAUGUGAUUAUGCUUUAAUAUUUUUAAAAAAACAAAAAAAAAGUAUUACUUAAAUGAUUAAAACUAAAUAAUUCUAAAAGUAAAGAUACUGAUUUUAUGUAAAUAAAAACAAGACUAAAUUAAUAUAAAUCGAUAAAUACAAUGAAUAUCCUUUCAACUUAACCUUAAACUUCUAUUUAUAUGUAAAAUUUAAGGGUGAAAGCUAGAGUUGUCAUUUUUGUUAAAUUUAAUUAUAAAUAUAUAUUAUUUUUUAUUAUUUUUAACGAGUAAUAUGAUAAGCUGAAAAAAAUGCAAUUAUCAUUGUAGACAGGGGUGAGCGUUCGAUCGAUUCGAGUGAAAAAUUUUCAGUUAAUCGAGUUGACGAUCCUAUUUUAUUGUCCUAACUCGAUUUAAAUUUUUUUUUUCAAAUUGAAUCGAGUGAAAUGAAAUUCGAGUCGAGUGAAAUAAAAUUCGACUGAAAUUGUUCAAGGACUAAAUUAAAAAAUUAAACAUGUCAAAUUAAAACCUUGUUACAAUAUAACUAAUUUUAUGUUAAGAGCACCAAAAUUUGAAAUCAUAUAUAUUUGAAAAUUUUUUCAAAGUAAAAUAAUAAUAAAAUACUUUAGUAUGAUAAACUCAAAUCAUUAAUUAACUUAUUUAGAUCCCAAAAUUAUUAUUCUAGACAAUUUUUAAUUUUUUAAUUUUCUUUAUAUAUAUUUUUAUAAUUUUUAAAAAGAAAUAAAAUUUGAAAUUUUUAUAAAUAUUUUGAAUUUUUUAAAUUAUUCUGAAUUAUCUUUUUAAUUUUUGUUGUGAGAGAUACCAAUUUGUUUAUUUUCAAACUUGACAGGGACCAAAAAAGUAUUUAUACCAAUUUGUUAUUUGAAUUGUUCGAGUUAUUCGAAUUGUAAAAUUCAAUUCGAAACUCGAAUUACUUAUUAGAGUUGACUCAAAUAAUUCGAUUAAUUUAAAAUUAGAUUUUUUUUUCGAUUUUUUUAAAUCGAAUCGAGUUUUGCUCACCCUUAUUGCAGUGGUUCAAAGUGGUUUAAUUAAAUGGUUUUUAUUUUUUAAAAAUGUUUUAAAUUAAUUUUACUAAUUUAAAUAUAAAAUGUUUAAUUUUAUAUUAUAAAAAUUAUAAAUUAAACUGUAAAAAAGAAAUCCUUUUUUUCCUCAACCAUAGCAAAACUGAACUCAGAGAAGUAAAGCAGUUCCGUAAAAAGGGAAAAUAAAUAAAACUCUUUGUAUGAUCUAUAGAAACACCCAACUCCAUUGCCUUUUAAAGUGUGUCAAUUUUAAUCAAAGAUUGCUUAUACAUAUAUAUGUGUGUGUAUGUAUACCAUCAAUCCAAGACUUGCUUGAGCAAAAGCAUAAAAAAAGCUGCAUAAAGUUUGCCCAACAAUAAGUGAAUUAAAAAGACUAAAUACAAUCUCUAAAAUCUCUCAAUUGUUGUUCCAACUUGCAACCAAAAUCCAUUACAUCAAACUGCCAUCAUUUUCAAUCCCCCAAAAGAGAAGCUCGAGUUUCAGACUCGAUAGCAAGUUUGAUACGAAAAAACGAGCCGAUACGCGGACCAUCUAAGACAAAUUGGGAGCAUAGUAUCUGAAAUGACUUGUUCCCAUGAAAGAACUUGAAGUGAUUCCAUGGAAGUUGUUAUUUUGUAUCACUACUGGAUACCUGUGGUUUGUAAUACUAUGAUUUCGAACUAAUGGCUUUGAUAUGCCAUGUGUGUCCCUCGAGACUUCAGACCGUUUGGCAAUGUCAGUUGUCUUGUUCGAUUCAUUUUUGGGAUCAUCAUCGAUGACAAUGACUUCUUUACUGCAAACAACAGAUUCCUCACUCCUAUCUUUGCAGUCUAGAGUUGAAACUUUCUCCAUAUUGUAUCUUGCAGUUGGAAGUAGCUUGUAUGGCUCCAUAGAGGUAGAGAAACUGUGAUGCCUAUGUUCGUCGAGGAACAAGCCAACAGGAAGUUGCGGAGUUGUUUGUGGUGGGGUUGCGAGAGUGGCACGGUUUCUAUAGCCAUUCGUCGAGUAGGCGUCAAAAGUUCGCUCCACCAAAUCAUUUGGAUUCUGAUUGAAGAUCAUAGAACAUGGAGACAUUGCAUGAUGGAAGGGCAUCUCGUCUUGAUCCCGAUUAUCACUCCGGGCACAUGGCUGGCCUUGACAAAGUGGCAUAGAUGCUUCUUCCUCCUUGUUAACCACCAUUAAGUUCUUCCCCAUUAGCCUGAGAACAGGAUUAGAUGAGGAUGGACUCGCAGAAUCACAUACAUCGUGACCAGAAAGCUUGACACCACCAUCGGGGCAUCCUUUAAAAGGGAUGGGACCUAAAGGAGGUUUCAUGACAGGGGGAACCAUUUGUUCAGAUCCUAGUUCUGCAUUACUUGUCAGUGAAAAUGUUUCUGGUCUUGCCGCCAAAUUAUUAGGACCGAAACCUGGAUUGGCACCAUUUUGCAUUCUGAUGGCAGGCACCAUAACCGAAGCCAUUGUUCGUCGCCUUAGUAGCUGUGACUCGUGAUAAUUUAGGGCAAAACCUUGGAAGGAUCUCUCUUUUGUUUGGCAACAGCAUGGUUGAUCAUCAUUUUUGGAAAAGAAAGGCUUCUUUUCAAUAGAUAUUAGAGGGACCCGAAAUUUCUCUCCUUCAAAAGUUUUUUCCUGUCCCGGGCUUGUAUGUUCCACAGCAACACCAUUCUCCACUAAGGGGUCAGACUUGGCAGUAGAGUAGCCAGAUCUAUCCUUUUCCAUAGCUGCAGGAGCCAGGGAUUCAAAUAGCGGGACGAUAUCAGAAUAGCGGCCGUUAUAUAGCGGUAGCGGCACCGUCCGAAACCGCUUUUGCUGAAAAUAGCGGUGUGAAGCGGAGUCACGCCAAUAGCGGUGGGUCGCGGCCGCAACUUAACGGGUAACGGCCAAUUGCGGCAAUAACGGGCCGCUAUUCCCGUUAUUUUCCGUUACAGUAAAUUUAAAAAAAAAAGUCAUCCCCUCAAACAAAAAUCGACAGAAACAGUGAAAAACAAAAGGGAAUAUAUUCCCCCACCUGCAAAGUGCAAAAUCAGAUAGCUUUCAAUAAAAAAAAAGUAAAAAGAAGUCAAAGAAACAAAAAAAGUAAUCAAAACUCAAAACCAAUAGAAAAAGAAAUAUGAAAUUCUGUUUCUUAUAUAUGGGCAAACAACAAGCAGCAGAUGAAAGCAAGGAGCCGAGCCAACUGCCGAGGACUUGAAUCUGAAAAGCAAACCCAUCUAUUUCCUCUUCGAAGUACUUCUAGGUUUCUUCCAGUUCUUUCUCAGCCCUUCUAAGUUCUAAGCCAGUAUUCCUUUACCUGGUUUUUCACACUUUCAAGUUUCAACAGCAGUAGAGAUUCGGCCAUUUUUGUUGAUAGUCUGAUGAGUUGGAGGCUUGGAGCCUUGGAGGCUACUGGUUAGGGUUAGGGAAUAGAAAGAAUCGUUUCAUUUUCUUUUAAUUUUUCUGUUUUUGUUUUUGUUUGUGGCUUUAUUGGCAAUUGGCAUGCUGCUCUGUUUUGUUUCUUCUUUGACUCUUGUUUUACUCAUUAAUUAGGGGCAGCCACCGUCCAUUUUAACCACUAGAAAAUAGGCAUGUAAAUUGUGCUUUUAUCCACCUAUCCAUUGUUAAAAUUUGUCUUAAAAUAAUUAUUUGAAAAUUUCUUUAUUAAAUUUAAAUAUAUAUAUAAAUUUCUAGACACAAUUUUUAAUAUGACAUGGACUUCAUAUAUAAAGUUGUGUUCUCAUAUCAUAUUAAUAAAGAUUUAUAAGUGCUAGAAAAUAUUCUAAAAUCAUUAAAAGUGAAUUUUUAUAAUUAUAAUUAUAAUUACUAUGUUUUACAAUAAGUUGUGCGAAUUUGAAAAAAAAUCACGAUCGCGAUACCCGCAGUGACCGCAAUAGCAUCCGUUAUGUCCGCGACCGCGACAAACGCGACGCGACCGAAAACGCAACCGCGACCGCAAUUUAAAUCCCUGGCAGGAGCACCAAGAAAUGCUAAUGGUUCUUCAUACUUCAAAUCAAACCUGGCUUCCAUAGAAUUAGACAUCGUUGACAAUACGGAUAGGGGUGAAUCUGAUGAGUCCCCAUCUACCAAAUCAAGCUGAUCUCGAAAGGAUCGAAUCUGGUUGGCUGUUGAUGCAUUUCCUUGAAAAUCAUCAGAGCCCAUAUCUCUAGGACUUGGCAAAAACGAUCCUGGCGGACCAGGAAUAAGUAUUGGAUCAACCUCAAGAAAUGACUUGCUUUGUGCCACAUCAGAAUCUAAUUCUCCUACAUUAGCAGCUUGUCCAAUUAUAUUGAGACCAACUUCAGCACAAAACAUAUUUGGUUUAUCAACAAGAUUUAGCUCAGUAGGAAAUACUAGCCCUUCACCCCCACACAAAGGGCCAGUGUAAUCUCCAUUAGUUUGAAAAGAAUCGGAUAUAUUCUUGGGAAUAUUACUCAGUUUGCCAGGCUUGGUUCCCAGUGACUGAGUCAAACUAGUAAUCGUCUCCUCAACAGAUUCCAAACCAUCAAGUUUAUCCAGAAUAUCCUCACUGCCUCAAGUAGAAGAAUACAUGUUCUCUGUCUCAUCAUGAUAAUAAGAGUGAGGUUCCGAUGGUAGUUCUUCAGUAAUCUCGCUCCCCUCACGUUGAUUUUUAGCAUCAUCAUGCACCAAUUUACAUUCUUGAUCUGCCUCAUAAUCCCGAGCUAUUGCCUCAUCUAUUUCUGCCAUAAAAUGAAGUCGAUUCUCCCUUGUUGAAUGUUUCGUAACCAAGUUAGAACCAGAUUCAACCAUUGAUGACCUGCUGCUAGCAGACAUCUUUUUCUUUUGCAAGGAAAAGCUGAAGCAUUUGGGUGCGGAAAACUGAUGACUAAUAGUUGUUGUAGUAUCAGCGAUAGGCGAAUCAGGAUUACUAUUUGCAUCAAUAUCAACCAUCAUUUCACUCAACGAAGAUGUGCAAUUUUCAUUAGAGUUCAAAGAUCUCAUUGUAUGGUCAUCAUCUAGACAGGGACGGUCUUCGCUGAUCGACUGUUUUGCAUUUUGCUCACGUUGGUGAAGUGACUUCUCCACCUUGUUUUGCAUGCUGGCUUGAAACAAGGCACUCCUUACUCUCUUCAUUCCCAAAGAACACUCCUUUCUACAGAUAACCGGUGCUUCAUAAACAGGCUUUUCUAUCCUCGCACAUUUCCUAGGAGAAGAAAACGGGUUUUUAGAAGAAUGUUUUAACUUGCGAACACAAUUUCUCUCCACAACACGACCACCUUCAUGAGAUUGAUCACUCUGAAACCGCAAGUCCCCAUUUUUCUCUUGAUUAUUAGGCUUCCUUGAAAGACCUUGUUUAUAGCACACCCUUUCCUUAAAGUUUCUAGUAUCAUUGGAUUUGAUUUGCUUCAACACACACGGUUCCACACUCUUGCAACUGUCUUCUUCUUCACGAUAUCCUUCUCGACCUCCAACUAUCUGUUUAAGAACAGUAUAGCAACAAAUUACCAAACAUUGAAUCCUUCAAUAUAUCACAAAAUAUUUGCAUUAAAAUAUGAAAAGCUAAAAUUUGCUGAGUAUAUACCAUAGUCACUGCAUCCAAAACUUAUAACCACAAGCUAUAAAAUCAUGGAGAGCAUUCAACAACUAAGAGAAUACCAUAUAGAGAAAGAGAUGCGUACCAUUGAAGGAGGGGUCUUAUGAGAGCAAUUUUUUCUGCAUUGAGGAGCAUGUUUGAGAUACUUGUGAUGUUUUGUUAGAAAUCAAACCCACUCCAAGCAUAAUCUAGAAGCAUGAGACGUGGAGCAAUUUUGUGCCAUGCAAAGUGCUGAAAUUUUAGCCAUACAAAGUGCUCCAUUAUUGAGAUGUUUUGUGGCUGGAAAUUAAGUGGAUUAAUAGCCACAUUUGUUGUCACUUUAUCAGCCUAUAAAUAGAGGCUUGAACUUGUGUUGUAAUAAAGAAAAAUGAGAAGAAAAAAGAAAUAAGAGAAGCAACGUGAGUGAGAGUGAGAAGGUUAGCAAACCUUGAGUGAGUUAAAAUCUAGCAGCAGCUAGACUAUCUAGUCAUUGAGAAAAUAUUUGUAAUCUUCGUAUUGUAAUAUAUUGAGUGUGUAAUAAAAAGUAAAUUUUCGGCCCAUCACGUUUCCAACAAGUGGCAUCAGAGCUACGGUUCGGAGCUUGGUUCGGAGUUCGGUUCGUGUCCGGUUCGUGUCCAGUUCGGAGUACCUUUGGUGUUCAUCUAACAAGUCGAUAUGGGCGACGUAAUUCAGCUACAAGUUCCACAAUUGACGAAGACAAAUUAUGGAAAUUGGAGCAUUCGAAUGAAGGCUUUGCUCGGUUCGCAAGAUUGUUGGGAGAUCGUUGAAAAAGGAUACAUCGAGCCCGGAGAUGCCGCUACAGAAGCAGCUUUAUCAAAUGACGCUAAGAAGGCGUUACGAGAAGCACGAAAGAAGGAUCAAAAGGCCUUGAAUAGUAUCUUUCAAGGUAUGGAUGAAUCAACCUUCGAGAAAAUAUCAGAUGUGAAGAACGCGAAGAAUGCAUGGGAGAUUUUGCAAAAAUCAUUUCAAGGUGUAGAAAAAGCUAAAAAGGUACGCCUUCAGUCACUUAGAGCUGAAUUUGAAAUGUUAAAAAUGAAGAGCUCCGAGAAUAUCGAUGACUAUGCCAAUCGUGUAAAAUCGGUGGUAAAUGAAAUGAAACGAAAUGGAGAAACUCUUGACGAGGUAAGAGUGAUGGAGAAAAUUCUACGGUCACUCACACGCAAAUUCGAGUACGUAGUCGUUGCCAUCGAAGAAUCAAAAGAUUUGUCAAAGAUGUCGCUCGAAGAACUUGUGGGUUCUCUGCAAGCCCAUGAGCAAAAGAUGAAGCUAAAUGAAGAUAGUGAAAAUCUUAAUCAAGCCUUGCAUAGCAAGUUGUCCGUCGACGACGGAGAAACAAGUAAUAACUUUAACCAAGGAAGAGGAAACCGCAGAGGAUACCGUGGAGGCUACCGUGGUGGAAACAGAGGAGGAAGAGGAUCACGAGGACGUGGAAAUCAAUCAUAUGGGAGAUAUCAAGAAAAUAAAGAUUAUCAAACAUCCAACCGUGGACGUGGAUCUAGAGGUCGUGGCCGAGGCAGAUUUCAAGAAAAUAAAUCUCAGGUACAAUGCUACAACUGUAACAAGUAUGGACAUUUCAGUUACGAGUGCAGAUCAACACACAAAGUGGAUGAAAGAAACCAUGUAGCAGUCGCAGCAGAAGGCAACGAAAAAGUGGAAUCAAGUGUCUUUCUCACUUACGGAGAAAAUGAAGAUCGCAAGAGAAGUGUGUGGUAUCUCGACAACGGUGCAAGCAACCACAUGUGUGGAAGAAAGGAGCUGUUCACAGAAUUAGAUGAAACAGUUCAUGGACAAAUAACUUUUGGAGACAACUCACAUGCAGAAAUCAAAGGAAAGGGCAAGGUUGUUAUAACACAAAGGAAUGGAGAGAAGAAGUACAUCUCAGACGUUUACUACGUACCAGCUUUGAAGAGCAACCUGAUCAGUCUUGGUCAACUCCUAGAAAAAGGAUAUGAAGUUCAUAUGAAAGACCGCUCACUCGCCAUCAGGAACAAAAGUGGAGAAUUAGUUUUUCGAGUUGAUAUGACGCGAAAUCGUCUUUUCACCCUCGACAUCGAGUCUGGAGAAGUAAAAUGCAUGAAGACGGAUCUGAAGAAUGAAUCAUGGUUGUGGCACUUAAGGUACGGACAUCUCGGAUUUUCUGGCUUGAAGCUGUUGUCGAAGACAAAUAUGGUGAAUGGAUUACCAAGUAUUAAUCAUCUAGAUCAACUGUGUGAAGCCUGUGUCAAAGGAAAGCAGCAUAGGCAGAAAUUUGAAGUAGGAAAAUCUCGAAGAGCUAGAAGACCAUUGGAAAUUGUACACACUGACAUAUCUGGUCCGUACGACAUUGAAUCACUCGGUGGAAACAGGUACUACCUAACUUUUAUUGAUGAUUAUAGCAGAAAAUGUUGGGUUUAUUUUCUCAAAGCAAAAUCGGAAGCCCUAGAAAAAUUCAAGGAGUUCAAAGCAAUGGUGGAAAAACAGAGUGGUCGAUAUUUGAAGAUACUCAGAUCCGAUAGAGGAGGCGAGUAUACUGCAAAGCUUUAUGAAAGUUUCUGCAAGGAUCAUGGAAUCAUUCAUCAGUUAACAGCCAGACGCACUCCACAACAAAACGGAGUUGCAGAAAGGAAGAAUCGGACAAUUCUGGAUAUGGCAAGAAGCAUGAUAAAAGGUAAACACCUUCCGAGAACGUUCUGGGCUGAAGCCGUUGAAUGCGCAGUUUAUCUGUUGAAUCAAUGUCCAACAAAAAGUGUAAGACACAAAACACCAGAAGAAGCAUGGAGCGGUCACAAGCCAAGAGUUGGACACCUCAAAAUUUUUGGAUGCAUUGCAUAUGCACACGUUCCUGAGCAACAGAGGAAAAAGCUUGACGAUAGAGGAGAGAAGUGUAUCUUUAUAGGCUAUGACAAAAGAAGUAAGGCCUACAGACUUUAUAAUCCUCUUACUAAGAAAUUGAUUAUCUCAAGAGAUGUCGAGUUCGAUGAAGCGGAUUACUGGAGAUGGAGUGAAGAAGAAAAGAAAGUGGAAGGAUUAUUUUUCAACGAAGACGACAAUAACCAAGAAGAACAAGGCGAUGAUCAAAGUCCUGGUACAACAGCCCCUUCGUCACCAACCAGCAGCAGCGGAAGCAGCAGCUUAGAUGAAGCACCCACAAGAACACGGAGUCUCAACGACAUCUACAAUUCUACGGAACCUGUAGAGACGCAGUUCGAUUAUUCACUAUUCUGUCUAAUGACAGAAUGUGAUCCAGUGACAUACGAAGAAGCAAUUGAAAACAAUAAAUGGAAGAAGGCCAUGGACGAGGAGAUUGCUGUAAUAAGAAGGAAUGACACGUGGGAGCUAACAAGUCUGCCAGAAGGACAUAGCCCGAUUGGUGUCAAGUGGGUGUACAAGACGAAGACCAACAAAGAAGGAAAAGUAGAGAAAUACAAGGCAAGACUAGUCGCCAAAGGCUACAAGCAAAGACAAGGAGUGGACUAUGAUGAAAUAUUUGCUCCAGUCGCAAGAAUAGACACAAUUAGGCUUCUCAUAGCGGUCGCAGCACAAUACAAAUGGAAAAUCUAUCAGAUGGACGUCAAGUCUGCAUUCCUGAAUGGCUACUUGGAGGAGGAAGUCUACAUAGAACAACCACCUGGAUAUAGCAUACAAGGAAAGGAGGACAAAGUCUACCGAUUGAAGAAAUCUUUGUAUGGAUUGAAGCAAGCCCCAAGAGCAUGGAACACAAGGAUCGACGAGUACUUCCGAAGAAAUGGAUUCAUCAAAAGCCCGCACGAGCACACCCUGUACACAAAGAAGAAUGGAUAUGGAGAUAUCAUGAUCGUAUGCCUAUAUGUGGAUGACAUGAUCUUCACCGGAAACAAUCCAGGUAUGUCUGAUGAUUUCAAGAAAGCUAUGACUAAAGAAUUUGAAAUGACAGAUAUCGGUGAGAUGUCAUACUUUCUUGGAGUCGAGGUGAAACAAAUGCAAGAUGGAAUUUUUGUCUCUCAAAAGAAGUAUGCGGAGCAGAUUUUGAACAAGUUCAAAAUGAAGGAUUGCAAGCCAGUAGUCACGCCAGCUGAUCCAGGGAUGAAGCUAAGUGUUGAUUCGACAAGGGAGUCGAUAAAUCCGACGUUGUUUAAAAGUCUCGUUGGAAGUUUAAGGUAUUUGACAAUCACACGACCAGAUAUUACAUAUGCAGUAGGAUUGGUGAGCAGAUUCAUGGAGAAGCCGAAGCAAGACCACUUAAUUGCCGCAAAAAGAAUUUUGAGAUAUAUCAAAGGUACGAUGAACCAUGGUUUAUUCUAUACCCACUCACAAGAUUCAAAAUUAGUUGGCUACUCAGAUAGCGAUUAUGGGGGAGACUUGGAUGAUCGGAAAAGCACUUCCGGAUAUGCAUUCCACAUCAGUUCCGCAGUUUUUUCAUGGUCGUCAAAGAAGCAACAAACAAUUGCUCUCUCAACAUGUGAAGCAGAGUAUAUGGCCGCAGCAACUUGUACAUGCCAAGCAAUGUGGUUGAAGAAUAUUUUGGGAGAAAUAGGUGUUUCAAAUGAAGGUCCAAUUACCAUCUACGUUGACAACAAAUCCGCUAUAUCACUUGCCAAGAAUCCGGUGUCGCACAGCCGAAGCAAGCACAUCGAUACGAAGUAUCAUUUUAUCCGAGAGCAAGUGAAAAACAAAAACGUGGAGUUGGUCCAUUGCAGGACAGAAGAUCAACUGGCAGAUAUUUUCACAAAGCCGUUGAAAGUGGAGACAUUCAACAAAUUCAAAGAGAAGCUCGGUAUGAAAGUUGGGUUUGAGGGGGAGUGUUAGAAAUCAAACCCACUCCAAGCAUAAUCUAGAAGCAUGAGACGUGGAGCAAUUUUGUGCCAUGCAAAGUGCUGAAAUUUUAGCCAUACAAAGUGCUCCAUUAUUGAGAUGUUUUGUGGCUGGAAAUUAAGUGGAUUAAUAGCCACAUUUGUUGUCACUUUAUCAGCCUAUAAAUAGAGGCUUGAACUUGUGUUGUAAUAAAGAAAAAUGAGAAGAAAAAAGAAAUAAGAGAAGCAACGUGAGUGAGAGUGAGAAGGUUAGCAAACCUUGAGUGAGUUAAAAUCUAGCAGCAGCUAGACUAUCUAGUCAUUGAGAAAAUAUUUGUAAUCUUCGUAUUGUAAUAUAUUGAGUGUGUAAUAAAAAGUAAAUUUUCGGCCCAUCACGUUUCCAACAUGUUUUAGGGCAUGGCACCUUUUCUUUUUGCUUCCUUUACCUAUUUUCAAAGAUUUGUAAGAUGGUCCAAGAUCAUCACCAUGUUUUGACACUGGUGGCAAUGGAACCAGCACUGGCACAUAGUUAACUUUCGAUAAAAUCCGAAGCUUGGUACCAUUAGCAUCAACAUAAACAGCACCUAAAUCGACAGUACCCUCACCAUUAUUUUGGGAAUUUGUUCUUUUCUUUUCCCUUCAUCACACAUUUCAAGUCCUUCAAAGUCAGAGAUAUUUGAAGCAAGGGCCCAGCUUCUACCAUUCCUCCUAUCAAGCUCUUCUAAUGUGUAGGAUUUAGCAGUAGCAUAUAUAUCUACCAACAGUUUUGUUUUCCUUGGUUUAAUUUUAUGCCUUGUAAGUUUAGAAUCCACUGUCCAUUUGGAAGUUGACUCGACAGAAAGGCAUUGGUCUAUAUGAGCAUUCAAGGUGGUAUUAGAAGAAGAAGAAAAUGAUUUACAAACAGGGCAAACUUUCGAACCCAUUGAUUCCGAUACCACGGAACAAUUUGAAGCAAUAUCUUCGGUAGAGCUACAAUCAGAAUGACCACCAAAUUUCACUAUCAACCUGCACUUCUUGCCUGAUGGUUUAGUUGUUUUUUCAGUCUUUUGAGACUUCAAAGCAACAAGAGCUUUAACUUGGGCUGAUGAUCCUUCUUCCACUGAAAUGGAUUGCUUGUCAACGAGAACCGAGUCUAUAUCAUAUGAAUCUAGUAUCCCAUGACGGGUUGAUCUUUGCUUCUCAGUUGGAUUGGUUUCGACCACAUGAGUCUCUUCGGGUUGGUUUCUCACAAUAUCAAGAUGCUGAAAUGGUGGCAAUGGAUCCUUCAUGCCAUGUUUCAAAACAAGUUGUAAACUUUCUAAAGAAAAAGGCCAAUUCCUGUUGAUAUCCUUGCUCCGGCCAUUGAACACGUAAUCUCUACAAAAAAAGUCAAGAUUAUCCCUGUUGUUAGUAACCAGCCAAUUAGAAAAACAAAAACCCAAGAUUCAACAAUCUAUAUAUAUAUAUAUAACUAAACACCCAAAAUACAAAAAAGAAAUAAAGAAAACUACUUGUUGUACAAAGGUAGCAACUUUGGUCCAAGAUGAAAUUUCAUGUACAAAUAAGUAAAAGUUAAGGUCCCUAGAGACCAAAAUAGGGGACAAGAUUCGGGGAUGUGUCAAUAUAAACAUUGAGCUCUGGAUCUGACCCAACAAAAGUCAUUUAAGAUGAGAGAUCAAAGAAAAGAGUGUUGGAAUAAAUACCCAUCAAAGGAUUAUCAAAAUAAAGUUAUGAAAUUUACCUUAUGGAGAAAUUGGGGAGUGGGUUCUUAUGAUGAUGAUGAUCAAGAGCUGGAUGCUUCAGCAGAUCUACCUCAUCGUCACUACCAGUGAAUUGGGGAGAACAUGAAGGAUCUGAUGAAGGGUGUUCAAUGGAUAACAUUUGAUGAAAUAGCUAGUCUCUUGUUGUACUGUUUACACAAUAGUCACAACAACAAGAAGAAGCACGCUGAUAGUGAUACUGUCCUUACAAUCAACACUUUCAUUAAUCUUCAGCAUAACAUUACCUCUCUCUCUUCAUCUUUGAUUGGGUCUUCAUCCAUAUUUAGCCUGCCAUUAAAUAGGACAAGAAAAAAAAACGUUAUUUUAUGUGAUGGGAAGGGUAUGAAUUUGAAGCAUGAUUCUGGGUUUUUGAUUGAUCAAAGUGAAAGUAAAGAAAAAAGAAAAUUUGUUACUCAGUUUAUGUAGGGAAACGUUAUUUUAUGUGGGGUUAACUCACAAAAGAACAAACAGAAAAUCCAUAAAUUUGAGGAGAUACCAUUGGUUACCAAAUUCUCAACAUCAAACAGAUUAUCAAAAUCCCAUUAAAAAAAGCACACAUUAUUUGAUAAUAUAUGAAAACUUUGAAAGCUAAAACGAGAUUUUUUACAGGGCUAGAAACCAUAAUCAAUAACAGUUUGAAAGAACAUAAAGGGCAUCUAGUUUAGAUCCAUGGGGUCGAGAAACAUUAAGAGUUGAAGAAACCCAGAAACUAAGAAGAAGAAAAAAAAGGCGAAAUCAUUUAUGAAAUAAGCAAAGCUAAGCUUAGCUUCAACAUUGAACGUACAAGGCAAAGAAAAAAAAAUAGCGAAGAAUAGAGAUGCAAAAGAGAUCCCAGAAUUAGAAACAACGAGAUGGAAGAUUAAAGAUUUAAGAUUAAACUUAUACAAUCACAAAAGCAAACCUUGGGUGUUUUAGAGUAGAUGAAGAAAGAGCAAAAACAAGAAGGAAAAAAAUGGAGGAAUGGACUCAGUGUUUUAGGGUUGAAAGAGAGACGAAGAGCAAGCACAACCCACUCACACACAUUCAUCAAAAGGGGCAAAAAGAGAGGGCAAAUGGGGGCAACAGCAACCAUUAAUCUGUGUGAAAAUGCAAAUGAAAAUGUUUUUUAAAGUCAAGGGAGAGAAAGAAAAAGUAAGAGAGAGGAAGGGUGUGUUUUUUUCUGCAAAAUACACGAAGCUGUCCUAUCAUAUACCUACCCUAUCCUACCCUACUAUUACUGCAACCUUUCCUCUCUCUUCCAUGGGAUAAAUUACAAACAAAGUCACUAAAUUAUUAGUGAAUUUAUAUUUUGGUCACUCAAUUUCAAAAAAUUAUUAAAUAAUUAUUAAAUUAUUUGAAAUUUUUCCUUUAAGCCAUUAGGCUAUUAAAAUUAUUUUUUAUGACGUUCUCUAUUCAUACUGCUUGUAUUAAUUGAAAUAUAUCUUUCCUCUUAUUUUUUACAGUUUAACUUUUUCUAUGAAAUAACUUUGAACGUCACAGAUAUGUGAACUAAAUCUAAACAACAUUUCGUCUUUGAUAUCCAACACUAAUUGUUAGAUCAACUUGGAUCUAAAGUAUGUAUGUUUACUCAUCGAUGGGUAUUAAUCUAUCAUAUUGAUCGUUACUUGGAGCUUCCUAACCAUACUUAAAAAAAAAACCUUAAUAGUCGAAUGACUUAAAUAAAAAUUUUUGAAUAGUUCAAUGAUCAUUUUAUAACUCUCUGAAAUUGAGUGAUUAAAACGUAAACUUACUAAUAAUCUAGUGACCUUAGAUGUAGUUUACCUUUUAUUGUUUUUUAAGUAGAGGUGUUAUUUAUGGGCCGAGUUAUACUCAAUUCAAGUCGAGCUUAAACAUUAUAUUAACAUAAUUUAUGUUUGUUCAAAUUUUGUCCAAUUUGAUUUAUGAGCUAAAAAUUUUGCUCAAACUCCAUCCAUAUUUGUAAAAAAAGAAAAAAAAAAGCUAGCCCAAACUCCUUUUAUGCUCACCCAUAUUUUUUUUUCUAAAUAUUUAAAUUAUAUUUAAUAUUUAAUAUUUGGUUACUUUUCACGAAUUUAAAACUUAAUCCUUAUACUUUUAUUUUUAAUAAUUUAGUCCUUCUAAUUUUAAUAUUUGAAAAUUCAAGUCCAAUUAUUAAUACUAUUAAAAUUAUUUUGUUAAAUUUAAAUUUAUUAUAAUAUUAUUUUUAUAGUUGCAUGGCUACUAAGUAAUUUAUUUUAUUUUAAAAUGUCACAUCAAUAAAUUUAAUAAAAAAAUAUUUUUAAUAACUGAACAUGAAUUUUAAAUUUUAAAAAAUAAAGAGACAAAAUUCUUAAAAAUAAAAUUACAAUAACUAAUUUCUAAAUUUGUGAAAAAUAUAUAAAUUUAUUACAUUGUUUAACCUAAAUAAUCUUAUAUAUUUUUCAUUUAUUAAAACUUUAUAUAUAUAUAUAUCUAUUUUUUUAAUAUUUAUAUUAUAGUAUUAUAUAUUAUUAUAGAUUUAGUUUUUAUAUGUUGUAAGUUAUAUAUACAAAUAUAUAACAUAAUAUAUAUUACAAACAUAAAAAACGGAUUGAGUCGAAUCAAGUUUAAAUUUUGAAUGUUUAAGUUUAAAUCUGAAUUUGGUUCGUAUUUUAAAUAAAUUAAUUUUUAUGUUUAAAUUUAUUUUUUAAAUUUAAUAUUUUUAUUUAAACUUGUUUCAAUUAAAUCUCUGAUUUUUAAUUAAUAAAAUGAAAAAUCCCAUUUAGGUUAGUCACCUCCUUUUUUCCAUAGUCCACACGCCAUGCUGUAUGUUUGCACGUUACACGAUGAACUUACUCAUCUUUUCCUGUUUUCAACCAGUUCCAGCUCAAAUUCCGCUAUUAAUUAUUAAUAGAAAGUAAGUGACAACUCUUUUUUAUUUUGGUUAAAAUAUGACAGAAGUCCUUAUACUUUUAUUAAAUUUAAAUUUUAGUACUAAUAUUUUAUUUUUAAACUAAGGGCAAGCCAAUUAACAUUUUUUUAUAAGUGGUAAGAGUAGAGAUUGUUUAGGGAUUAAAUUUAAUAUUGACAUGGAUUGAAUACUUGACCGCUAGUCCUUUUUCAUUUUACUUGUGGUUGAAUUUAGGGUUUUUAGAAUUAAAUCGGUAGUUGAAUCGAUCAGACCACUUGUUCUUGACCCAAUCAAAUUUGUCCAGUUCAAUUGAAUAGAUCAUUAAAAAAUUAUAAAAAUUAAAAAAUAGAGAAAUUUGGUUCAAUCGUUGGUUCAACCAAUUUGUGGGUCAAUCAAUCUAAUCCCUUAUUUUGAACUAGGGAUGGCAAUUCAAAUAUCCACGAACAUUCGACUUGAAUUUUGGAUUUGGAUAUUAAAAUUACUAUCCAUUGCAGAUGCGUAUAGACCCCCUUUAGAUAUUCAUUAUCUGAAUCUGUAUUCCUAUAAUUAGGGAUUCAAGUUCGGAUCAGAUAUCCAAAUCUAUCGAUUAGAAAAUAAAUGGUUCCAACAAGAUUUGAACCCACGACGUCUUAUAUAUAUAAGGCUAAGAUUUAUCACUACCUUAAACAUUUAUUAUAAUUUACACAAAUAAGUGGCAUAUAAAAACAUAAUAAAAUAUUUUCUAAAAUUAAAUAUAAAUAAUUUUUAUUAGAAAAAAGAUAUAUUCUCUAACAUCUUAUUUUCUUAAAUCUUAUUUAGCUUUUCUUGAAUCAUAUAUAUAUAUAGUUUUUGUAUCUAUAAACCUAACUGAACAAUGAGAUGGGAUUAUCAGAAUCCCUAAAUUUGAAAAAAAAAAUAUUAUAAUAUGAAUUUAUUUUAUAAUGUGAGAUAUAAUUAUAUUUAGUACAUAUUAUAUCACAAAAAGAAAAGCACACAUACACGUUUAACUACAUAUAAUAUAUAAAUUUUUAUAUAUAAGUAAAUUAUAAAUGUAUAAUAAUUAUACAAUAAUGAUAUUAUAGUGUGCAUUCUUUUAUUAAUGAUAUGCAACCAGAACCAUAAAUAUUUAACUAAUUUUAUAGUAGAUUGUAAAAUAUACAAUUAACAUUAUAUAAUUAAGGUAGACUAUUAAUUAUACGUAUCCAAUUAUAUAACUAUGUUAUUAUAAUGUACAUCAUUAUAUUAAUGAUAUGUAAGCUUAAACCCUAAGCAUAAAUGUUAGCUUUGAUGUCUCAAACUUUUAAUACGACAACUUUUAAGACAAAUUUUUUUCUUUUAUAUGUCUUAAAUCCUUUGGUGAAAAUAUGAUUGAAAAUUUUAUCAAACAUUUUCAAAGACUUGCAAAAUACUCAAAAAUAUGUUAUAAAUGUGUUCUAAUUUAUCUAAAUAUGUUUUGGUUAAUAUCAAAGUGUUUUAAGAUGUUUAAAAUAUUUUUAAGGGACUUUGGCAUGCAAGUCUCGAGGCAUAUGACUAUAUGUCUUGAGACAUGAAAACUUCGAAGCAAAAAUCCGCUUCAAGAGUUGUUUAUCUUGAGGCAUUGUACAAUAAUUGUCUCUAUGUAACAUCCAAAAAAUUAGAGGUUAGAAUUCUUAGAAUAUUUAAGGAUUAAAAAUUAGCAUUAUUUAUUAGAAACCUAGUAGGAAGUCUUAAGAAAUUUAGGUUCAAGUUUUAUAAAUUUGUUUUUCUUUAACUUUUUAAUUUUUUUUGCACAUGUAGAACCUAGGUAAUAUGACUUAUGUAUCUAUUUGUGUGUGUUUUGAGUAUAAAUGUGGGCAUUAGCCUAAUGGUCAAAGCUUUCUUGAGUUUCCCUCAUAUUCUAAGCUCUACUCAUGCCACUCUUAAUUAAUUUUUGAUGAUUUUUAGGCCAAUGGGCUAUUUGCCCACCAGUCCUCAAAUUCUUCCUCGACUUAACUUUUAAGUCCUUCCCUGGUUCUAUUAAAAUUCCUUAUAUGUUAUUUAAUCAAAUUGAAAACCUGACUCUUUCUAUAUAUCCUAGCCUUCUCUCAUUAUUCUCUAUCUCAAAACUCUUUUAAAACCCUUACGUUUUACUGAAAAAUAUUCCUAAAGCUUUUGAAAAUUUAAUAAAGUCCUCAUCAAUUUUUCUUCUCCAAGUUAUUGAAACUCGAGUCAUUAGAUCGUUAAAAUUCUAUCAAGAUUGACCCUUAUAGGUGUUUGGAAAGAACUUGAGCGUGGGAUAGUCGCCUAAGGUCUCGGGAAAGUCAAGUGUAUGUUCUUUUACGAAAAAUCAGGUCAAAAUUUGAAACUUCCCUAUCACACACAACUUACCAAACGGCCGUGUGGCCUGCCCAUGUGGAUCACACGGUCGUUUUCCCUAGUUAUCCCUUGCAUUCAUGCUUUGCACACGACCUAGACAUACGGCUGUAUGGCCCCUGCACCUUCACCUUUCAUAUCGAACACGACUUGGGGCCACGCAUACAGACUGGACACAUGGCCGUAUGGCCUCUGAAACUUAAAAAUUACAAUUUUACCAUAUCUUUUAUUAUUUCAUGCAAAUCAGUCCCUAGGUAGAUUUUUAAUGGCAUCUAGAAAACUAGAUUAUGCAAUUAAGUCCUGGAUUAGGAAUAGAAUGAGUGAAUACAUGAAUUUAUGAUUUAAUUGUUUAUGAUUGAUGGCAUAAACCCGUAAAUGAUUUAAUGCUUGCUAUUAUGAUAUAAUUUCUUAUGGUUGUUUGAUUUAAUUCGUGAAUGAUUAUAUAUAUUUAUUAUUGCUAUAUUGAAGAAAUGUCUCACAUGUUUUAACAAUUAAUUCAUGAAUUGUUUGUUCUUGCAAUGAAGAUAGAAUGUUGACAAUGAUAUUGAAUGAUUGCAUUGCAUAUGCAAGUGUCACGGAGCUAGAUCUUUUGUCUUGCGAUCCGUGCGGCCUUAGGCGAUCUGUUCACUCCAAACUUGCCUAAGUCAGCCUUUACUCCCAAAAGUAAGGAUUCGUUAAGAAUUUCUCCAAGGCACCAAUUUGUAUAGCGGAAGCAAUUGUGACAAAAGAAGCUACAAAAGAACAACAGAAAGCCACAAAAAAAAACGCUCACAAAGUGUUUGAGUAAAUGCUUAAAGAAUUCUGUUACUCUUAAGAAUUCAACUUACAAUGGAUGAUUUACAAGUGAGGGGAAGGCUCUCUAUAUAUAGUUGAGCUCCCCUAAAAUCGACGGUCAAGAUACAUUUACAUCGACGGAUGAGAUUAGCUUAUCCCUUAAUUUUGGGAAUUUACAAUAUUAUCAUAUCAUAUCAAAUUUACAAUAUAUGAUUCCCACUUACUAAAAAUAGCCUAUGUUGUCAUAUCUUCAUUAUUGGGCCAACCAGGCUUCAAUCUAGUAGGCUUCUCCAACAGUUCUUGGAAUCGGGCCAGUUCUCAUGAGCUAAAUGAUCCCCGUCUAAUCGAUCGACCUCUAUAGGGCGCAUCUUGUGCCAUGGUCACGGGCUUUGUACUUUGGCCCGUGACACAAGAAGGCGUUAAGGAGGAAGAUCUGACAUAAGCCAUCAUUGUCGGGCAACCUGAGAUGACUAAAUUAGAGUAUUUUGAGGAGGAGUUCUGAGGAACCCCUAUUGUAAUAUAUAACAGUUGGGGGUAGGACUAUUGAGUGAUAAAAUGGAUUGUUCAUUGUAUGACAUAUUGUGCACAUUCAUGAAAAGUUUUUGUUAAUCUUAAAUUGAUAUUCACUUGGGUAAAAUCGGUUUAAUAUUCAAAAUUAAUUUGUAAAAAGACCGAGCCACCUCAGUGGGAAAUGUGAUCUCUCCGACUCAAGUCUAUUGUCUAGGCCAGGUUAGAGAGGUUACACUCGAGACAUGGCCUGCCAACGGCUAUAUAACAGCUACAUUUCAUCCUUGUCUCGAGACAUCUUGCUAGGUCUCAAGACAUGAUGUGCAGGGACAAUUUUUAAGCCCGAAAUUAAUGCUGGCUAGAUUUCAUCCCAAACGACCAUAAAUGUCCACAAACUUGUUCCUUGGUAUAAAUACACUUCAAGACUCAAGAGAGAGAUAUCCAAGUAUUAAGAUCAAGAGAAAAAUAUUCAAAUAUUUAUUAUUUCAUUUCUCUUGUGAAUAUUCUCUAGGAGCUUAAUGUCAAAUCUUUUAUCAUUUACAUAUAUUUGUUUUGAGAGAUUAAUUUUUGUAAGCACACACCUUGUAAAGGUCUCUUUGUUUUUGUAAAUUGGGAUGGUUUUAGUUGAGCCACAAAAACUAGGAGGGGUUUUUAUUAAGCCAUAAAAACUAAGGGUAAUGUUAUAUCUUAGCCUUGUGAAAAAUAUGGGGAUUGUAAAGAUUAUACAUUUUCCUUAAAAGGUAAUAAUUCAAGUAUGGUGAAUUCGUAAAUUCUUGGUUGAGGUACACCAAGGUAGUGGAGGUAUGUAAUUGGGCCCGAACCAUUAUUAAUCGAUUUGUCCAAGCUAUUCUUAGCAUAUCAUGCUUUUUAUCGUCAUUCGAUGCUACAUUUAAAAUUACAUACUAACAUUUAAAAACAUGUCUUCAUGCAUUUACUCUCAUCAAUUUCACAUAUACAAUUAGUUAGAGCAAGCUAACAAAAGUUUUACAUAUAUGGUAUCUUCAUGAGAACUAACCGACCUAGUUCGAUUACACAUAUAUACAAGUUCAUAAGUAGGGUUCGCACUUAGUGGUUCACACAUUUUAAGGUUCUCAUGCUAACAAAUAAAGGGUCCGCAUAAUAAAACACAUGGGUUCUCAUAUUAUUACUAGGGCUAGCAUAAAUAUAUUAAGAGUUCGCAUAAUAAAUCCUAUAUGUUUUAACACAUGGGUUCGCAAUCAGGGUUUGCAUGCAAGGGUUUGCAUACUAUAGGGGUUCACACAAAGGGGCUCUCACAGAAGGGGGUCACACAUAGGAGCUUGCAUUAAGGGCUCACCUAUAAGGUUUCACAUGCAAGGGGUUCACCUAUAGGUGUUCGCAUACAAGGGUUUUACAUGCAUGAGGUCACCUAUUCGGGGGUUCGCAUAAGCUAUAACUUACAUGGGGUUCGCAUAAGUAUUAGGCUCACAUGUAUAUAGUGUUCACAUAUUUUAUCAUGUAGGGUUCCCAUAAUAAACAAGUAUGUUUCGCAUAACUAAACAACUUGUUUUGCAUAACUAAACAUGUACAGUCUGCAUAUUAUACAGGGUUUGCUCGUCUUAUGUAUCUCUCAUAUGCCUAGGGUUCGCAUAUCCUAUGUAACUUGUAUACUAUCCAAGGUUCAUAUACAGAUUCGUAUGCAUGGAUUACAUACAUGCAAUAAUUUACAUAAGAAAUAUUACUUUACACUAAUUACUAUAGUUAAAAGUACAAUGUUUAAAAAUUAAUAAUUAAAUAUUAAAUACGUAAAAUUACAUGCAAUGCAUGUGACACUAAAAGCUAGCGUAUAUAUAUAAAAGCACAAAUUUAGAAAAACUUUUGAACCAACGAGAAUACCCUUUAUUUUCUACCAUAUUACUAAAUUGACAUUUUAAAAUAUUUAUAAUGUAAUUUAAAAAUAUUACUUAUAACCCUAUUUAAAAAUAAGUUGUGAUAAUUUUAUUGACUCUAGAAUAGAGUUAUAAUUUGAAUAAAACUCUAAACAUACUCACUAUCAGAAAGACGAAAUAACUAAUUAACUAAGGUUAAAAUAUUGUUUUAAAAGUUCUGAAUUAUUUUUAUUUUUUAUAAAUAAACUUUAACGUAAUAAGCAAAAGUUAUAACUUAAAUAGAAGUCUAAGUAUUAUGAUAAUAAUAACGAGAGAGGUUUUUUUUUUAAAAAUAUCUUUCGUAUUUAUCAUGAAUCAUGUUGUUUUACUUUUUUAAAAUUUAAUUUUACAACUUAUUUUCUAAUAUAAUUCUAAUUUUCUAUAUAAUUUUUAAAUUUCUAUUUAUAGAAUAUUAUUUAUUUUUAAUUUAUAAAAAAUAAAUGUGAUUAUUCACCUGCAAUGUAGGUGAGAAAGAAAUUUAGAGUUUGAAAUUUUUUUUGAAUUGACGGUCAUAUCUGUUAUUGUUAAUUAUAUUACUAAAUUGAUAUUAGAAUAAUAAUUUUUUAAUAUUAUUAAGUGAUAAUGAUAAAAUUAAUAUUAAUUAAUAUUAUGGUAUAUUAAUGCAAAAUUAAUUAAUGUGAUUGUAUCUUUUAAAAAUUCUACUUAAAAAAUAACAUAAUAUAUUAUUAAUUAAUAAAUUUAUAAAAUCAUUGAAUAUAAUUGGAUAAAUUUAAAAAUAUAUAAAUAUAAAAUUUUAAUUAAAUAAAUAAAUAAUUAUGUAUAAAUAUGAUGUUAUUUUAAAUAUGUUAAUUAAUAACGUUAAAAUUAAUUUUUUAUAAUUAAUAAAAAUUAAGGUGUGAGAUUAUCGUUAUAUAUAUAAGAUAAUAUUAAUAUAUUAGUAUAAAUUUAUUUAUUUAUUCUUAAUUUAUAUAUCAAAGUUGAAAAGAAAAUAAAUAUUUUAUAAUUAAAUUAGAUAAUAUUUUUUAUAAAUAAUAAUUGCAUUUAAUCAAAUCAGUUCAAUUCAACACAAAUCUUGAUUCGACAAAGAAUAUAACUUAAAUCUAUCUGAGAAAUUAAAAUAAAGAAAUUUGAUCAAUUAAAAAUUAGUAUUUUGUAUUAUAUAUACUUCUCAUACUUUUAAAUAUAUAAAUAAUAUAAUAUAAUAUAAAAAUAAAAAUAAUUAUAAUUAUAAUUAAUUUAUUAAUAAUGUUUUCAUUAUCAAUGUAAUAGUUAUUAUCACUCAAUUAGACUUUAAAUCCAUGUUAAAUUACACUUAUUAAUUUAAAUUAAUUAUCAAUUAAUUAGUAUUAUAGUUAUAUACCAAUUAAAACCAAUAUUUAAUUAGCGUUAUAAAUAUAUGCAUUAGCAAGACAUUUUCAUUCAAAAUAACAUCUAAAAAAUUCUUGGGAAAAUAAUAUUUUUAACAUUAUUUAAUAGGUUGUAUUUUCAUCAUAAAAAAGUAUGAUUUUCGUUAUUAUUUGUGUAACAACCCGAUUUUCAUCAGUGUCGAAAAAGUCAGAUUUGAAACCGAAUUUAUUUAACCGAGUUGUCCAUCGAUUUUUAUUGAACAGUUGCAAAGUAAGUACGAAAUUAAAAAUAGAAAUAUUAAUAAUUAAAUUAGAAAUAAAAUUAUUUAAUAAUUAAUUAAAUAGAAUUAAUUAGUAAUUAAAUUGUUGAGGAAGCAUGAAAUGAAGGAAUAAUUAGAUAGGGACCUAAGUGGAAAUUCGUCUUGGCCUUAAGUGGUAAUUAAACCACUAUUAGAUAUAUACUUGAUGGAUGAGUCCGUUUUCAUCCAUGGAUUCCACUAAGUGAAAUGAAAUCAUAGCCGUUAAAAUUUUAUUAACUAAGGUUUUAUUUAAUUUAAUAAAACUAUGUAUAUAUAAAAAUGGGUGAGAGAUGAAAAUUUUAGUCAUUCUCGUCAUCUUUUCCCUUCACCGAAAUACAAAGAAUAAAGGAAAAAAUUUGUGGUUUUCUUCUUCCAUGGCCAUUUAUCAUCUAAGGAAAAUAGGUAAGUUUUCAAGUAAUUUUUUGUUAAAUUUUUAGGCUAAAUGCUAGAUUUUCAUUGCCCAUUAAGUAGAUUUUUCAAUUAAGUUAGAUAAGUUAACUUGCCAUUGUUGAAGCUUAAGAAAAUUUAGGUUUUGAGAGUUGACUUCAUGCAUGUGUGAUGUUGGGCUGAUCCAUGGUUGAAUCACGUUAGUAAUAUAAUGGAAAUUGUUAAAUCAUUAGGGACCCAUUUGUAAGAAAGAAAAGCUUUAGAAAUAGAUGUUAUAAAUUGAUAAUUCGAGGUUUCUUGAGAAUGAAUACGAAAUCGGGUUAUGGUUCGAUAGACUAAAUAUCGAGAUAUCAAGAUACGAGCAUUUCGGAUAUAAAGAUUUAAAAGGGACUUAUUUGUAAAGUAUGUAACUAUGCUUAGCUUUGGUUAUGUUUUAGUGAAUCUAAUACUAUUUCGUAAAUGAAUAAUUCAAUGUAGUUGAGAGAAGGUCGGAUUUUCGAGGGUUAAAGGCGAGAAUGUUCGUCGAAUCGGUUUGUGCUAGCAUAAUUUGAUUUUCUCACAUAUAAAUUUUAAGUAAUUAGCUUAUUCAAAUAUAAAUCAUAAAUAAUAGAAUGAGUAUUGAAAUAUCAUGAAUAUAUAUGCAUGAGUAUAUAUUCUAUGUUAUAAUGAAAAACUAUGGAAAGUUAGACAAUAAUAUGAAUGUUUGAUGUAAAUCUAUUAUAAUGCAUGAAUGACAUGUGAAAGAAUGAAAAUGUAAUAGAAGUAAUAUGAAAGGUUAUGUAAUGAUUAGUAUUAUGUGAACUAUUGCUUGGUAAUAUUGUAAAUGCCCUAUUAAACGAUCUCCGAUAGAGUCGUUUAUAGUUGGCAUGUCAUAGUAUUAGUUAUAUGGCGAUUUCUUUGGUUUAUACUAAUGAGGUGCGGAGCUCAUAUUACUUUGGACGUACCGAUGAAGUGCGGAGAACACAUUACUUCGGUUUAUACCGUUGAGGCGUGAAACGCAUAUUACUUUGGACAUACCAAUGAUGCAUUAGGUGCAAUUUAUAUUGGUUUGAUGAUGAGAUGAUCUAUGUACCCGUCUUGAGUCAAUGUUCAGUUGAUAAGGGUUGUAAACUAUUUUACAUGAUUGAUUAUUUUAAUUGAUAUGGGAAAAAUGAAUAAAUCAUGUUGAUUUGAUGAAUUGAAUGUAAUGAAUAAUAGCAUGUGAAGGACCAUGCGGAUUGAGUGCGAUGAGCCUUGAGGGCCAAUAAUGUUAUGAAACGAGUUAUGCUACUCGAUUUGGUGUAACUGAGAUAUGGAUAUUGAUUUGAAAAUGUCAAAAGUUAUAAAUAAUAUUGACAUAGUAUGGAUGUUAUGAUUUGUUUCAAUGUAGAUUCUAACUCUGAUAAUGCAAAAAAAUUCAAAAAAAAGUUGUUAAAAAUUCAAUAAAUUUAAAAAAAAAAUUGUAAAAAUUAAUAUAUAUAUUUAAUUCAAAAAUAAAGUAUGUAAACUGCUAUACAAGUAUCGUUAUAAUUUUAAUAGUUCAAUCAAUGUUUUCAUAAGAAAAAAAAAAGAAAAACUAAAUUUAUUAUUUAAAAAAAAGAUAAAAUUAUUUUAAUAUGGAUUAAUAUAUAAUUAUUUUGUACUAUUCUUUUACCAGCAAAUUAUAGAGUUUAAUAUGGAGAAUACCAUGGAUUAUAGAGUUCUUUUUUUUUUGGUUCAAUAGAAUAUAGAAUUUAGUACGUGAUAUAGCAAUAGUCCUUAACAUUGCUUGGGUGUUGGCAUAUUGGCUUCUACUGUAUGUAGUAGCAGAGGCAAGCAUUUUCUAUAUUGUUGGCCUUGUUAACCUAGUUGAUUUGUCUGCCACUAUUAUACACCUUCCCACACAAUUAUAUGUACAUACAUAUAUAUAUGUAUAUACACUCCUAUAUAAAGUUAUAAAGUUGAGAGAGAAAACUGAAAAGGAUAUGGAGUUGAGAGAGAGGUAGAAGCAAGAGUUCCCCAAAGCUAUAAAGUUUUGGGGAGUAUAUAAGGGGAACAUUUAUAUGUACUCUUAUUGGUAGGUAAAAAUAUUAUAAUCUCAUCAUUUUUGAAGGAACUAAACAAUUUUUUUUUUUCAUUUUGAGAUUAAUAAAAUUUUAUCAAAUAUUAAUUUAUAAUUUCACCACUAAUGAAAGACUGAAUUACAACUUUUCCAUUUUAGGGGUCUAGGAUCUUACAUGUCCCUUUAAAUUUACCUUUGACAUAAUGUAGUUAUAGGAUAUGUUAAUGAUAAGCGAGAACAAUCAUAUCAAAAUAGUAGAGCUUGGCGUAAACUUGAUUCUAGGUGGGGCAUGAAGGUUCCUCGGCAAGGUUUCCUUAUUUGGUGGAGGUGGAUUCUUAACCUAUGUGUAACAAACAUAAACAGCAACAAAAAGACCACAAACAUAACAGUAACCACAACAACUUGCUGACUUAAAUGGGACCAAUCCUACACCUCUAAUACCAUGAAAGAUAGCAGUGAAAGUAUGGAAGUGCACACUCUUGACAGUCUUUGCUAGGGGCAUGGAAAAUAUUUUAUUACAUGCUAAGGUGACCAUUCAGUGUAUGAAGACUCACUUUCUCUAAAGUAGAAAGACUACAAUUGAAGGUUGUUGUCUCCUAUCUAAUUAGAGUUCAUAGAUUACCAUUUGAAUAUAUAUAUAUAUAUAUAUAUUAUGAGUACAUUGAUAACCUCUAUGUCCAGAACAAGUCUAUAGUUCCAAUUGUCCAAAUAUAUUUGGCAAGUUGGUAGCCAACAAAGAAAUCAAGUUCCAACAACUACAGUUUGCAGUUGCAGUUACAGUUCCACUUCUGGUAAUACGUUAUCACAUGAUGUAGGUGGCAAAUAGACAUAAAUGGAGGAAAAAUAGUACUGCAUUUCAUAAUAAUUUCAACUUAUGUUCUCAAGUCAUCAAAAAUCAAGAGAAUAUAAUAUGGAAGAAAAGAAUGAGCACUGAUGAAAUGCUCAUUUCUAUAUUUGAAAACAUAAAUGCUUUCUAUUUCUUCUCAGAACUGAAUAAAAAAGAAGGAAAUUUUACAUCUGUGGUCCAAGGGGCAGCCUACUCAUUAGUUGCUGGUAUACUGAUGUGUUGUUGGAUAGAUCCAAACCCGGGUCAGACAUCGGUUCCAUCUUUGCUUCUCCUUUUGGCAACCUGAAACCCAUUUCGUUACCCUGGCGUUGGUGAGGCAUGUAUGGAUGAAGAGGCAGAACCGGCAUCUUCGGUUGUCCAGGGCCGAAUCCAGCCAUUGCCAAAUUUGCUAGGCCUGGUUGAUUCAUUCCAAAGGAGAAGCCGGGUGAAGGCCCCAGUUGUUGCCUUCCAGGCAGGGUAAAUGGACCGAAUGAUGUCGGUCUAACCAUGCUGUUGUGAAGUUGUGAUGGCUCUGACCUGUGGGCAUGGGUUUGGACAGAAGAAGAAGUGAGGGCGGUUGCUGUGUUCGAAGUAGCAGAAUUGACGUGACUGCUAUUACGAGCAGCUGGAACAUCAUGAUUAUGCUUUCCUUCAUAAGUAGUAAUUACUGAUUUAAGGUCAUGUGAUGCCCUCUCCACAUGCUUCCUCACGGUGCAGCCAGCACUUGUGCAUUUGUAGUAACUCCUGCAUUGAAACAAUAGCAAACGAGCUCUGCAUUAUAUCAGCAGUCGAGAGCAGUAAACUGAAAGAGGAUAUACAAGAUAAAACAAUGACAGAAGGAAAAAAAACCUUGGAUUUGGAUUUCCUUUCACUACUUUCUGGCCAUACUUGCGCCACCGAUAUCCAUCAUCUAGGAUAUCUACCUCACUGGUUGUCUGGACCACAACCCUAGGUUCACGAAUAGCUCGUGUGGCUCCACUCAUUUCUGUUGUAUAGGCUUCGAUUUUCCUGGCAUAAAUAAAACACGAAAACAUUCACAUAGUGAUCUCAAUAAUAAUAUUAUUCAAACAUUUUAUCAGAUGUAAACCUUCUCUUUGAUUCAGAUUCAUCUCCUUCACCGUCGUAACCUAACGAGACACUGCCAUGUGUCCCCCGAUCAUCUUCAUCUUCAUCAUUAGAGAAUGUAGAUGAGGCAUCCACUGCAUCACCUGAUUCAAUGUGAGUACCAUUUGGGGUCGGUGCAGUGCCGUUCUCUGGACAUAUAGUUGCAGAAGAUGUCAUCUCGAUGUUUUCAUGCGUCCAGUCAUGAGUAGCAGCAACUGUUCCCUUCUGUGCAGUUGCCCAAACAGGCUCACCAUCUGUACCAUUUUGAAGGCCAGUUUGUUCGGGGAGUUCAAGUUGCAUGUCAAUUAAUGGGUUAGAUGAUCCAAUGGAUGAUCGACGGUUAGGUGGAGGCUUGGGAUGGUUGUGAGCUCCCUUGUAGAUUAUUUCCGUUAUGUGACCUUCAUGAGAACGUUCGACUUUCUUCUUAACCUGACAAGUUGGAUGUGUGCAUUUAUAAUAACUACGAGGAUAUUCACUUCCUUUAACUUGUUUUUGCCCAUAUUUCCUCCAAUUAUAUCCAUCCUCAGAUGGCGCACCACCAGCCAUGCAAUCUCCACUGACUCUUUGAUCUCCUUCUUCAUCCUGGGGCUCAUCAAGAGGCAAUGAAUGUUCAACACUCCCACCAACGGGAUCAAAGACCCUGUGGUCUGCAGAGUUGUUACUCCCCGUAUCUUUUUCAGUUGAUGACCUCAAGAAAUCUGCCUGAAGGCUAAGCAUGUUGCUGUUUUGUUGUUGCAGUUUCCUCGGGUCUACGCUUCGAGAUGGCUGAGAAUUCUCGGACUGAACUGAAACUUCAAUGUUAGAAAAAGACUGCUGAGGAAGACUGGCCGGAGUAACCUGCAGUUUAAAGGAAAAUGGGUUACGAACAAAUGCGAAUACCAUUGUGCAUUUCCGAAGAAAGACCUUUUUAUUCAUUAAAUCUUUUUCUCUCAUACUUUACUCAUCGCACCAAGGAGAAAAGAGGAAUUCGAUUCUGCAAUGGGCUUGAAGGCAAAUGAUGAUGCAUUGAUGUCUUCAAAAUAGUUAUCCUCACUUUUAUCACGAGACUCUGGGAUACAGCUCCUAUCAUUAACAUUAGGAAUGAAUGAGAACUUUCCAGUAGUCGGGGAUGGCUGUGCCUGCAGUGAUACAACGAGAAAUUCAUAUGCAACAUAAAUCCAAUAAAUAUCAAAAGAUUGAUUUUAGGAUUGCAAAUGCCUUCAGUGGAGUAUGGACAUCAUGGACCCGGGUGACCACAACAGUUGUUUGUUGAUACCAUCGAUACUUCGUUCCAAAAAGCAGAAUUAUGAUGGUACUAAAACUUUCAAGUUAAGCAAACUUACCAACGAAUUCGAAACAAAAACCGGAGAUUCCAGCAGUGUUGUAGGGCUGAGACCAGGAGGUAUUGUCAAGUAAGGAGAACGAAUCUCGGGGUUAAGCGAAGUAUCAGUAGACCUGAUGUUUUCAGUAUUCAACCUCGGAGCAUUAAAACCAGCUCUGGCUGCCAUCCUUUCCAACAAACCAGCCCGUGUACUUGAUUUUUGCUCAAAAGUCGAUUCAUUUGACGGUUCACAACCUUGGUUAACAUCCAUUUUAUCACUAUUCUCUCCCAGAAAGAGUCCCUCACUUUUAUUUUCAAGAGGAGCUUUAGACACUUGUUUUGAACCACUAUCAUCACCUAACAUAGCUGUGAAAAAGGUCCUUGGACUCUGAGUAGGAGGAAUCCAAUCUCCGAUAAUAGAAACGUUAUCAUCGAUACCAGCCAUGAUAAAUUCCAACCCCCUUGGCUCAAAUAUCGGUUCGUUUCAAAAUGCAGAUGGUUGAAUUCCUGAAAGAAGAACAACAAAAAACACAAAUAUAUGCUGAAGUCACAACAGGAAAAAUCGCAGUUUUGGUCCCGAAAUCCGAUAGCAGAGAUGUAAUAAGUCCUUGAACUGAAAGUGAAAUUAUGUGAAAAAUUAGAAUCUUCAAACUUCAGUUUAACCAAGGCAAUUCCCACUUUAUAAGCAUACUGUAAAAGACACUUAUUUCCAUGGCAAAUAAAAUAAAAUAAAAGAGAAAUUAUGAAACAAGAAGAUGAAGGUAAAAAAAAAAGUGAAAAGCUUUACAUUCACUCCUCAGCUUCACCAAAAUGAAUAAGGAAUACAUAUAUCAUGAAAAGGAAAUCCAUAGAUAAAAAAACUAGAAAUGAUUCCAUUUUUGUUCAUGUUAUUACCCUUUUUCUGCUUUUGUUUUUUAACAUAAGAACCCUAAAUUAACCAAACAAAAAAAAAGUAAACAAAAUAUUCCAAAUUUGAUGAACAUAUCUUAAAGGAAAAGUAAUCAAAAUUGUUGCUCUUAAAGGAAAAGUAAUCAAAAUUGUUGCCCAACAAGAUCUAAUGAUUAGGAAUUUGAAUCAUUGCUGGGUUAAGCUAAUAAAAAAAAUCCAAAAACAGCAUAAAAUACUUGUAAAAUUUGAAAGAAAAAAAAAAGGAUCAUAAAAAAAUUUCAAACACCAGAAUUUGGCUUCAAAAUUUGCAAUAAACACAUAACAUAAUGGCAUUAUUUCAACAAAUAAAUGAAGAAAUAAAUUGAAAAGGAAAAAAGAACAAAUGAUUACCUGCUUGAUUAAACAACCAUGAUGAGAGCAGGAAGAAGAUAAAAACCCAAAUCUUCUCUCUUCAUUGCAAAUGGAAAUUAAAAGCAUCCAACUUUCUUCAUCAUAGUUGGAAAAAAAAAUUAUAAAAAAAAAUUCUUUUUGUUGUUGAAAUUUUGUUGGGUUAGUCUAAAAAUGAUAUGAUAUAUGAUUUAAUGAUGAUGUUCCUUCUUCUUUUUUUCCUUCUAUGGAGAAAACUACAAGAGAAACAGAUGCAUUUACAGUAUCUGUAACAAUAAAAUAAUGAUAUAUAUUUAUUCUUAAUAAAUAAUGUGAAUUUUAAAUUAAAAUUAAAACAAAAAAAAAAAGGAGAGAAGAAGAAGAUGAAGAAAGAGGGAGAAAAAAAGAGAUGGUAUUGCAAUGGUGGUGGACCCUCUCUAUGAAUGGAAUCUUUGAAGAAUGAAAAGAAAUAGAAAUUAAUUAAUUAUUAAUUAAUGCAAAGAGCAUAAUAAUAAAAAUAAAAGGAAAAAAAGUUAGACAGCUUAGUUUUUUAUUUUAUUUUUACAUUUUUUGUUUUAAUUUAGUUUGUAAUAAUUCUUGUUUUUGGUUUUUUUUUUUUUUUAAAUUCUUGUUUUCGGAGUGGGGUAAAGGGGGUAUGGGGUUUUUCAGCUUUGGAACAGAAUAGAAAAUGACUAAAAUGGGCCCCGCUCCGGUGAUUGGGGAAGCUCAGCCAGCCAGCUAGCCAGUUAGCCAGCCACGGAGGAUAGCUAAAGCCGGCAAGAGAGGAUGAUAUGGAUGUUGUUUGUUGCCUUAAUUAGAGAGUAAUUUGUUUUUUAAUUAAAUUAAUUUUAUAUUUAUUUCUAAAUCCAAUAAAUAAAUAAAUAAAAACCCUGGCUGGCAUUAAAAUUAUUAUUUUAAUUAAUAAUGAUGUGCCUAACACCUGUUGCCUAUAGCCUUGCAAAGUGAAGAUGUUAUAACCGCUUCUUUAGUGUUUCCACUUGGCAGGUGCCCCCUUAAUCGUUGCCUUUUGCAAAUAAAACCAAAAUAUAUAUAAUAUAAAAAUUAAAUUAAAUUAUUUUCUUUUUACAAAAAAAUAAAAAGGACAAUUGGAUAUGGAUUGACAGGUAGGGUGUCGGAGCUCCCAAGGUUAAUUUAAUUUAAUUUAAUUACAGUAAAUUAAUAAAUAAUAAUAAUGGGUUAAUUUCACAACAUGUCUCCUAAUUAUUACACUAUUUUAAAUUAAUUCACAAAUUUCAUAAAUUUUCAUUAAAUCAAGGGCGGUGUUGAGAGUAUUGUAAGGGUGAGCAUUCGACCGAGUCAAGUCGAAUCAAAUCAAAAAAUUUUGAGUAAGUCGAGUUGACGAAUCCUAUUUUAGCAACCGAACUCAAUUUAAAUUUUUUUUCGAAUCAAAUCAAAUCAAGACGAGUCGAGUUAACGAAUCCUAUUAUUCAUAUUCAAUGUUAUAUUUAUACAGACUGAUUAUUUAACCAAUAGAUGAAGUACAAGAUUAUUUAACUACAUAAACAAUAUAAAAGUUUUACCUUUUGACUUAAUGGGUAAACACUUAUCAAAACAACGUAAUUUUACAUUUCUUUUAUUCGGAUUUUCAGAUAACUCGAAUUGUAUAAUUCAUAUUCGAGUUGAACUGAAAUAUUCAAUUUUUUGUUCAAGUUGAUCCGAAUAACUCGAACUAUUUAAUUCAUAAUUUGAAUUUUUUAUCGAGUUUUUCAAAUCGAAUCGGUUCAGACAUUCGAUGCUCUCUACAAUGGAAAAUCAUAUUUUUUCACCUUUUAAAAUUUAUGAAUUUUUAAAUUAGUACAUGAUAAAUUACAUUUUAACUUUUUAAAAAUGAUAAAUUUUUUAUUUAGUCCAUUAAAAAUUAAAUGAUAACAUGUGCCUUGUUUAUUUAUUUUUAAGAUUUUUAAAUAUAUUUUGAAAGUCUACAUGUUAUUAUAUUUUCAUAGGUAAUGAAUCAAAUAAUAGUUCAUAUUUGUUGAUUGAGCCUUAUCUCGAUUGGUAUGGACAUUGUUGUCAAUGUAAGAGAAUGUAGGUUCGAGUGUGCUAAAUCACAUUAUCCUCUUAUUUAUGAGUUGGGAGGGGCUAUAGGUAGUUCCAAGCAUUAUGUUAAGAAGAGCAGAUAUGAUCAAAACAUAUAAUAAAAUUAUUUAAAAUAAUAAUAAUAAUAGUCCAUAUUUAAAACACAAUAAUCAUAUUAUGUUUAUACUUAUCACAUGGAAAAGUUGGGAUCAGGGGUGGUGUUAGGGAGGCAGAGAGAGCCUUGAUCCCUUUAAAAUGAAAAAUUUCACUUUUAGCCCUUUAAAAUUUAUAACAUUUUAAUUUAGUAAAUGAAAUAUUUGCACUUUAGCUUUGAGAAUAUUAAAAAAAAAACUAUAAAGAUAUAAACUAUUAAAAUAGUGAGAUUGCAUUUUAACUAUCAUAAAAAUAUACAACUUAAUUCCGAUCUCUCUAGAAAAACAUCCUGGCUUCGCUCUUAGUUCGGUCCAACGUGUUUUUUAUUUUAAAAAAACGAUUCUCUUAAAUUUCAAUGACAUUAUUAUUUUUAAUUAUACUCCAUCAAAUUCAAGUUACCUAUAUAAUAAAAAUAAACAUAUUUUUUAAAAUAUAUUCCAUGUGAUAUCUAAAGGAAUAUUUAAUGCAUGAGUUGAAUUUAAACUAAUAAAUUGAUUUAAUUGAUACUAUACUCAUACUUUAAUUUUUAUAAAAUUUAUCCAAAUAAAGGAAAAAAAAGAUGAAAAAGGGAUUUUAUUUAAAAAAAACUAUAAACAUGUGGGUUUCAUUUAAAAUAAUUUUUAAAAGUUAUAUGCCCUGACAUGAAACAAAUUGAAUUAAGAUAAUGACUGGUUAAUGAUCAAUUUGGUGUUGUUAUCUCUAUUAAUGAUAAUAAUUUAAUGUAUUGCAUGCUAUGAUACCAUAUUAUAUUAUAUUUUAGUCAUUUAUAUUUAAAAUGUUACGUUUUAGUUAUUUACGUUAACGUGUUGUAAUAUUUUAAUCACUGAAACAUUAAUUACCGUUUACAGUGUAAAGAUAAGCAGACGUGACACGUUAAAUCACCAUUUCAAAGAAAAAAAUUUAGGUUAAAUUAUACAAUUGAUCCCCAAUUUUUUUUUCGUUUUAAAAACUCAAUUAUAAGAUUUGAAUUAUGCAAUAUAAAUUUUAAACAUUUAAUUUUACUGUUUUAGCGAAAUUCUCAUUUAAUUUUUAUAUCAAUUUUUAAUAAAUAUAUUUCUUACAUAAACUUUUCAUUUACUUUUUAAGUGCACUAUUAUCCUGUUAAUUAAUAAUUCUUUUAUCAAUCGAACCAUAGAUAAAGUGUAUAAGAUUUGUAUUUAAGUUUUUUGGCUUACAUGUGUUAUGAGUUUAAUCUUUGAACAACUCUACAUUUAUCUCAAUUUCGAUCAUAAAGUGAUGGGUGAAAGUACUAGAAUUCAGAUUGUAUUUUACUUCAUCUAUUCAAAAAUAAUGAGUAAUUUAGUUCUUGUACGUUGGAUAAAGAGUAAAUUGAUCAUUUUUAUUAAAAAAUUCAUCAUUUUGUAUGGUUAAAAACUGACCUGGCUGAUAGGAUAACUAGAUAAUGACAUUUUGUGUACCACGUGUAUCACAUUCUGGCGUACAAUGAUUAUUUUAUUAAUAAUAAAAAUGAAUGAAAAUUUUAACAGAAUGAAUGAUCAGUUUACUCUUUGAUUUAAUAUACAAUGAUUAAUUUAACUACUUUUUAAGUAGAGAAACCAAAAUGUUAUCUAACUCUUAAUAUAAGAGCUUCCAUAAUACUUUUAACUAAAACGACACCGAUUGAGUCUUAACUUGACUAGCAUGGGCAUUAUUGCCAAUGCAAGAGAAUGCAGGUUCGAGUAUGCUAGAGCGUAUUAUCCUCUUAUUUAUAGAUUAGGAAGAGGCUAUAAAUAGUUUUAGGCAUCGUGUCAAAAAGAGUAAAUAUAAUUAGAACACAUAAUGAGAUUGUUCAAAACAAAUUGUGAGUAAUAAAAUGGAGUAUAAAAGUUAUAUAUUAUAAAUUAUCGUAAACAGUAAAAUUAUAUUAUUUAUAAGAAGUGCGGUGAAAAUUAUUGGACAGUUUUAAAAAAACUUUUAUUUUAUAAAUGUUAUAUAUUAUAAAUUUACUAAUAAAGUCUUGAUAUAAAUGAGGUUUUGCUAAUAACUUAUCUUACUCGAAGCCUAAAACUUUGAUUCAAUUCAUUUAAAGUUUAAAAUUGAUUUAAAUAUAAAAAAAAAAUCGAAGAUUCAAACCUGGAACUAAAAAUGAUUCGAAUAAAAAUGUAUCUCUUGGUUUAAUAUUGAUUUUUUUUCAUUUACUGUCUCUAUUCACUCGUGUCUAUUAAUUUUUCAACAAAUCUCUUCAUUCAUUUUCUCUCCUCUAUAAAAAGCCAAGUUACGAUAUUUCAAAACAUAUCAUAAAAAAACUAUAAAUAUAAAAAAUUCCUUCUAAAUUCAUUUCUCCUAGUAAUAGAGAAAGGCAAGAUCGUCUUCAAUUGAUCAUUGUUGUUGUGCUGCUACUGUGAUCGUUUGUUGUUGUAUCCUGUGAGACAGACGUCCAACGUUACUCAAAGCAUCUGGAGAGGAUGAAUCUGUCUUAAGGAAACUGUUUAUACAUGCAUCAACAAAAUUCUUCUUCUAAUUUUUAACUUUGUUCGAUUACAAGUAUUUUGUUGCGUUAUUGCUACUGCAUUGUAUUGCAUUAUUAUUGUUACUGACAUAUUAAUACUAUUAUACGACAUCAGAUUUUCUUCUAGGUUUCAAUCAAGGUAAAGCUAGAAAAUUUGUUUGGGGACUAAAAUUAAGUUGUAUAUAUUUUACGAUAAAAAAAAUACAAUUUUACCAUUUUAAUAGCCUAUGUUUUUAUAAAUUUAAAGGAUUAAAUCAAUAUUUUAUCAUUUUGAUUUAAAAUUUAUAAAUUAUAAAAAGGUCUAAAUGGAAUAUUUUUUAUUUUAGGGGGUCGAGGACUCUGCAACUAAUGUUCAAUUUGGUACCUGAUUUUCUCUAAUUUGAUUCUUGAAUUUUUUUUACCCUGGUUAAAUACCUAAGUUUAACUUUGAUGUUCAAUUUGGUAUUUGAGUUUUUUGUCCCAAUUAAGUAAUAUUUUUAUAAAAACAAACACGUUAAACAUUCAUCGAGUCAUAUAAUACCAUUUAAUUUAAGUAUCAAAUUAAAUAUUUAAAUCAAACUCCUGUACCAAAUAAAUAAAUACGAUAUUAAGCAUUAAAUCAGAAUUAUAUGUGAAUUACCAAUCAACCCCAACCGAAAAGAAAGGCCAAAAAUGGGUCAAAAACACAAAGUUUGACCAAGUUUGUCUUUUGUCUCUUUUUUCCAACUAUCUUUAACCUUCUAUGUUGGUGUUUCCGAGGUUUCCUUAUUAACAGACCAAAACCCAUGCAUUGUCAGAAAUGAAUAAAGAAAUAAAGAAAUAAAGACUUACAUUCAAAUCUCUUUUAUGUUAUAUUACUGACCGAUUGACUGACCCAUACCAAUUAAGACCAAAGAAUCGUAUCAAUCAUCACAUGAAAAUAAAUAUUCCUGCUAAUCAUUUCAUUUUCCAAUAUUAAUAUUAAUAUUAAUAUUAAUGAUUGGUGCAUGUAACGAAAGUUGAUUUUUGCCUAACUUUUACUUUUCCUUCCUUUGGUCAUCAUAUCACAGAAAAUAAAUCGCCUGCCAAACCCAAACUUCAUUUCCUACAUGUUUUAUGGAAGCUUGUAUCCUUACUUUAGAUCCUAGAUAUAAUGUAAUUGAGAAGAUGCAUUCUUUUCUUUUUUCUUUUUUCUUUUUCCUUUUUUUUUUAAAUAGAAGGUUCUAAAAUUGUUUUAGGGUGAGUUUGAAUGAGCGGUGUGUUUACUUGAGUUUAGUGUAAAAACAACGAUAGCGGUGAGAUUAGAUACUGUAGCGUGAGACAAAAAGUAAGCUAAACGUACCACACCACCGCCCCAAACUCACCCUUAAUAGGUUGGUGACAGAGUUGUCUAUGGGUCGGGUCACUUGAUCAUGCUUAAAGAUUCGUUUGAAAAAUAGGAGGGUUUAAGUAUAUAGGCUUGAAAUAUGGGUUUGAAUAAAAAAUUAGGCCCAUUUUUUAAACGGGUUGGGUCUCAGGUAAGCUUUUUUUUUUGCCCGACCCAGAUGCAUGGUUUUUUAAAAUUUGUUGGGAAAUAUUUGUUUUAAUGUUUUCAAUGUAUUUGAUAUAUUAUAUUUUUUAAAUUUGUUUUAUAUAAUAAAAUAUAUUUUUUUAAAUUAAUAUAGGUUGAGCCCAAGUUUAACAUCUAUAAUCUGAGUCGAGUGGGAAAAAUUUAGGUCCAUUUUUUGGGCCAGACUGAGCCCGAGCCCAUCAAUUGGGAUUAAAUUUUUGUUAGGGCCCAGACCGGCCUAUGGGCAACUCUAGUUGGUGAAAGGUAAAAGUGCCAUAGAGUUAUUUGUAUUAAAAGUUAAAUUACGUAUAUUUUGUUCUAUUUAUUAAAAGAUGGGUAAAUUAAUUACUGUAUUGUCAAAAAAUUCAUCUAUUUGUAUUGUUAAAAACUAGCAUGGUUGAUGGAAUAAUCAGAUAGUGACACGUGGUAUGCCACAUGUACCUCAUGUUGAUGUACAAUAUCUAAUUUUUAACAAAAUGGUCAAUUUGCUAUUUGAUCUAACGUACAAUGACUAAUUUCUCAAUUUUUUUAAUAGAGAAGACAAAAUGCAAUUCGAUUCUUAAUAUAAGCAUCCAUGAUACUUUUAUGAAUAAUCAAUUUGGCAUUGAUUUUGUCUUUAAGAAGUGCUUCUGAAAAGCAAGGGUGACAAUAGGAGUUGGCAAGGCCUCAGCCGUCCUAAAAUGAGAAAUAUCAUUUUUGAUACUUUAAAAUUUAUGAAAAUUUAAGUUAGUACAUGAUAAAAUUUCACUUUUAACUCCCAAAAUGUUAAAAAUUCCAUUUCAUUGACAUUGAAGAUUUUCAACAUUUAAUAUUUUAAAUAUCUUUGAUAAUCAUUUUAAUUUUUAUUUAAUAUAAAAUUUAAAAAAAAAGGUUGAAUAAGAUAAAUAGACAAGUAGCUACUUAUCUCUUAACGUAAAAAAUAUUAGGUUUAUUUUAUUUCAUUGAAAAAUUAAAAUAAUUUUUGUUUAAAAAAUUUAAAUUAUUAUAUUUAUUUUUCAUCCAAAACUAUCCAAAAUAAUAUUAAUAAUAUUAAAAUUAAAAUAAAUAAUCUUUUAAAAAACAAUAUUUACUUUGAGCAAACAACAUAAUUAUAUUCAAUACUUAUAUUUACUAAUUUAUCAAAUAUUUUUUUUAAUAUAAAUUCAACACUUACAAAGUUUAACAGUAAAAAUUUAGUACUUAAUUUUUCAACACUUAAAAUUUUAAAUUAUCAAACAUACCAUUGAUUUUUUUAAUUAAAAAAAUAAAUUAUUUUUUAAUAAAACUAUAUUUUUUAACUCUCAUAAAAAAUAUACAAUUUAAUUUGAGCUUAUGAAAAAUUUGUUUAUCUUUGCUCUUGUUGAAAAGUUCUGUCCCAAAAAAAAGUGUUGCGAAAAAGGUAUGAUUAAUCUUUAAGUAUUUGACAUUGCAGCUAAAAUUUACACUAAAAAAAUUAAAAUUUUUCUCUUGAAAAAUUGUAAAAAAUUUAAAUUAUGCCCUCCAAAUAAUAAAUGGUUUCAACAUUCAUACAAACGUAGGGUAAGGGGCGGAGCUAAGGUAUUAGACUUGGGCUUUGGCCCUUCUAGGUUAAUGGCACAAUUGCAAUCCUAGUCCCUUUCAAAUAGUAACAAUUCAAUUUAAUAUGUUUUAACUUAUUUUAUUAAAGGGAUAAGUAUCAAAAUUACAUAUGAACUUUGGUUCAAUAUGCAAUAUCAUACAUGAACUUUGAUUUUGAGCAAUUUAUACAUGAAAUAAUAAUUUAAUAUAAUUUUUGCCAAUUACUAACAUAAUUAUUGAUAUAACACCUUGAGUGAUUAUUUUGUAAAUUUUAAUAAUUGGAGUUACCAAAUUUUUUUACUAAUAAUUGAGUGACCACUAGUAUAGUUUACCCAAAAUUUUAUUUAAAUCAUUUUAAUACAAUUUUAAAAAUAUUUUUUUUAGUUUAUAUCUCGAUUUAUACAAUUCAUAGCUUCCUCCUAAGAGUCCCUUUGGAUGAGUGUUUACCCCAGUACGAUACGUUUAGCUUUUAUUAUUAUUAUUCAGAUUAUAGCAUAGCUAAAAUAUCUAAUCUCACUAUCACCACUGUUUUUAUACUAAUUAUAAAUAAACGCACCACCUAUUUAAAAUGUCCUAAAUUUUCAUGUAGAAAAUCAUAAUUCAUUAAUUCAACCAAUUAGGCAUAAAAUCUUGAUGGAUCGGAUCCGACCAUCUGAAUUCAAGUCCAUCCGACUGAUUUUAGGCAUAUCGGCCCAAAAGAUAAUUAGGGCCGGAAGUUAAGAGCCGAAUACGGUCGGCCGUGACAGUGGUGUGGGGACACACGUUGUCAACAAAACUACCAGCAGGCACGGAUAACAAAGACCUUAUCAUCUUCCCCUUUACCCGUCGCCUUCGGCUUCGCGAUCCUUUUGUCUGUUUUCUUUAGUUUUCUCUUUUUGAGGUUCUCAUGGUCUGUACAAGUAUACUGUUAUCUAUAUACAGAUCAAAGACCCAAUCGAUUUGAAGAUCAGCUGCUUCGAAAUUCAGAUAAUUGUUUGUGCAGCUGAGAUUGAUACAGUAAGUUCAUUUGAUUCUCUGAUCUGCUGGUUGAAUUUUGGUGACUUACCGUUUAGAAGUGUUACUUUAUGGUUUUGCAGCUUCAUUACUAUAUAUAUGCAUAUAUUUAUUCUCUCUGUACAUAGAAUUUAAGUUUCUCAGUAAAGCUGAUCAUUCUUUAUACACAAUUUGAAACAUUAUCCAUUGGAAGUUUAUUAAUGAAAAAGAAAACAAGAGAUGGUGGUUACAUUUAAUGGAAGUAAUGGAAACAAAAAAGCUUUUAAUCCUGCUGAAGGGAGGUCGACUCCCUCUUCAGGUCAAGAUUUUGUUUCCCGAAUUUGUAUAGUGCUCGAGUGAUUGAGGCGGCAAGUUCAUUUGAGCCGGAGCUCCUCACCGAGAGGAACUACGCACGACCACCUUUCAAUGAGAUGUGAGCAUCCGCAUUUCGGAGGUUUGAACUCAUGCCCUACCAUCGGCAAAUGUUCACGUUUUCUAUAGUAGGUGAGACGCUCCCGAUUUGUGAGCCACAUUUCUUUAGUGUUUUCUGGCUCUCGUUAAAGUCGAGAGAGAAAAUCUUGAUCUGUGAGAUAUUUCGAAGAUUUCUCUCGAAGGUAUCGGUUGCGAUUCGUGAUUGUUGUUUCAAGGUUCAAACCUACAUCCCCUUGAAAUGCAAUGUGUUAUUAUUAUAGGCAACACUUGUUGGUUGGUAGUGUUUUUAUUUUUGUUAAGACCGAGGUUUCAUUAUUGAAACAUGAGAUCUUGAUAAUAUAUGUAAGUAUAUAUAUAUAUAUACACACAUUAUUUCAUUCACUUGUAACUGUAUUUUGCUUGAAGAUUGUCUUUGUGGCUUGAUUUUUGCUAAAUAUGCACCGAUAAUGUUGAUCCUGGAUGUUGCAAAUAGUUAGAUCUAGGAGAAUCUAGAAACUAAUUAGGACUUAAACCCUUCAAUUGAUUUUUUUCAGUUAUCAUCGCUUAUUUCUUUGCAACAUUUUGAUAUUGGAUGAAAACAGCGAAAUGUUUAUUGUCGAAGUUAACUAAGUCAUUGGUUUAGUGGCAAAAGAUCUCCGUUGGUUGAAACUAGAUCCUGGAAUCGUCACGACAUAUGACCGCCUGUUUUAUUAUUGAUGCUUUGAAAACAAAAUGCUUUAACAUCUGGAGUACUUAAGUGGGGUGCAUUAGGGGGGAAUUAUCGGAGGAGCGACUGUUAAGUUUUGAGACAGUUAUUCGGUAAUAUGCUCUAUGAAUGCAUGGCAAAGAGUUCAAAGGAUAUGCUGUACUGUAUGUGAUUUACUUAAAGUAGUUCUUUAUGAUUCAUCUUUGCCUGCUUGUUUUAGCCUACAAAUGAACUGAAUAUGCCCCGCAGGAAAACAUAUAUGGCUGCCUUUGCAACUGCCGAGGCCUGCGAUUCAAACACAGCGCUUUUGGCAAGCGGUGAACUGCGUGCUCUAGAACCGAUUUUCAAGAUAUACGGGCAACGUCGUUCAUUCUCAGGACCCAUUGUAACACUCAAGGUGUUUGAGGACAAUGUCCUGGUGAGGCAGCUUCUUGAAACCCGGGGUGAAGGAAGAGUUCUAGUCAUAGAUGGUGGGGGAAGCAAAAGGUGUGCUUUGGUCGGAGGAAACUUGGCGCAGUCGGCUCAAAACAUGGGUUGGUCUGGUAUUGUAGUGAACGGGUGCAUUCGAGAUGUGGAUGAGAUUAAUGCAUGCGAUAUCGGCGUCCGAGCAUUGGGAUCUAAUCCCUUGAAAUCAAAUAAAAAGGCAAUUGGUGAAAAGCAUGCCCCGAUCAGCAUUGCCGGAACCUUAAUCCGUGAUGGCGAAUGGUUGUAUGCCGAUAGUGACGGCAUUCUUAUCUCGAAAAUGGAACUAUCUAUCUAAAGCAGUAGUCCUUACCUUUCCGAGCCAAUAAGGGGACCGAUUAAGUUCUCAGUAACCGGAUCGAUAUCAUCCCAAUUGUGAGUUCUUUAGUUGGAUAUUGAUUAUGAACAUGAUGAUAUUUCUUGUUUUUUAACAUUUUUCACUUUGGUACACAAUUAUAGUCAUAUUGUUGAAUGUAGAGACCAUCAAAAAAAAAAUUGUAGAGACAAUGCGGUUUAUUAAGCAAAUAAUCAAGCCAUGAUUUCAAAAUUCUAAAGCAUUUAAAACCUUGGAGGACUAAACUUAUAAAUUUACAAAAAAAUACCCUUGAAAAUUAUCUUCAAAAACACGAAGGGUCAAAUGCUGCAAUUAAAACGUUAUCUUCGAAAACCCUUUCGUUUCUAUUUUGUCGUGAGAUCGAACAAGGAUGGAUUUUUUUAAUAAUAUAUAUAUUUUUACCUUUGUUUUUUUUUAUGGCAGAAAAAUCUUCUAUUUUUUAAAAAUGUGAAAUAUGCAUUAAAUUUGACUUAUUGAUAUAAUUAUUAUUAACAAAAAAAAUCAUAUUUAAAACUUGAUUUAAAAUAGGGACUCAUUUUAAAUAUAAUUAAAAAAGUUUUUUAAAAUUCAAAAAUUAUCUCAGAAUUUAAAGUUUUUAUAUAUGUAAUAUGCUCCCGUAACAUGAAAAUGAAGUAUAUAGUAAUAUUUGAUUCUAUAAUAUAGAUAUUAAAAAAAAGUUAACUUGUUUAUAUAUAAAAUUUUAAUAAAUAAAAAAUAUAUAAAAAUAUUAAAUAUUAAAUUAUAAAUAAUAUAAAUAUUUUAAAAAAAUAAUAAGGUUGAGCUUAAAAUAGGAUUAGGUAACUAUUUACAAGUAUGGAAAAUUUGAAUAGAAUUUUAAACCCAUUUUCAGACCAAAUUAGAUUUAGGCAAGCAGAAAGUGUAAUUAAUAUAAUGCUUAAACUAAUGUUAUCUAAACUUUACCGGAUUGGCUGGUCGUAUAGGUUAGAUUAGAAUUGGCCAGGAUAGUAAUUUGUAAAAAGAUUUUUGGAUUGAUUGAGUCGAGAACUGGUUGGAUCAACUCAACUAAACUAAAAAAUCGAAAGAACCAAUCAAAAUUUAAUAUUUUCUUAAAUUUCUAUUAAAUUUUUUUAAUAAUUUAGUUUAAUCAAAUCGUCUAGACGGUUGGAUGAGAAAUCAGUGAUCUAAUUAAUUCGACUAUUGAUUCAAUAUUAAAAAACUUGACUUGAAUUCGGCACAAAAUUAACUUAACCAAACUAAUGAACACCUUUUGCUUAAACUGGGCCGUGCGAGUCACCGACAUGUAAACAGUUGUAAUUAUAAUGGAAACGUGGCUCACUCGUUUGUUCAGUAGUAUCAUAUAUAAAUACCCAAAAGGAAAAACAGAUUAUAAAAAUAAAAAAGUAAAUUGGAGAGACUUAAAAGAGUGCCGAAGCCGAAACCGUCGACUGGUAAAAUUAAAGAGAAAACAAGAAAAGGGAUAACAAUGGCGUCAUCGUCGAGCAGCGGCCUCACCUUCAAGCUUCAUCCGUUGGUAAUCGUAAACAUAUCGGAUCACUACACUCGUGUCAAGUCUCAGUUGAACCUUCCUCCGUCACUCACAUCCACUUCUUCCGCCGCCACCUCAAAUAAUAACAAUAACAACAGCAACGGUGGCGAAAACAAUCAACAGAAACCGCCUAGAGUCUACGGUUGCGUCAUAGGUGUCCAAAGAGGUCGAACCGUCGAGAUCUUCAAUAGCUUCGAGCUUAUUUACGAUCCUUCUACCCGUUCCCUCGACCGGUCCUUCCUCGAGAAGAAACAAGAGCUUUGUAUAAUUCUAUUCUAUUCUAUUGGGUCAUUUAUUUAUUUAUUUUGGUUAUGGAUUUAACAAUGUGUUUAAAUUAUUAUAUUUUUCCAGAUAAGAAGGUUUUCCCUCACUUUUAUGUUCUUGGAUGGUACUCUACCGGUAGCAAUGCUCAGGAAUCUGAUAUGCAUUUCCAUAAAGCCGUAUGUUUUCUCAGCCAUUUUCCUCGGUUGUUAAAUUUAAUUAAAUGACUUUGAUUUUAAAUUUCAUCAGCAAGCAUUGAUAGAACAUAGUGAUUAUCCAGUAUUUGCAAUUACUUUAUAAUGAUUUUUUUUUUAAAUUCUCAUAUGUAAACUAUUUGUGAUGGUGAUCUUGUUGAAUCUUCUUCUUUAUGUAAUGCAUUUCAACACUAAUGAUUUUCUGUUACAGUUGAUGGAUAUUAAUGAAAGCCCUCUCUAUGUGCUUCUAAAUCCUGCAAUCAAUCCUGCUCAAAAGGAUCUCCCCGUCACAAUUUAUGAAAGUGGUAUGUAUCCUUUCUUAAUUUUUGAAAGAUUUGUUGAGUUUUGUUGAUCUGGUCUCCAUCUAAUUGGUUCCUUCAUUAUUGUUUUUGUGCCCUAUAUUUGCUAAUUUGAUUCAUUUAUGUUAACUUCCCAAACCCAAAAAAUAAAUCCUUAUCUUGGAGUUAUCAAUUCAUGCUCUUGACUAUAAAUUAUUUCUGACUAAUUGUGGAAAUCAUACUUAUCUCCUAUUGAAGGAAGUCCAUGUACUUGAUGUGUAUUAGACUAAAUUUCAUCUUGAUGAGGAUACACAAUGUCUUUCUCUAGUUUAUUGUAAUUUUGAUGAACUUUAUUUUUCCGGUUAUUCUUUGGCAAUAACAAUUACUAUUCUUCUUGUUCAUCAUCUCAACAUAAAAGAGCUGCACGUCAUAGAUGGGGUUCCACAGCUUAUUUUUGUCCGUUCAAGCUACACAAUUGAGGUUCAUACUUGUCUUUCUUACCUACCUGGUUUUCUUUUAAUUUUCACCAAUUGGGAUUUGCUGAGAUUGCCUUUUUUUUUCUUUUCUUUUUCUUUUUUUUUGGGGGGGGGGGGUUUAUAGACAGUUGAAGCAGAAAGGAUCUCUGUGGAUCAUGUUGCCCAUCUAAAGCCAUCUGGAGGUUCAGCAGCAACUCAAUGUAAGCUUGCUUGCUUGUAGCAUUUCCUGUCAAAACUGAUAUUCGUAUUUGAUCGAAGCCCCUUUUUUUUGUAUUUUAUGAUUAUCAGGGAAUUCUUUAUGUUUGUAUGUUUUUCCUGCAUCCAGUGGCUGCUCAGCUUACCGGUAUACAUAGCGCCAUCAAGAUGUUGAAUAGCAGAAUCAGGGUGGUUCAUCAGUAUCUUGUUGGAAUGCAAAAAGGUAUUUGCCCAUUCCUUGUAAAUGUAGUACAAAUUAAAUUUAUUUGGAAUUAUGUUAACAUUUGAAAGGUUGUUUUGACAUUUCUUUAAGAAAAGAAGCAUAUAUUUGUAGAGGUAUAUGAAAGCUCUAGACAUAGAAAAUACUUCAAAAUAAGAGUAUAACUUUUCAUUUUGUUAUGAAGUUUUGAAGACUAGAUUUGGACUUGUCCUGCAUUUUUUUAAAGAUAUAGACGUCAUCUUUGAUUAUCUUUAUGAUUAUGACCAGUCAUUUCUGAUUUCCCGUUGAUGUUGGAUAAAUUACUUCUAGAGGAUAAGCUAUGACUAAGUUUCAUUGGUAUUUGGGCUAUUGUGGAUCAGGCAUCCUGAGUUAAUGGUAAUAGAAAUUGUUCCCUGUUUCAGGUGAUAUUCCUUGCGAAAGUUCACUGUUAAGGCAAGUAUCAAGCCUCCUCCGAAGGUUACCUGCAAUUGAAUCAGAAAAAUUUCAAGAUGACUUGCUAAUGGUGAGCCUCUUUUAGACAAAAGGAAAAAUCUUUUCGAGCUAGUAAAGUGCCGCUACCUUUACUAACAAGGUAGAGUUGUUUUCUACCUAUUGUUGUGGGGGAUGUCUUGAUUCUUCUAGCCAAUUUGUCAUUAUCACCUUCAAAGUGUGCCAUUCUAAAAUGGAUCACCAUCCCCUCAAGAUGUUAAUCCCCAAACUGAAGUACCAGUUAUGCGAAGAAUUGGAAGACCAAUUUAUAUCUUGAAAGCCUGUUAGACUUUCAGUCAUAUUAUGGUGGUGGGAUCUACUCAAAACUGGUGCUUUUGAAAAUAAACAUUUUUUUUAAUGUUAGGGCUAGUUUCACUUUGCUUUUGAAAACUGCGGUUUUUAUCCUUUGAUCACUAACAAUUUUUUUUUUUCUGUCAGGAAUAUAAGGACACAUUAUUGAUUACUUAUCUUGCUAUGUUCACUAACUGUUCAAGGUAAUAUUAUGUGUACUUUUAUGAAGAAACAUGAUAUUUUCCAUAUGCUUUUGGUGAAAGAUGGAAGUGAUGGGAUGUUCUAUUCUACUAUUUUGCAGCACAAUGAACGAGCUGGUCGACAAAUUCAACACCGCAUACGAUAGGCACAGUCGAAGGGGUGGCCGGACUGCUUUCAUCUGAGUUUUGGUAAACCUGAUGACUCUUUUUGUGCAUAGCACCUAGGUUCCUUGCGAGAUAAAAAAAAUAGUUAUGAGAAUUAGAUGCUUCUCACUUUUGUUUGUUAUUAUUCAUUUCUAGUUUUUGGAUUUUUUGAUUGGAGAGAUUGGUGAUGAUGGCGUUUCUGUUGGCAGUGUUUUUAAACUCAAUUUGAUAACGGAAGAAAGUGAUAUGAUUUAACCGGUCAAUUGGAUAGCUCGUGUUGGUUUGGAAUUUAGUUAAUUUGGAUUUUAAAAUUUUCGAAUCAUGGAACCAAUGUAUCUUCUGUUAGUUUUACUCAAUGAUGUUUAAGUCGGGCUGGAUUGGUAUGUUGGACUGGAAAUUAGUUGAGCUACUUGUCUGAAGAAAGUUAUUAGAUCGAAGAAAGUUAUUAGAUCGGUUGAUUUAAAAAGUACGGAUCGGUUGAACUGUGUAAAAAUUUGAUUGAAUUAGAUUUUUAUUUUUCUCAAAGAUUUAUUUAAUUAAACUAAAAGGAUCAAUUGAAUCGGUUGGACUAGUAAACUGAUGGCCUGAUCAGUUUAGUCAUCGGUCCAAUUUAAUUUUUUAAUUCUUAAAAUAAUUUUUGAGGUUCGUAAUUAUGAAUCUCAAUAAUAUCGUCUUUUGGAUUAGUUUGAGUUACUUUUAUGUUUAAGUUAUUUUAAGUUUAGAUAAAUUUGAAUUGGAUUUAUUAAUGGGGUUUAUUUAUACAUUUAUGAUUAUGAGUUUGGAUUAUUAUAAAAUCUGAAAAUGAAGGACACAAUGAACAGAGUGGGCGGGCCUGGUCCUGUCACUGCCAGGUCUUACUUCAUGGUUUACUUGCUGAGCACGCCCUCAUCAACCUAAUUAUCUUGGCAUGUCCCUAUAACCCCCCCUAUCUUCCUACCUACAUGUUUCCUUUUCCUUCAUAUUUUGGUGCGAAAUGCGAUGCUACUAUUUUAUAUUUACCUAAAUAUCCUAUAUGAACCCUACUUUAAAUCUUCAAAUAAUUCACCCGAAAAAAAAUAAAAACUCAAAUACGAAAUAAUUCAGAAUAUUUUAAAAAAUUAACAAAUAUUGAUAUGAUAAUGGUUUUGUUUUUGUUUUAUAUUUUUAUUAUAAAAUAUUGCUCUAACGAGGCUUGAAAAAAAAUAAUGUUUUAAAGUUUCAACUUAACCUUUUUAAUAAAAAUUUAUUUGGUUUUUAUAUAAUUUUUUUUAUAAAUAUAUAUUUAAUAUAUUGUUUUACAUGUGUAUUAUAUACUACUAAACUCUUUCAAUUGUAAAAGUAGUAUACAAGUUCUUGUACUUUAAGUUAGAUUAUAUUUUGUCCUUUCUAUUAAAAAAUAAGUAAAUUAAUCUUUAUAUGUUAGAUCAAAAAAUAAAUUGGUUUUUCUAUUAAAAAUUAUAUCUAUUUUUAUUGUUAAAAAUCAGUCUUUGUAUGUUAAGAUAGAGUACAUGUGGCACAUUUUGUAAUUACACUAGUUUUUAGCAAUAGAAAUAGAUAAAAUUUUAAAUAAAAAUAAUUAAUUUAUUUUUUAAUUUAACAGAUAAAGACUAAUUUAUUUAUUUUUUUAAAUAAAAAAAUAAAAUACUACUCUUAAAACAGAAGCUUACAUAAUACUUUUGCCUUCUCCCAAUUAUUAUUAGCUCUACUACAAACAUAUCCGAAGAUCAUAAUAAAAUUCGUGCUUAGACUUAAAUUUAAAACAGAAUCUAUAUAUAAAUAUCGAGACUUGAGUUUGAGACACCAACAUUCUCAUAAUAUCAAACUUUGACAUUUUAACCAGGACUAUUCUUAAUUUAUUCUUAAAUUGUGGGUAUUUUUUUAAUAAAGAAAAAUUUAUAUGUAUAUGAAAAAAUAUAUAUAUAUUAUAUAAAAAGGUGAGGAAGAUACCCUAUCACUAAAUCCUUACAAAAUUAAAACUAUAUUUAAGAAAGAUGGAACUUUUCACAGAAGAAUAUCCUCAUGACCUCAUCGCAUCUCAUGCAAAAAAAACCCAUCAUUUCCAUCUCUAUAUUAUAUUUUUUCAUCUUACUUUACCAAUACUUGCAAUGAUUAUUAUCAACUAAAAGAAGUAAAAAAAUGAAAAUAAACAACAAUCUAAACAUAUAAAAGAACAGCUUAAGCUUUUCUCCAUCAUUGACUUAAAUAAUGCUUAGUUCAUCAAUAGAAAAAUUUCCCAACAUCAUUGCGAAGGAGUGAGUUGAUUUGCACAUUCAGCCUCCUGAGUUUGAGUGUACUUACAUAUUCUUUUAUUUAAAAAUUUUAAAAGUUUAUAUAUAAAAUAAAUAUUAUAUAAAUAAAAGAAAUAAAUUGACUCGUUUAAAUAUGUGUGGCUAUUAUUUUCAGAAUUGAACUGGAAGUUGAUUAAAAUAUCGGUUUAGAAUAAAAAUUGAUUCAUUUAAAUGUAUGUAGCUAUUAUUUUUAAAAUUAGACUGAAAAUUAUUUAGAUGUAUCAAUUUAGAAUAAAAGGUUGACCCAUUUACCAUGCGUAGCCGCUAUUUUCAGAACUGAAUUGAAAACCUAUGGGUUAACUUGUUUAGGUGUGUGUGGCCACUAUUUUCAAAAUUGAAGAAAAACAGUCGAACUCAUUUUUUAUUUUUCAUUUUUUUAUAAGUUUUUAAAUGGUUUAUUUAAUUAAAUCAACUAAAUCAAAAAUCGGAUUCAACAAAAAACACCGAGGAUCAUAAGGGCGAGCUAAGCAAAGGAGAGGUUACGUCUAAAGAGGGAAUGGAUAGAUAGAUGGAUGGAACAGAGUCUGUCAUGCGGCCAUGCCCAUGCGUGCAGUGCAACGAAACCCACACCCCACCACCCCCCACCCCCACCACCCCUCGUUUUAGCUCUGUGCAACAACGCCGCCUCAACACGCAAAACCUUAACUGUGCGCACACGUUCUGAUACAUAUAUAUAAUAAUAUUUAGGGCGUCGUCACACUCUUGUUACCAUCUUAUCACUGUCAGCUACCUAAACCCACUCUCCCGGAUACCCUUAUGUUCCAACAUUUGUAUUAUUUACUAUUUCAAAUCUAAUCGAGUCGAAUCAUAAACCAAAAAUAUAUAUAUAUUUCUUAGAAAUACAAAAUCUCAAAUAUUACUUAAAAAAGCAUCAAAUUUUUUUAUCAUUUGAUCUAAUAAAUAAAUUUUAUAUGUCAACUCAAAAUAUUUUUAUAUUUUAUUAAUAAUUUGAAUAUAAAUAUAAUUAUUAAUUAUAUUUUAUUAUAUUAUAUUUAAUCUUUCAAUCAAUUUAAUUUUAGGAUUUUAUUUGAUUCUCUCUAAUUUUGGAAAAAUCGAACCUAUUUCAUUUAAGCUUUUCAUAAUAUAUAUGUUUUGAGAGAGUACACAAUCAACUAGACAAUAAUACAUUAUCAAAAAAAUUUAAAAAUUUCAAAAUGACUUCAUCAAUAUUAUUUUGUUAGUAAGUAUCUGAUUAUCUCCAACAUCAAAUAUAAACCAGCUUUCCAACAGAAGCAUAGAACCGUAGGAUGACAAAAAUUCAUGAAAUCAGAUAAAGGGAAUUGGAUGAAAAACGAAUAAAACAACAAAGGCUACUCAACAAAUGGAUAUAUUGAGAGCAGUGAUUGAUUGUUUAACAAAUGUUUAACAUACGAGAGUGGUCCAAAAUGGAGCUCCACAGGACACGAGAGAUCCCUAGCUAGAAUGAGGGGUAUUUGAAACUUGCAUGGGCAUGAAGGAGGCAAAGUCCCAGCAUAAAAUGCUCUAUUUUGUGAACUUUUAUGGUUUUGUUGAGGGGACAUAAGGCUGAAAUUAAGGUAACCAUGCAAUCUCAAACACAACAAACAAGCAUAUCCCCCCUUACUUAAUUCCACUAAACAAAUAACCCCCUUGAAAACCUACCCAUCAAAAGGAAUUUUGGGGAACAAAAUACUAAGGUCUAUCACUCUUUCCUAUACUUUAAUCACAAAGAAGAAAAGACAGCAUCAAAUAUUUAAAAAUUAAAAAAAAAAGAGAGAGCACAAAUAAAAAGAGACAAACAAUCCCAUAUGAUGGUUCAAAAGUUUGAAACUUUUUUCUUCUUUCUCUCAAUGGAAUAAAUUAAGGAAUUUUUGGCAAACAUUAGUGGAUUUAAAGAAAGAUCCCUUUUGGUUACACAAUUUAAUUAAAAAGCAAUAAGAUUUAAUGCUAUAUAAAGACGAAAAAAAGGGGGGAAAAACCCAUUAUGUCAAUGUAUUUCGUUACCCGAUCCGACCCGACCUGAGUUUUUGAAGAUGGAGGAACACCAUGGCCUUAGCUUCCCUUGAAAGAGAUGUUUCUUGCAAAAGAAUUUUUCAUGCAACGUAUAUGCUAUAGCCAUGCAUGCAUAGUGAGGGUUUUGGGAUUUGAUUUUAACGUCACUGUAACAGGAACUGGGCUAAAUGUAUAUAGCUAGCGCCAUGAAGAUACAGAGAAAAGGGGACGAUUUUGCCAACCUAGGAAAAAACAAUUGUUGACAAUUUGAAGUUGAUAACCCUCAGAAGGAUAAUGGAGUCUAAGAAGAAGCUUAGCUUGUGAAUGUGCAAAUGGACUCAAUGGAACAUUGAUAAACCCUGAGCUUCUAAGGAUCACUUCCCAUGUCUCCAACCUCUCGUGCCGUUCUCUUCGAUUCUCGCCUUCUGCCGCCACUAUAUCGACUAUUUCCCGGCCGAACCAUAUUUGUUCCACCGCCAGUCUUUCUCGGCUAUUAGGCGGCAACGUUGCUUCUAAAGAAUCAAAGAUGGCGGUGUAAUAGUCCAAGGCCUCAACGAACCUUUGUAAGAAGAGUGGGUGGUUGUGGUUAGCUUCCCUUUCGGCGACGGUCACCACGGUGGGGUUUAAGGCCUUGAUGUGGUGGAGGAAGUGACGGAUAUCACGAGAAUCGUCUUUUAACAACCGGUGGAGAUACAACAUGCAGUUAACAGCUAGUGCCUCGUCGGGUAGGAUCGUGACCAUGGAAGUAAAAUUAGUAGCUAUCCAUGUUGGAUCUUCAUUAAGGACUAAAAGCGGGUGGAACUCGAACCUGAGACCUAAUGAUUGUGCGAAUUUGAAAAGACGGUCGCCGGUUCGGUGAAGAAUGUUUAGAUCGUGUCCGGUUCCGGUAAUUCGAAGCUUCGGCGGUGGGUGGUGAGUGUUGGCUGAUCGUUCCGCUAACGCUUGCAUCAACGGCGGCCAUUGUACACCGUGCAUGAUGUCGAAAUCAAUAAUAUGUAUACAUUGUUGCCCUACUUGUAUAGCUUCAAGAAUGGCUUGAUUAGCUGUUAAAUGAGCAAAUCUAAUGAAUGGAGUUAUUUGAUUCAAAGAAAGAUAACAUGACUGUAACGACGGAUCAAUGUCGAAAUUCACCGGACCGGCGGUACUCGUUAUCGGAAAGUUAAUAUCAUUCAUCAUCCUCAUCAAGCUCGAACCUGCAAGGCCAUGGUGGUGAUGGUGGUGGUGAAGACGAUUGAUUCGAAGAGAAAGCGCUUUAACAAACUGGUGAACGAGCCGCUCGAUGGAGUCGCCGGAAGGCGAUGACGAAGAGGAUAAAAUAGACAAAAGGCGAAUGGCAGCCGGGAAAUCAGAUUGAGAAACAAGCUCCGCGCAACUGAUGAGUAAUUGACGCAUCUUUAACGGUGGCUGCCGCCGCUGCUGACGGUGUUGGCUGUGUAGAUCUGAAGCUACGAAUAAAAAUAAACCCUCUUCUUCUUCUUGAUCAAUGAAUGGUGAAAUCAAUAAACUCAACAUAGGUGUGUCAAAUCAGAAAUGAACACAAAGCUUGAAAACCGAUAUAUAUACAUACGUAUAUAAGCAAAAGCUAUAGCAGAUGCUAUAUAUAUAAAUAGCGAUAUGAUAUAAUGCUGAGAUAGGGGAUAUAUAAGGACAAAGGAGUAAGGAAGUGGGGUCUGAAGAAGCUUAAAAUUGUGGUGGUUAUGGUUUAGGGUUUUUUAACGUAAAGUUAGUGAUGAUGGUGAUACAGAGAGAGUUCGUAUGAUGGAACAUUAUCUGCCAAACAACAGGGAACCAAACUGAUACUGGUAGUAGUCACUAAUGCAAAAUAGUAGGCCUAGUGGUGUGUUCAAAUCCCCCCCCCCCAAACAAUAUAAAUAAUAUAUGAGAUUAAUUAUGGGGGCUAAUUAAUGUUAGUAUUUCUUAAUUUGGAGUGUUUUUAGGGUUUGAAUAUUAUAAUUUUUGUUUAUUAUUUUGGGAGUUUUAAAGUAUUUGAUUUGAUUAUAGAAAGUCAAUCAUUGAAAAAUGAUAUGAAUCUUAAAUGAUUUGAAUCUGAAAAUAACUUGAAUAUGCGGUGAUUUAAACUUAAAAUGAUUUGAAUAAGUAUUUUGAAAUGAUUCAAGUUUAAAGUGAUUCAAAACCUUUUAAUGAAUUGACCAUAAAACCUUGAAUAACUUGAACCGGCUCGAACUAAAAUGACAUGAAAAAAUUUAAGCCUGAAUUGACCUUGAUCAUUUCAAAUUUAAACCAAACCUAACCUAGUUUUACCAUAAAAGUUAAUAGCUCGAACCCAUCCAACUCAACGAUCUAAAUUUGAAUGAUUUGAAAUUGAAAUAAUCUAAACCCUAGAUGACCAAAACUCGAAAUGAUUCAAACAGGUAACUUGAAUUGACUAGAACUCAAAAUGUUUUGAAACUUGUAAUAAACUUACCUAAAAGGCUCGAGCCUCGAACUAGAAUGACUCAAACUAAAGUUACCCUAAAAUUUUAAACUCGAACUUAACCCAAUCAAUUCGUAUUUAAACUCGACCUAAUUCAAAUUUACCAUAAAAAUCAACAACCUGAACCUAAAUUUACAACUUGAACUCAAAACAAUUUGAAAUUUGAAAUGAUCCAAACUUGAAAUCGAAAUGAUAUAAACAAUAAACUUGAAAUGAUUUGAACCUAAAUUGAUGAAAACCUAAAAUAAUUCAAAACCCAUAAUGAGUUUAUCCAAAAAAUUCAUUCCUUCUCAAAUGACACAAACUCAAAUUAACCCAAAUUUAAAUCAUCUGAAUAACUCAAACCAAAAUGAUCCCUCGAAAUUGGUCCAACCCAAAUCUAAUUCCACCCAUACAAGUCUAGUCUCCUUGUCAUCAAACUAAAAGCUUGUUGGUUGUCAAUAAAUGAGUGGAAAAUCAAUCUCAACAACAUUGAUUCAUGGUUGUAUUGCUCAGGUAAGAAAUUGGUUUGUACUUUGAUACUAUACUAGGCGUUACUAAUGCAUGGCAAAUGACUCUCGCAUGUUCCACCACUAUACAUUUAGUACUAUAGACUAGAGGAAUUAAUGCUCACAAGUAGAGCCGUACGUCUUUAAUGCCUAAUCAGGAAACGCUACAUCUACAAACAAAACAAUCAACCCUAAACGGUGUUCAUUAAUUGAAAUGGUGUGAUGGAUUAAGUUGACAUGAUGAUAUUAUACAUAUGUGAUAAUAUAUUUACUAUAUAAAAUUUAAGAAACAACAGAAUUUAACGAUUUCCAUUUGGAUUAGGAUCAAAGUUUUGAAAUUUGAAAUGUAUAAAUACUAAAGUUGCAACUUACGCACAAUUAGCCCCACAACCCAAUUUAAACUUAGUUACUUUUCUUUAAUUCGAUCAUUUUAGUUUUUAUAUUUUUUGAAUUUUAAAAACCCCAAUUCAAAUUAUAGCCAUUAAAUCUAUUAACUGAAACAACGUACCUCUUUUGUGAGUACUAUAUAGAAUUAGGAAGUUGAUAUGAUAUUAUAUGUAUGUGAUGGUAUGUAUCUUGCAUAAGAUUUAAGAAACAACAAAAUUUAAUAGUUAUUAUCAGGGUUAAGACUAAAAUUAUGAAAUUCAAAAAAUAUAAAAACUAAAAGAGAUUAAACUACAGAAACUAAACUCAUAACAAACAUAUAAUACAAAAAUAAUGUAAUAAUUUUAGGUAAAAGUACCAUGGAGACUCCUAUACUAAGAGUCAGAUUGCAUUUCGCCCCCUCUACUAAAAAACUGGAUAAAUUAGUCCUUAUACAUUAGAUCAAAGAGCAAAUUGGUUUUGUUAAAAAUUCCAUCCAUUUGUAAUGUUAAAAAUUGAUGUGGUUGACGGAAUAACCAGACAGUGACACUUGAUGUGCCAUGUAUAUCACAUUUUGACCUAUAGUGACUAAUUUUUAAUAGUAAAAAUAGAUGAAAUUUUUAACGAAAAAUAGUAAAAUAAAAAGAAAAUAAUAUUUGACUCUUUAUAUAAAAACUUUCAUAAUACUUUUACCAUAAUUAUAUAUAAUUAAUCAACUAAUUUGUGCUUUAAAAAUAAAAAUGUAAGAAGAGAGUACGAGAAUGUUUUUACACAUAGAUAGAACAAGAGACUGUAAAGAGAGCGAGAGGGCGUAUAUAUAUAUAUGUAUAGGCAGAGAGAGAAAGCAGAUGGAAAAAGAAAUAAAAUGGAAAAGACAAAGAAAAGGGUAAAAGAGAAGGAUAUUUUGAUCCCUCUUUGUUCUUUCUUCUUUCUCUCUCUCACUCACACUGUCUGCUAUAAUAAAUUCAAGACACGCAAAGCCUUAAAUGCGGAAUUACAUUACAUAUGCGGCACUGCCAUUUUAACGCUGACACCUGUUUUUGCCUUACUUGUCCGCUUCUUGGAUUCGCUCACCUCACCCCCACCCCCACCCCCCUCCACCAACCCCAACCCCCUCUCAUGUAUGCUUCUUGGUCUCUUUCAAGCUCUCCUUCGCCAAGGAUGAAAAUGAAUCAUCAUAUCUACAUUCUACAAUGGAAAAUUGGGUUUUCCUUCUUUUCUUUAAAAAAAAAAAAGAGGAGUUGACAUUUAACAACAGUGUAUAUGUUAAUGAUGCAUGCAAUGGGCAAUGGGCAAUGGCUGUAUUUUGUUUUGCUUGAAACACAGUCACUUACUUGCAGGGGAAGGGUAUCAAACGAUGGCCAUUUUGGUGUCAGCAUUCAGUAUAAAACAGUAUUCAGAGAAAUUGGUAAUUAGCACAAGCAACCCCUCUCUCCUCAUUGUGCUUCAAAAGGGGUGGUGAGGGGGGUUCCACUCUUUUUGUCCCCAUUGGCAUUAGGUUGUGACCACGCGCACGUGCGUGUAAAAUGGCUGCUUUAUUUCCAUUUUUAUGAAGCAGCUGGGGUACAGUUACAGUAAGCAGCAUUAGAAUUUUGGGUAGCGUAUAGCAUCUUCACAUGCAAAUGAACGAGAGAGAGAGGGGCAUAGAUAGCAAUAAGUGAAAGGUAAAAGAGUGUUUGUGUAAGUCUAAUGGCCAAAAAGGCAAAUCCCAGAGACUACUUUAAUGUUGAAACCAUGCAUCCAUUUCCAUGGAACAUCACCUUUCCUAUUUAUUAUUAUACCCUCCCUCUCUCCCUCUCUCUCUCUCUCUCACACACACACACUCUCUCUCUCUUUUUUAAUGUAUAUUCCUUUUGAUAUCUGGAUUUGAUGUCACACUAAAAAGAAUUAUCAUGUUUUAGAAGAUAGGCAAAUUGUUGUUUAUUAAAAGCAUAUUAACUAAUUUAAUGAUUAAUGGGUUAAGUAAUAAAUAAGUGUUUAAAAUCAUGGAAGAUUAGAAAUGUAAUUUCACUAUUUUAAUAGUUUAUAUCUUUAUAAUUUUUAAAGGAUUAAAUUAAAUUUUUAUCAUUUUUAAAGGAUCAUAGUAUAAUUUUACUAUUACUAAUUUAAAAUUUUAUAAAUUGUAAAUGAGCUUAAAUGGAAAUUUUCCAUUUUAUGGGGCUGAGGCUUUGCCGGCCCCUUUUACUUUGCCACUGUUAAAAAUAAUAAGUAGGUAAGAGCUACUUAUUACUUAAUGAAGAAUACCUUAAGUUGAUUUAUUUUAUUUAUUUAUUUAUUUUCAAUACUAUCUUAUUAAUUAUAUGAUCAUUUAAAUUGCUUAUUUUAUUUAAGAUAUUAAAUUCGAAUUUCACAUUGUUCUCGAUUUAGUAUUUAUUUUUUAGAUUUAUAAUAUUUAUAUUUAUUAAGAGUAUACUUUAUUCCAAAUUUUUAAUAUGUAUAAAAUGGAAGGAUACAAAUGUAAUUUUAAAAUUAUCAAAUAGUUUAAUUAUAUUCUAUGCUUAAUUUUAAGUAACAUACUAAACAUAUUUCAUAAUUCAAAUUCAACACUUAAUCUUUUAACACUUAAUUUUUCAGUACUUAAUAUUCAAUUUACCAAACAACACUUAAGUUUCAAGUUUGAAUUUUAUAGAUAAAAAAAAAUGUUGGAAGAGCUUGCCGAUAAAUCUCUAAGAGUUAAAUUACAUUUUGCCCUCUCUACUCAAAAAAUAGGUAAAUUAAUCCACAUACAUUAGAUCAAAAAGUAAAAUAGUUAUUCUUGUUAAAAAUUUGAUUCAUUUCUACUGUUAGAAACUAAAACAACUGACGAAAUAAUGCCAUACGUGUACUUAAUGUUGAUGUACAAUGAUCGAUUUUUAACAGUAGCAAUAGAUGAAAUUUUUAACAGAAGGACCAAUUUUCUCUUUGGUUUAACGUAUAAAGACUAAUUUACCUCUUUUAAGUAAAGGGGAUAAAAUACAAUCUCACUCUUGAUAUAGGAACCUCCAUAUUACUUUUAUCCACAGUAGAAUUAUUUUAGUUCAAUUUUCAUAUUGUUUUAGAGUAAAUUCUAGCCUUCGAAGCUAUUUUUUUAUUAAAUUGCGAAUGGUGAAAAUUUAAAUACUAAAUUUAAAUUAUAAAAUCUAUUUGGUAUAUUUUUUAAAUUUAAGUGUGGAAUUUAAUUAAAAUGGUUAAUAAAUGUAAAUUUUUAAAAUUUUAAAGGUAAAGCGUUUAAAGGAUAAUAUUAAUAGAAAUAAAAAUAAAAUAAGAAAGAAUUAAAAAAUUUUGUUACCUUAAGUGAUAAAUAACUUCUUAUUUAUUUAUCAUUUUCCACGCUUUUUCUUUGAAAAAAUAUCUAUUAUUUUAAUUUUUUAUUUUUAAAUUAUCAAAGGUAGUUAAAAAUUAAUCCCCUGAAAAUAGGGAUAAAUAUCAAAUUUAUGCAUGAACUUUAGUUUAAUUUGCAAUUUAAUACAUGAAUUUUCAUUUAGUGUAGCUAUACACAGGAAACUUAAAUUAUGGUUCAUAUCUAUACAUAAAAUAUUGAUUUUGAUUCAACUGUGAACAUUUAAAGAAAUGAAUACAUACAUUUAUUUUCAUAUUUGAUUAAUAUAAUCGUUUGUGUAUGCAACACGCCAAUCUAAAAUUGUGCUAAUUUGAUAAUGUUACUAGUGAUUUGUAAAAAUCGAAUCAAAUCAAAAUUUCAUGUAUGAAAUCGCACAAAAUCAAAGUUUAUAUAUGAUAUUGUACAUUAAAUCAAAAUUAAUGUAUAAUUUUAAUAUUUACCCUCAAAUUAUUAUCAAAACAAUAACUUAUUUACAAGUUUUAUUUUUAUAGAUUCACGGGUCUUGUAAGGAUCUUUUUCCCCUAUAAUUUAAGGACUAUGGCAAGACAGGUAUGAUACUAUGUUUAUUUAUUAAUUAAAGAAAUGAAAAAAGUAAAUUUAUUGAUUAUUUUAUUUUAUUUUUAAAUAAUAGACUUAAAAAAAUUGAUCAAAGGUAAAAAAUAAUUUAUUUUUUUAUUUUGCCAUCAAAUGAUGUAUAAAUUUUUUUUUGAAAAUAAUUCAUUUGGUUUUAUUAAUGGAGGUAUGAGAAUAAGUGUCCAUUAAAUACAUCUUAAAUAACUAAUAAAAAUGGUAAUCACAAAAAAAGAUAACUUUCAAAAGGAACUAAAAGAAAAAAUAAAAUUCUUCUAGAGAACCCUCUUCCGAGUUACCAAGAGACCAAACGAUAAUCCAUCAAUAGAGGGCGAGUUAAGAGAGGAAAUUAAGGUUAUCACAAUCCAAAGAAUAAGGCCUAGAUAUACAGACAUGAUAGCUCUAUGAAAUGGCGGUCUAAUGCUACGAGAUCAAUGACCCCUAAAGACGCAUCUUCAACCCAACAGAUGGUCCUCCUUGCUUUUUAAACCCUUUGCCACAUUGCAUAUGCAUCAGUGUUUCCUCCUCUGACAAUUAGAGGUGUGCAUGGGCCGGGCUGGGCCUGGUUCGGGUCGGGCCUAACUAAAAAUUCAGGCUCGUUUGCUAGGCCCAGGCUCAGACCCGGCUCGACCAGAAAAAUAGGCCUAAAAUUUUAUCUAAGCCCGACCCAAAUAAAAAUGUUAAAACCAGAGCCAGACCCGGCCCGCCCAUAUUAAUUUUUAUAUUAUUUUUAUAUAAUUUUAAAUAUAUAUAAACCAUCAAAACUACUAAAAACAUUAAAAUAAAUAUCUCUCAAUAAAUUAAAAAUAAAUUUAAAAAACAUGUAUACUUAAAUAACACUAAAAUAGAUACAAUUUAACAAGCAAAUGCCUCUAAAAUAAUAACAAAAUUAGCAAAUGUUUUUAAAAUAAUAAAAAAAAGUAACAAUAAAAUAAGUUUUAUAUAAUAUCCAAACAAUAACAACAAAAUAGUAGCAAUAUAAUAGUAAAAUAGUAGCAAAAUAGGAAGAAAAUAAUAAGAAAAAAAAUAAUUUUUUCAUUUAGUGAAUUCGGGCCGGGCCGGUCCCGGGCUAAAAAUACCUUACCCAAGGCUCGGCCCGUUUUUUAAACGGGCCUUAUUUUUUUAUCUAAGCCCAUUUUUCGGGCUUAUAUUUUUGCCCAAACCCUUUCACAUUUUGGAUGGGCCUUCGGGUACUGACAAUGACUUGCAUUUUUUUUAAAGUAUUCAUAUAUGAUCCAAACAUUAAUUUAAAUUAAUCUAUACUAGAAUUUAAAUAAUUAUCAUAAAUUUAAUUUAAUUUUAUAAUUAAUAAAAAAUAUUACUACUACAUUUUAUAAAUAAAAAAUAAUUAUAUUAAAAUUUCAUUAAAAUAAUUAAAACUUCCAGAGGAGUUUAAUGCUAGUUAAGACAAAACUUCAACCUUGAACAUUAAAGCCAAAACCUAAUCCAUAUUCUAAAAUGAUCUUAAAGAACAAAGUAACUUAAAACAACUGCUAUUCAUGCAUAAACUAAGAACAAGAGUGAUUAAAAAAAAAAAAAGCUGAAAUAAAUAAUUAAAAUCAAUACAAUAACUGUUGAAUCUUGCAAGUUAGUGUUUCAAUAAUAGUAGUUAUUGUCACUAUAACUGUUAACAAAUUGUUGAUAUUCUCCAUUGCUGACUUUCUUGGACUGUACUGCAAUUGAGCAAAUGUCCUUCACUUGCUAUCCCUUCAAUUCCUCCCUCAAUCAACCAUAUGAUGCUAUGCUUUCUUUUCUAAGCUGUAAAUGACUUACUGGUAUUAUUAACAUUUUAUGUCAUUCCAGUAGGGUUUCGGUCAGUGGUUUGUACAACGGGACACGUAGUUCCAUGGUCCAAGUAACCGCCACGCCGACAAGUGAACAAAAUGCCGGCACAAGUCCUAAGCCGUAUCUCGUGAUUGAAAAGUUACUGGUUGAAUAGUUUCCAGCAACUAUUGGUGAGCUACCUGCAUUGAAGUUUCGUGGUUCAAUAUAAAAGUUUUGUGCUGCCAAAGUGCAAUGAUCUAUAUUGUUACGAGUCUUCAUUUUUUUCUCUGGGUACGAAGAUACGACCUUCAAAGAGCUUCUAAGUACACAGAAAAACUUGAGAAAAAUUUAAUAUACCCAUGUUGGAUACGUACUUGUAUCCAACGCUCACACCUGAGUUCAAGCAACAUAUGCAAAGAGUGUUUGCAAGUUACAACUAUAGGAUGAAGCCUACAAAUUAGAUAAUCCAAGAUCAUGGCUGUUCAUUUGCAACAAACAUGACAGUAAUAGCCAUGUAUACCUUAGAUGGGGUUAAAGUACCAUGUAAGCCCUUCUACAACGAGUCAGAUUGCAUUUUGCCCUCUCUAUUAAAAAACAAGCAAAUUGAUCCAUGGAUGUUAAAUCAAAGAGCAAAUUGGUCCUCGUUCUAUUUAAAAUUUCAUCCGUUUACACUAUUAAAAAUUGGCGUGGCUGAUGCAAUAACCAAACAGUAACAUGUGGCCUGCCACGUAUUCCUCAUGCUGACAUACCGGGAUCAGUUUUUAACAGUAAACAUUGAUAGAAUUUUUAAUAGAAGGAUCAAUUUGCUUUUUGAUCUAAGGUACGGGCUAAUUUGCCUAUUUUUUGAGUAAAGUGGGCAAAGUACAAUCUGACCUCUAGUACAGAGAUUUUCAUGGUACUUUUACCCCUUCGAUGGCAGGUUGAAAUUCGGAUGUCGAAUUACAGGAUAAAACAAAAACAAAUCAGAUGAAAAAUCUAAAGCAGUUCAGGUACAAGCUUAUAAUAGUUUUGAUGAUACCACUCAGCAGGCAGUGAAGAUUAUUAUACCAUUCACACGCAUAAGGAAGAUUCUUUUGAAAUAUCAUCUAUGAUUCCAAAAGCUCAUUUAUGACAGUGAACUUACUAUGAAAGGAUUGAAGAACAAAUAGGGUGAGCCCACAUGAGAUUUUAUCCAAGAAGCUCAAUGAUCCACAGACAAAUGCGCAACCAUUAAGAUCUUGACCGAUUAGCACAUUCUGCAUGCUCACAGCAGUCACCUACAUGGCUUUAAGAAUUGGAAUAAGCAAAACACGAAAGAAAAACAAACUAGGAGGAGAGCAUGGCACAAAUAUUCCAACAUACCGUCAUUAAUGCAUUUGCUAUUCCAAUAAAUAUGGAUAUGGCAUACACGAAUAGACUCAUGCUUUGAGGUAAGAGGAUAAUCGCUGUACCACAAAAAAUCCAAAGAAUUCCUCCAGCAGUAUAAUAAGCCUUCAGGCGUUGCUCGUUCCAUGCAAUCUCCUACAUAGGGUGAAUGCCUAAAGCUUAAGCAAUGUUAUAUAAAAGCUUUCCAAAGAUAAAAACCAAGUUUUAACGAGGCAGACCUGAAGAAGAAUAGAUACUACGAAGCUGCAAAUAUAGAUAAUGGCAGGAACCUAACCGAUCAAUAAGACAAGAUAUUAGCCUAGCAUUCAUCUCUAAAACAUAUUGAAGACCGAAAAUAAAUUUAAUGACGACAAGUUCAGUUCACAUACCAAAGCUUUAGAGGACUGUGCCAUUUGCAAAUCAUCAAUUACAUAGAAUGCGAGAUAUGCCUUCACAAAAAGAAACCAUCUUUAAAUUUAAAAUCUGUGAUAUUAGAUUACUAUUCUUCAGUCUCCGUGAUACUGAAAAGAAUAUUAAGCGCCAUAAAUCGAAGAAAUAAAAAGUAUGCUUACUUGUGAAACAUUAAGUACUAGUCUUGUAAGCAUAUAAACAAUAGCAACUUGAUAGUAUAAAAUUUUCAAGAACCAGUAAGUCCACGAAAUCCUUGCAUGAAUAUUUCCAUGUAUACCUGUCUUCGAUCUACAUAAUAAAGAUAUGAAAUUCUUAGUGAUAGCCUAACAUGCAAAACAUGCCGCGGAAUUGUGUCGGGAGAUACAGCUCACCUCGGUUCUUUUGUUCCGAGAUGAAAUACGCCCACAAAGCAGCAUCCAAUGAAUAUUGAUAAGUAUGCAAUCCAACGGUACUGCUCAGCAGAGGUGAAUAUAUGAUUAUGCUCGAAUAGGAACACCUAGCAUAAGGAUCACAUCUUCCAUAAAAUAAAAAAAAGCAUACCUGAUUUUCAAUAUCUGCACGUGUUUCUGCUCUGAUGACUUCAAAUACUAUAAAAGCAAUUCCAUAUAGACUGAGAUUUGCAACCUAGAUUACCAGUGAAUUUAGCACCAGCCAUAAUACUCAUGAGCCAUGCAACAAAUCAAUAGAUGAAAUAAGCUGACCAUUGUAAAGGCAUUUCGACAGCUUGCCAGUACUACUCUGCUUGUUGAAUUGAGAGUGAUGCAACUCACCAUGGACCUGCAAUAUAGAAAAGAUACAGGGAAAAACCAAUUUUAUUCCAAGAUUAAAAGAAACAUAUAAAUGAUAGGUUAAAAUAUGUUGUUAGUCCUUGUACUUUGACAAAAUUUGAGAUUUAGUCCCUCUACUUAAAAAGUAAAAUAUUAAGUCCUCUUACUUUUUUAUUUAAAAAUCCCAGACCGGUUAUCAAAAUUGUAAGUAUUUUCUACCAAAAAUUGUCAACUUGGAAUUUUGAUUAGGCAAUUCUCAUAUGACAUGGUAUAUGAUUGACAAAAAAUAAACAUCAUAAGUUGACAAAUUUUGUCAAGAACUGCCAACAACGAUAAUGAUUGGACUAGGAUUUUUCAACUAAAAAAAGUAAGAAGAUCGAAUUUUUACUUUCACAGUGCAGGGACUAAAUCUCAAACUCUAUAGAAAUAUAGGGACUAACAACAUAUUUUAACCUGAAUGAUAUUCUAUCACAAGAAUCCAUUAAGCACUAUAAGAAUUUGCAGAAAAGACUUCAUCCAAUCCAAUCAGAAUUUUAUGCUUUUGCUUCUCUCUCUGCGUAGAAGAUUUAAAUAUGAUAUCAUGUAUGUUACAACGAGAAGAUUGAUAAAGCUAUUGAAACAUUACAUGUGUGAAACCUGAGUAGCAGCCCAGCCGACAUUAAAAAUUGCAGCAAAUGUACUGUAUGAAACAGUCUCUACUAUUGUUGAGAAAGACGAAAGGAGUUUACAAGGUAUACAACCACCAAAAACCGAAGAAAAAGAAACAGCAACCAAGAUAGCUCCUGCACCAUGCCAUAUUUUGAAAUGUCCAAACCUGUCAAUCUAUCAAGUAAAUGAACAAAAAUUAUUGCCACAAGUCAAAAGGAAAUAAAAGAAAGUAGCAUAAAUUGAAAAACCUUGCUUAAGAUUAGAGCUAUAAUACUAAUUUCAACCAUGUUGCACUCACAACAAACAUGUAAAACAUGUAUAUAUUGCCACGAGAUGACAAGGAUUAAAGAAAGAUUUGAAAUCAAUUACCAGUUCACCAAAAAAUAUGGUGGCUAGACCAUCGGCUAUUUGGCCGGAAAGCAUGACAAUAGCAGCAUCCCUACAAUAAAAUAAAAAAAUAACACAUGGAACAUUAUAUUUACAAAAACAAAAAUUAAGAAAUACGUGAAGAUGGAAUUUACAUACAUAAUCUCCAAGAAGCUAACUAUAUAGAUACGCUAUAAUAACAGAAUUACAAAGUUCAAUUAUAUAAUAAGCCAAAACGAAGUAGAAAUUUUAGAAGCUAUGUAAAAGCGAGAAGAAUCUUAAAAUCUAAAAUGUUUAGACAUGUUUUCUUUGUUCAUAGCAUCAGUCCACAAUACUAGAAUGACAUCUAGUCAUGCUUUAGUUUUCCAUUAUCUUAGACCUAAUUUCUACCUUCUGCUGCACAUAAAUCAGAUUCCUAUAGUUCAUUUGUACCAAAAUGAUUAUUUUUGUGAACAUGGUCAAUUUGACAUACUUUGAACAUCAACAUGGAGACGCCAACAGUAGCAAAUUGGACUUUUAAGAGCUUCUCCCUUUUUUCGCUCCACAUGCUACGAGUUUGUAGACAGGAUUAACGAAUGGGUAGAGAAUAGAGGCAUGCAUAAAUAAUACCAAGUUCCUUCAAGAGACUUGCACAUAUGUGAACCAAAGGCAACAGAUAUAACUUUCAGUAAACAAUGAAAGGCAGGUAUGAAAUGCAACUAGAUUAAAGUUUUACUAAUACCAAAGUCUACAUGAGAAAGGUUAAGUAAAGCAUUCUCCGCCUCAGGGUCAUUUUUUAAUCAAAUUCAGAUCAACAAACAAGUUUAAAAGUGACAAAGAGAUUAAAGAGGAAAAAUACACGGGAAAUCAAUCAUGAAGAUGUUAAUUUCUGCUCCAAUAGAAAGACUAUAUACCUAGAGGAGAGCCCGAUCUCAGUUAAGAACAAUAGAAGAUAAGUAAACCAGCAUGCAGAAGUGAUGUCAUUUAGCAUGUGACCCACACCAUAACAGUAAACAGACCAUCUUCCAACGGGCUUAGAAAAUGAAUCAUCUUCGAUACUGUUACUCAUUACAGUCAAAAGGAGUUGACAGGAACCUCUACUGAACGUGCAAAGAAUGUAGUUCCUGAUCAACCCAAACCUACAAGCAAAACAUUCAUCGUUGAGAGAGGAAAACAAGAAAAUACACAUCUGUAUGAAGAAAAGUGAGUCAAGAAACAGGCAAAGUUUUGAAUGCUCUUUAGCUAAUAGCAAUACAAGACCACAAGACAUCACAUUUAGCACAUAUGGCAGAGACAAAAGACUACAAGCCUUAUGAUAUCCUAUUCAUAAAUAACGUACAAUAUAAGCAGAACAAAUAUAUACAUCAAUUGAAGAACUUAAGUCUUUUUAAACUUUAAUGAUCACUUAGUUUCCCACAGUCUUUACCAAAUCAGUGAAUUCUAAUUCACUUUCCACUGUUUAGCAUAUACUUCACCCUGUAAUUUUAAACUUCAAUAAUCACUUAGUUUCCCAGUCUUAUAUUUUCUUUCCUCCAGCUUUACAACAAGAGAAAUAAAAUCCCAUUUCAGGCAUUUUCCAACAUAUCCUAUUUUUGCUCACAAAGCAAAUAAAAUAAAGCCUUCAAAUCAAACCCCUCCCUUUAAGCUUCUGUUUUAGCCCAGUGGAACUCACAGCACCCAUCCCCAUCCAUGAAUUUCAAAUGAACCCAUUAUCCAACAAAUCAAUCAAUAAAGAUUUCUUAAACAAAAAGACUAUUGUUUCAUUGAAAACUGAUAAAGCGUGCUUGCGAAAAGCAAAUGGAAUACCAAUCAAAUAGAAUGUGAUAAACGUUGCUUGCAAAACCCAAAGUGAAGGGAAAAGAAUAUACAGAAAGGAAGCAAUAUACCUUUGACCCAACGAAGCAAAUAAAGGAGUGGAUGGCUUAAGUUCUUAACAUAUAAACAAAACGACCCAAAAUCAAAUUAGUAAAGAAGAAUUAAAAACAAGCAAAAAAUAAGAAAGGAAAGGAAAGGAAAAAGAGAGUGCAUACAAUUGGUGGAGAUGAAGGUUUUGGUGACUGCUGGCUUGUUGUGGGGGACUGCAAGACUGGAAACCCGUUGGAAAUUGUGAACCGAAUGGCGUACAUGCUAAAUAUAGCUAACUUUUGAAAAGGAAAUAUAUAUUAAAAUUCAUAAGGAAACAGGACAUAAUACAACUCAAGGAUAAGAGAAAACAAAACUCCAAAAAGUCAGAAAAGGAAGGAAGCAAUGAACAAAACAAAACAGAAAAUCACGUCCUUAGCACCCCCUGUCCCCGAUAAUAUUAAAAGGUUAAAUUGUAAAAAUAGUCACUUUUAUUUACUUUAAAUUAUAUUUUAGUCUCUUACGUUAUCUUUUUAUUACGAAGUGGUAAUUCUACUAUUAAAUUUCGUUACUUCCCUAACAGCAGUCUUACAUGGCAAUCCAAAUAGGUUUUAAAUACCAACUUGGAUAUCCAGUUGUUGGAUGAAAAUAAGUUUUUAAUUAAAUAAAUUAAUUUGGACUGCCCUAUAAGACGUCCAAGUUGGCAUUUAAAACUCAUUUGGACUACUACUUAAUACCGCUAUUAGAGAGGUAACGAAGCUUAACUGUAGAGUAACCAUUUCGUAACAAAACAAUAACGUAAGUGACUAAAAUGUAAUCUGAGACAAAUAAAAGUAACUAUUUUUAUAGUUUAACCAUGGUAAAAUGUAAGAAAAAGUAAUUGUCUAAUUAACCCUUAACUUUCAAACUCUGUGCAUGUUGGUCCAACUCUGAUAUUUCAAUCAUGAUGGUCCUGGAUAAUGUGGUUUUGGAUGUCUAUAGCUAUAUAAUUUAUUUUUUCAUUAACAUAAAAUUAAUUAAAUUAAUUGUAAGUAUUUAUAUAUUUUUUAGUUUAACUUGAAAAUUUUAAAAUUAUAUAAUUAAAAAAAAUUAGGUUUACAAUUAUUAAGUAUGAGUUGAUUUUAAUUUGAAAAUAUAAAAUUAAAUUUUAAAUUUUAAAUGGAGAUUAAAUUAAUUAAUUAAUUAAAUUUCAAUAUUAUAGUAACAAAUCAAAUGAUACUCUAAUGGAUAAAUUUUUCAAUAAUUUAUUUAAUUAUUUUUGAUAUUUUGAUAUAUUAAAAAAAAAAUUAGAACUUCCAGCGGUAAACAAAUACAAUUUGUUAAUUUUUUUAAUGAAUUAUUUUAGUUUCUACUCUUAUUUCACUUAAUUUAUUUUACUCCUAUCAAUACUUUAAAAAAAAAAAUUUGGUUAACCAAAAUGAAAACGACUUAAAAGUUAGUGACUAAAAUGAAAGUGUAAAUAUGAUACGAUAUGUACAGUCAACCGCCGUUAGAGAUUUAACGCUUGAAUAACUAAAAUGAAAGCAUCUUAAAAAUUAAGUGACCAACUAGAUAGUUAUUAAAAAUAUAAAUAUUAGUGAAUUUAGAUACUAGGGAGAUAAUUUAAUUAAUUUAGAUUUAAUUAGUAAUAUUGGGGUUUAAAUCAAGAUUUAAAUCAAUUUUUUUUAAAUCAUUAUAAUUAUUAAAUACUGACUUUUAGAUAUUCCAUUGAUAAUUAUCAUAAUUAUUAAAAUAGUCAUUUUUGUUUGUCAUAGAUUAUAUUUUAGUCACUUACGUUAUCGUGUUGUAACAUUUGAGUCACUGAGCCUUUAAUUGCCUUUAAUGGUGUAACGAUAAGAUGACAUGGCAUGUUAAAUCAUUAUUUAAAAUAAAAAUUUUAGGUUAAAUUCUACAAUUAAUCCUUUAGAUUUUUUUCUUUUAUGUUUUUUAAUUUUCUUUUUCUUUUUCUAUUUUCUAUCCUCUUCUACUUCUCCCUUUGUUUUCUUCCCUUCUUCAUUUCUUUUAACGUAAUUUUUUCUAUAUUUUUCAUUUGUUAAAACUAGCCCACAAGCUCGCCUCACUCUAAAAAAAUUAAAAUUUUCAAAAAAAUAAAAGUAUAAGGACUAGUUUUAAUGAAAAAUAUAGAAAAACUAUGUUAAAAGAAAUAGGGAAGGGAGGAAAACAGAGGGAGAAGAAAAAGAGAAUGGAAAAUAAAAUAAAAUAAAAACAUAAAAGAAAAAAAUUAAAUUACUCAAUACAAAAAAAUAUGGGGAUCGAUUGUAUAAAUUAACCUAAAAUUUUUAUUUGAAAUGAUUACUACCAUUACACCGUUAAUAACAAUUAAUAGCUCAGUAAUUAAAAUGUUAUAACUCGAUAAUAUAAAUGAUUAAAAUAUAAUAUUUUAAAUAUAAAUAAUCAAUUUAAUAAUUUAUUUUUAUUUUUUUAGAUAAUAUCUCUUUAAGAAAUUAAUUAUGACUAAAUUAAAAACUUCUUGCAAGCUUGUCUCUUUUUAUUUUAGGAGUUUAUUAAUUUAAAUUGUUAUUAUUUAAAAAUUUAUUAUCAUUAAAACAUACUUAGCCGACUUUCAAAAAGUGUCUUAGAUGUUAUUAUUAUUACUGUUAUUGGAACAUACUUAGCCGACUUUGUGUCUGACGUAUUAUUAUUAUUAUUAGAUAGGUUAGGCGUUUAUGAAAGGGGACGGCACUGUAGCCAAAGGUGGAUUAGUUGAUUUGGUAUUACGAAAUCGCAUUCACUCUUCACAUCAGUGUUCGUUAAUUUUUCGGUGUAGGAGAUAGAUUUAAUUGUCUCAUAAUUCCGUUUCAGCAUUAAAUUAAGAAGGGGUACAUUUCGUUUAAGUGUUGGACUGCAUUUCAUUGGUAAAUCAAUACGAUUUAUAAUUGUGGUAUUCAGUCUAUUAAAUAAUAAAUUGAUAUGAUUAAUUAAACGAGUGGUUGGAUUUGUUAAGAGAAUUAACGAUUAAGUUUAGGCUGUUAAUUUGAAUCGGGUUCUUCUACUUCACAAGGCUACUAAGGAAUUAAAUUGUAGAAGCUGCUUUAAGGUUAUUUACGUGAUAUGAGUUAAUUGUCGAGUUGUUCUCGUUGUUAAUUUACAUACGAAAAGGGUGGUGAUAUAAGAUUGUUCCUGGAUCACUAUAAUUAACUUAUCAACUGGAGAGGAGCUUUCGUUUUAUUGAUUUAUUCAAAUUUAAUUUUGUUUGCUUACUUUUAUUGCGUUCUUAUUUUUAUUUAGUUUCUGCUAAUUAUUUCAUAUCAAAUUUAAUAGAUUAGUGGCUAUUGCAUAUUAGAUGUACAAACACUUAACAUAUUUAUUGUUAUGUCACCUUCUCGAGUUCAAUAUCUAGUUUUAUCAACUGAUAGAACUUUAAUGUUGAUAUAGGUUCCAUCUAAAGAACCUAAGCAAUUCUACAAAUAAAGGAAAAUGUAGAGUUAAUAUAGUCUAUUAAAAUUAAAAUCUAGUAAGUUAUUUCUAAACAAAUGUAUAUAUACACUCCAAUACUUUGAACCAUUUUCACUUCGAAUCUGUAGAAUUAACUGGAAUUGGCUCUGAUUUUUUAAACAAUACACGUUGCAAGCGUAUGACUGCAUUUAAUACAUUAUGAAAUGAACUACUGAUAGUUUCUUCAAUCCUAUUAAAAUGGUAUUUGAUAACUCGACUUUUAAGGUGAGGUAAUAAGAAGUUACAAAAUUUAUCGGAGUAUAAAGGAAGUUGUGUGGUGGUGACUGCAAACAACUCGAAGUUAACAAUAGCUUAUGUCGCUAAAAUUGUAGUCCCUAUUCAGUAUAGUGCUAUUGAGGUGUCGUUGCAAAAUGUCAUGUGCUAGGGCUGAAGAAAAAUCUUCUUUCGGUAGCAUAGUUAACAUCUUCGGGACAUUAUGUUUUGUUCGGUCCUAAAGAUGUGAAAGUUUAUCUCAACUUGGAGAUUACUGAGGAGACGAUGAUGCAAGGGUGAAGACUGCAGUUGGUCUACAUGAUGUUUGCCGAAGUUGCAUGGGUAGACAAGACAAGGAAAAAUAAGAUAGUUGAUUUUUGGCACGAGGCUGAGCCAUGUUAGUUAUUCCAAGCUAGGCGUGAUGAUUAUGAAGUUGAUGUUGAAGGGUCUUUCGCAACUUGAAGUGAGGACGGAUAUGGUUUGUGCAGGCUGCCAAUAUGGGAAAGCACACCAACUUCCUUACGAAGAGUUCAAGUUUAAAUCAAAUGAACCAUUAAAGUAAAUCCACUUUGAUGUGUCAGUACCGACCGACCAAGCUUCUAUUUGUAGGAUGAAGUAUAUGAUCACGUUUAUCGAUGAUUUUUUCAUAUUUGUGUGGGUUUAUUUUAUGAAGGAAAAAUUGGAAACUCUUACGAAGUUUAGGGAGUUCAGGAAGGUGGUUGAAGUAAAGGUUGUCAAGGGAUUUGUUGUUUACACACUGACAACAAAGAAGAGUAUACCUCAUUCGAGUUUUCAAAUUUUCUUUGGGAAUGUCGAAUACGUUACCAAUUCACAUGUUUGAACACUCUACAGCAAAAUGGCGUGUCUAAAAGGAAGAAUAGGCACCUGGCAGAGAUAUGUCAUAGUAUGCUUCACUCGAAAAAUGUCUCGAGACGAUUUUCGACAGAAGCGAUGAAAACAGCAGCUUUUGUAAUCAAUAGGCUUCCACAACAAAGGUUAUCUUUUCU